rnacentral:lncRNA from 1 species
GUUUGAUAAUUUUAUUAAAGGUAGAAACAACUCCUGACGGUGUUUCAAAUAUUUUAUUUCAAGUACAUUAUAAAGGUCUCAACAACGAUCAGAUAACAAGGUGGUCUUCUCACCUUGAUAUGAGACAUUAUCCAUGGUUGAGAGACCCUAUCAACCAUCUUUGAAGAGAACAAAGAUCUUAGUAUUUGGCAAAUAUAAUUUAUCACAUCAUAGAUUUUUUCAACAUAUUUUGUCAACAUAUGAUGUAAAAUUAUAUUUGCUCUUCAUGUAACUUGUCCCUAGAAGGGAGGGUAAUGUCAUGGACAUGCACAUAUAAGCUAGUAAUUAAUUGUAUAAAUAGAUAGAAGUCUGUAGAAGUAGAUAAAAAUAAAUUAAUUCUAUAAUAUCUUCUAUGAAAGCUUCCUAGAAGCUUUAUAGACGUUGCUUUGAAUUUAUAGGUAUCUUUAAUUGACUUUUUGGAUUAAAAACGUAGUCAACAAGUUGGCCAUGUGCCACAUAUAUUGUUAGUUUGAACACUAAGCUAACUAUAUGGCCCACACAUAGAAAAACUUAUCUUGUAAGUCAAGUCAUGUGUCCUACAAAGUCAACACAUAUUGGAGGUCCUAUAGAAUAUUGCCACAUAGCUCCUAGUUAGAUAGUAUAUAUAGAGACAAGAAUGAAGCCUUCUUCACUCUUAUCAAUUUCUUGCUUACUUCUAGUCUAGUUUCAAGAGUCUCAAGUUUUCUUUUCUUUUGGCAAUAAGUCUUUCCAAUUUCUUUUAAUAUACAUACUUCCUUAUUUCUAUUUUAUCAAUCUUUAUUUGAGAUGGAUUUUAUUGGUUUAUGCAUCAUCUUUUAUCUCAUGUUAUUGAUACUCCAUUUUUUGGUCUUGAAUCCUUGUCUUAUAUAUGGUUCCUAACAGUUUGUCGAGACUGCCAUAAAAUAAUAUUAAGAACUUAGUCUUUCUUCAUAAAAAAUAGAUUAUCCCUCUUUUUGGAAGUACUAUAGCAUUUUAGAAGUUACAAAUUACCAUCUCCUAAAUUAAUAUUAUUCUUUUCUUAAUAUUCUUUUGAUUUAUUUUCUUUAUAUCAUAGAUCAAGUUUUUUUCUUUUGAAGGCUUGUAUUUCUUUGAUUUUCUAUAGCAAAAGAUAGAAAAUUCAAUAUCAUAGAUUCUAAAGAGAUCAAGUUAGAUUCUAUUAUUAAUGUUCUUGAAGCAUUGAGGAUUAGGACAGAGACUUUGUUAAAGCAGAAUGAAGAACUAUAUAUGACCAUACAUAAUGGUCAAGGAGCUGAAGUGCCUCAACUAUCACAUCAAAUUACAACAAAGAUUCCAAAUCUUCAAACGACUAUGUAUACUUCAAACGUGGAAGGUGCAUCCACUCAAUGCAAUGAUCUCACAACAAUAACAACAAAAGAACCAAAGAUCAGCCUUUCAAAAAAGUUUGAUAGCACUCGAUUAAAAUUUUGUGGCUUUGUAAACCAAGUACGACUAAUUACCUUGCUUCAACCUCAACAAUAUUCCACUCAAGUACCUAAUGUUGGUUUGAUUGGAACCUUGAUCUCGGGUCAAGCUUUAUCUUAGUUCAUCCCAUUAUUUGAAAAGAAUUCUAAUAUAUUGUACAAUUUUGAAGUAUUUUUGAUAGCAUUUGUAGAAGCAUUUUGUGAACAUAAUAAAGUUUAUUUUUCAAAAACUAAAAUUCAAAGCCUUUGACAAAGAAUGCACUCUGUAUUAACAUAUGCUUCAAAUUUUUGACAAUUAGCAUGUGAUAUAAAUUAAAGAGAAGAUGCAUUGAUGAGCCAAUUUUAUUAAGGAUUAAGAGACGAUGUUAAGGACUUAUUAUUAUCCAUGCCAAAUCCUUUAGCAUUCAAUGAAGCCAUUAGUCAAACUGUGAAAAGCGAUAAUUCUUUAUUUUAAUGAUGACAAGAUAAACAUUCUUCAAUUAUGUCAUAUGUAUAUACUAAUUAUUUUUCAGCUUCUUCACUACCCAAUUCUAAUGAGCAAUUGAAAGCAAAAGACAUGUAGAUUGAUGCAGUUUGCUUCAAACCUCUUUUUGAGUAAAAAGAAAAAAAAACAUCAAAGAAAACUUGGCCUAUGCUUAUAUUGUAAAAAGUUAGGCAUAAGAUUAAUAAUUUUUCAUAGAAACAUCAGCGUACAUAUCAAAUGAGGAGUGCAGACACAUCAUGAAAAGCAUUGUAGGAAAACGAGGGCAUCCAUUGUUGUGAUGUAAUACAAUUAUAUAGUGAAAUUAUAAUCAAAAUUGAAUUUCUAAUUAAUAUCUAAUUAUCUUAGUUCAAUUAUAAUUUGAAGUAUCUAAACAUGGCUCUUAUAAAAGCCUCUUAGAUUAUUUUUUUAUCUUCAUAAUUAGUAGGUUGAAGGUUAGUUAGUAAUUUUAUCUUCUAGGUUGUAGAGACUCUUUUACUACCUUAAAAAGACCAUAAAUUGAUGAAAUCAGGUUAAAAAAGAUAAAUAAAUAGUAUAGUUGAUAUUAGGGUUAAGUUGAAAGUAGGAUUGGACUAAAAAAUCUUUAGGAUAGGAUACAUUGAUAUCCAAGGAUCGACCAUUUGUGAGACAGGGUCGAAAUCAGACCUCUAGCCACUAAAAUGACAGUGUAGAACAAAAUAUGGUUUCAUUUGAAGAUUGAAGAUUAGGAUUUUGAAGCUAGCUUGAAGUUCUUUAUAGAAACAUAAGAAUUAUUUUAAGAAGAUUUUGAAGGAUUUAGCAAUUAUUGUUCAAAGUCAGGGUUUGUAUCAGUGAUUUGGAUAUUAUAUAAUAUAAUUAGGUCUAAUAAUUUUGGCUAUUUUGUGCAAUUGCUGUGACAUCUACAGUUGAAAACUUGAAACUGUUUGGAUUAUUAGGUGUGCUAAGUUGGAAUUUAUACUUCCCUUUUCAAGUUGGAAUUUCUACUUCCCUUUUCAAGUUGGCGGCCUAUUGACAUCAAUGCAAUUUUUGGAGGUUUUCUCACAAUCUAUAAGUUGGAUUCGGCUAAAAAUUCUUUAGCAUAUAGAAGACUUACAUUGACAAUUGCGUGCAAAAUUCCACAUUAAGUGGAUGGUCGGAUUGGAUGUUACAGCUUGUUAAAGCUCAUUGAUUAGGAUUGGGGCUUACUAGAAAAAUCUAAAUUACUUAAAUAUGAAAGUAAUAAGGUAAUUGAGAUUUAUGUAUGGUUAAAACUACUAAGAAGAGUAUUUUAAGGACUUUUGGAUUGAAAUUCAGAUUAUAUUCUUCUUGUAUGGGUAAAAUCUAUUAGGAUUCUUGGCUACUUGUGAUACAUAAUGUCACCUUCUACAGCUAAGUGUCUAGUACAUUCUUGAGCAAAACAACACAUAAUAUGACACCGUGUAGCUGGAUUCUUCACUAUCACAAAUCAAAAAAGGUCUUGUACUCUCUAUCAGUCCUUCUCAUUGUUUUACUAUACAUGUAUGGUUAGGAGUCACAAAACUAGAUUGUCAUGCAUUAUUUGAUUUGGAAGCCUCUGAAUGUUUUAUUGAUAAAGAAUUUUUUAGAUCAUGUAAAAUUUGUAUAAUCAAAACACCCAAAGCCAUAUAUGUAGAAGUAAUAGAUAGUCGAUCUUUAUCUUCUAGAGAUGUCACUCAUAAAACAAUUCCAUUAGAAAUAAUCUUUGACAACCAUAGUAGCCAAAUAGUAUUUAAUGUUGUCAGGGUAGAAAGAGUUUGCCUGAAGAAAGCGUUGGGCUUCUGGCUGCCUCUAAAUGCUCAAUCAAGUCUAAGAUAUAAAAGUAUCAAGUUUAUAUAUAUAAUAUUUUUCUUUUUAGGAUAAUUACAUCAAUACAUAAUCCCAAGUACUAAAAAAAACAUCCAAAUAUAUAAUAAAAUAUUUAAAAAUCUUAUAUAUCCUUAUAAAAAUUAUUAUUUAAACUUCAACAGCUUAUAUCUCACGAUUGAAGUGUCCAAACAAUCUAAAACUUUAAAUGAAGUACUGAUAUACUUUCAAAAAUUAUUAUAAAAAAAUUCAAUUGCAAAUUCGUUACAGAUCUUGAGAUAUUAUCAAAACCCUAAUAGUAGCUUUAAAUCCUAGUUUACAUAUACCUACAUGCUAUUUUCUUCAUAUCUCACAAAAUAAAUAUUUAAAUACUAUGAAACUUUGAUUUAUAGCUUUUUAACCUAAGAACUCAUAAUUAUAGAAAUUUUGAGCUAAAAAUUCGUCCAAAAACUCAAGAUAUGGCUCCAACCAUUACUAUCAACAAAAUGACUCACUUACUACCUUUGAAUUACAUGUGCUGUCUUUAAUGUCCUAUAACUCCUUUACAUAGACUUGGAAUUCAUCAAAUAGUAUAUGUUAAAUGUAGCCAAGAAAGUUUUCUCUCCAACUUCAAUUGCCAAUCUUUUAUUGCUCUCUGUACGCAUAUGUUAUACUUCAAAGAGUGACAGUAGGUACAAAUUUGACACCUUAACUUUGAACACCUAUAUCUCCUUCACAAAAACUCAAAAUCACACAAACUCUUCACCAAAAUUAUAUCCAAAACCUUGAACUUGCUGAACCUAGCCUUCAAAACUCGAACGUCUCCAAAAGUAAAACCCUAAUCCCUAAUAAGACCUCGGGCAACCUCCUUGAAGUCCAGUGUGCAUGACAUUCGACCAAUAGGGAUGAAGGUCUUCACCCCUUACCUUCAUGAAACCAUAGCUUACUUUCAUCCUUCCCAAUAAGCCUCCUAAUAGUUUAGACUUUCAUCUUUAAACUCCAACCUUCUCUUAAGAUUUAUACUAAAUAUCUAAAUCCUACAUAAUAUAAACACUAUAAUCAAAAUAGAUAAAUCUCCAAAUAAAUUUUCUUAUAUCAAUUCUCUUUAAAUUUAUUUACUAACCACUCCAAUCUACAUCAAGACUUAUAAACAUAUUAUAUGUCUUAAUUAAUUAUUACAUACUAUAAGCAAUUAUAAUAUGACAAUGUCAUUAGAUCACCAUCAAGUUCAAUCAUUUUAAGACUCUUAUGGCUUGAAAAGUACAAUCCACAAAUAAAUUGGGUAUCACAAAAGUUAGAUUUUCUUCUAAUAGAUCAUAUUCCUCCUAGAUCUAUGAAAAAGCUUCUAACACCUUACAAGCCAAAACUUAAACAAUAUUUAUUUAUUGGAGCUAGAGCAUUUGUGAUGGUAGCCAAAUAAGGUACUACGUUUCUUGUCUAUGCAAAUUUAUAAUCGAAACCUGUGGUUGCUACAACAAUAAUUCUAGAGGUGUAUAAAGAUUAUGUAGAUGUAUUUGAAAAAAAAAUGUGGAUAUCAUGCCAAAGCAUCGCUUUUACAAUUGUACGAUUGACCUUCAAGAAGGUACUCAACUACCGUUUGGAUCCAUCUAUAAUUUAUUCCAGAAUGAGCUUGCAACUUUAAAAGAAUAUAUUGAAGAAAAUCUGACUAAGAAUUUUAUUUGACAUUCCAAAUCACCAACUAGUACUUCAAUAUUAUUUGUGAAGAAGAAAGAUAGAUCCUUACAAAUGUGUGACAAUUAUUGCAGUCUUAAUAAAAUCAUGGUAAAAAAUUAAUAUCCAUUGCCAUUGAUAUCCAAACUUCUUGAUCAACUUAGCCAAGCAAAGAUCUUUAGAAAGAUUGAUCUACAAGGCACAUAUAACUUGGUAUGCAUUAAGGAGGGAGAUAAAUAGAAGACAAGAUUUUGCACCAAAUAUGGAUAUUUUGAAUACAAUGUCAUGUCUUUUGGACUUACCAAUACUCCAGCCAUAUUCCAACACUUAAUGAAUGAGAUAUUUUGUGAAUAUCUCAAUGUCUUUGUUAUGAUCUAUUUAGAUGAUAUUUUGAUCUUUUCCAAGAAUUCAAAAGACCACAAAAAAUAUGUCCACCUUGUGUUGAAAAAGCUACGAAGUGCUAGGUUAUAUGCAAAAUUGGAGAAGUGUAUAUUUCAUGCACCUCAAGUCGAAUAUGUUAGAUAUAUUAUUUCCAACAAAGGCAUUUUUAUAGAUCUAAAGAAGAUACAAGCAAUCAUCAAUUGGGCAAAGCUAAAAAUUGUAUAUGAUAUCCAAUGUUUUCUUGGAUUUGUAAACUACUACAAGAUUUUUUAUAAGAAUUACUCUAAGAUUGUUGCUCCACUUAUGUGGUUGACAAGCAAGGAAAAAUUAUAUUGGGGCACUGAAACAGAGAAAGAUUUUCAAAGCUUAAAAGAUGUUUUCACAACAGCUCCAAUUUUGAUAAAUCUACAUUUCAACAAGCCCUAUUUUGUAGAGACCAAUGCCUCAAACUUUGCAUUGGGAGAAAUUUUGUCAUAAUAUGGAAAAGACGGCAAACUUCAUUUAAUUGUAUUUCAUUCUAAAAAAUUCUCAGUUGCAAAAAUCAACUACAAAAUCCUCGAUAAAGAGCUAUUUGCUAUCGUAGAUUCUUUUCAAGAAUGGUGCCACUUUUUUGAAGGCACCUCUCAUGAAGUGAUUGUAUAUAUAGAGCACAAGAAUCUUGAAUACUUCAUGUCAGGAUGAGUAUUGAACUAUCACCAAGCACGUUAUCAUAUUGUAAUUUAUUCAUAGUGUAAAAAUAAUGGUUAUUAUAUUGAUGUUAUUUAAUAAUGACCUUAGAAAAUAAUGAGUUAUUUUCUAUAGAAUUUUAUAGUUUAUAGAAAUCUUAAAUAACUUAUGUAAGUUUUAUAAGUAAAAGUAGAAGUAUUAGGUACAAAUUUACUAUCACUCUUUCAAGCAUACAAAGAGUUGUAGAAAGGUAUUUAGCAACCGAAAGGUGGAGUUGGAAAGUUGACUUAGAAGACUUCAAUUAUUGUACAAGAUUUGAUGAAAUCAGAUCUGAAGUGAGGAAGAAAUGGCUAGUCGAAGUCAGAGCUUGCAAAUUAAGGAAUGUUGAACCGAAUUGUUGAUGGUUAUAUUUUGAGCCAUUUUUUUUGAGAAUUUUUGAAUGAAUUUUGGCUCAAACUUAUCAAAGGUGUAGUUAUAAUAUUGAAAAGCUACACAAAAAAAUUUUCAUCUCAUUUGAGUAUUGGGUUUGUAAGAAAUCACAAAAUCAGUACAUAGGUGUUUGUAAGUCAACAUGUAAAGGCCAUGCUACUGAAAUUGUGUUAUAUAGAGUUUUGUAAAGAAUCGACGGUUGAAAAUUGGAUAUAAAAGAGUUAAGAAUAUUGCCUUACUUUUCAAAAAAAUUGAGCUCAAUCUAACGAUUGGAUUGAGAAUUAUCAAAUUUUAAAGUUCAGUGCAUCAAAGGGAUUCAAUAUUGAAGGAAUUAUGGUAUUACAAGGAUUUUACUACCACAAAAAGGGUUUUGGAAAUUAUGAAAGAUUUGAAAAUUACUAAUUGGUUUUACUAUUACUAGAGGUUUAAUAAUUAUUAUUUAUUGCUACAACUUUUACUAUUAUUGGAGGCCCAGUAAUUAUUAUUUACUACUAUAAUUUUUACUAUUUUUGGAGGUCUAAUAAUUAUUAUUUAUUGCUAAAAAUUUUACUAUUACUAGAGGUUUGAUAAUUGUUAUUUAUUGCUACAACUUUUACUAUUACUAGAGGCUUGGCAUUUGAUGUUUAUGACUACUAUGUUUAAUAUCAUGGAAAGGAAUAAAAACAAAAUUAUAAAUAAUCUUGGAGUAUUUUUCAUCUUAUGAUUAAUUGAGAAUUUAGUAUUAGCCAAAAGCCUAGCGCUUUUUCAAGACAAACUUUCUUUUCCUCGACAACAUUGGAAUAUAUCUUUAUCACAAUUUGAUUUUUAGCAUAACAUAUUGACUUGGGAGCCAACAAAGAUUAUCAGAUGCAUUAUCAAGAUAUUCCUACUUUUAACCAAAAGAAGACAAGGUAGCAUAUGAUCAACAACAUGCAACCUUCUUAAAACCUUAGCAUUUUCAUCUUCGAACUAUCAAUGUAUUAUCAAGGACAAAAACUCGAUGAGGAAAAAUAUACACCAAAAGGCUAUCUCGAUAUAAUAAGUCAAAAUAUAAACAAGUAGGUAUAUUAAAAGGAAACUGGAAUGGCUAUUGCCACAAGACAAGAAACUAAAGACUCUUGAACCUGGACUAGAAGCAAGAAAGGAGUUGACAAGAGUGAAGAAGCCUUCACUCUUGUCUCUAUAUAUACUAUCUAACUAGGGGCUACGUGGCGACGUUCUAUAGGACCUCCAAUAUGUGUUGACUUUGUAGGACACAUGCCUUGACUUACAAGGCAAGUUUUUCUACGUGUGGGCCACAUAAUUAGCUUGAUCUUCAAGCUAACAAUAUGUGUGGCACAUGGCCAACUUGUUGACCACGUUUUUAAUCCAAAAAGUCAAUUAAAGACACCUAUGAAGUCAAAGCAGCAUCUAGGAAGUUUCUAGGAAGCUUUUAUAUUAAAUAUUAUAGAAUUAACUUACUUUUAUCUACUUUUACUUACUUCUACCUAUUUCUAUAUGUAAUUAUUAGCUUACAUAAUUAUGGCCGUGACAUUACCCCCCCUUCUAGAGACGAGUUCCACGAGGAGCGGUCAUCAUAUGUUGAGGAAAUCUAUGAUGCGACGAAUUGUAUUCGCCACAUACUCUGAUCUCUGUUCUCUUCGAAGAUGAUUGAUAGGGCCUCUCAACCAUCGGUAGUGUCCCAUACCAGGGCGGGAAGACCACCCAGUUAUUUGAUCAUUGUUGAGGCCUUCGUAACUUCUUUCAAAUAGAAUAUUCGGAACACCAUCAGGAGUUGUUCCUACCUCUAGCAAAAUCACCAAACAUCGAGAGUUCCCUCCCAAAUCGUGAUACCAAACGCGUUGUAUCUCACCAUCUGUUCGAAGAAGAACAUGUCGUUCUUGAAGAUCUUCAUCUCGAUUGCGUCGUCUUGAAGGUUGUGACAAUCGUAAUGUCUCAUCCGGCAGGUCAGCAAAUGAAGGUUCUUGAGUUGAAUCCGCUAGUUGUUGGCUCUCCAUCUAAUUAGUGUCACAAAUGCAAAGAAGUUACAAACAAGGAUAAGAAAUUGAAUGUUAUCUUGCCUCAAUCUUGUCUCUUUUAUAAGAGAGAUUUUCAUCUUGGUUUUGAUGGAUGUCGUUGAUGAAAAACUUUGACUUUAGCUGAUGCAUUUCUUAGAUUCCUGGAUGGCUCCCAUGUGCGUUCACUAAUAUCAUAUCCGCGCCAAUGAACAAGAUAUUCCAGCUUAUUUCGGCGCCGCCUUGAGUCUAAUAUCUCUUCCACCUCAAAUUCUUCAUUAUUAUCUACUUCUAUAGGAGGCGGUGGCAUUUGUCUUCUUCCUUGUAUAUCCACUGUCUUAUAUGGUUCAAGAAGAGACACGUGGAAUACAGGAUGGAUCUUCAUUGACUCCGGUAGAUGUAACCGAUAUGCAACUGGGUUGAUCUGUUCAGAAACAGAAAAGGAGCCAAGCCUACGAUAGUCCAACUUGUCACAAGGUCGAGUAGUCUUGAUAUUGCGACGAAGUAGCCAUACCUUAUCACCCACGUUGAUUUGUGGUUGCUCCUUAUGAUAUAGAUCUACGUUUAUCUUUUGACAUUCUUGAGCUUCCUUCAAUUACGUCUUCAUUAUUGCAUGUAACUCUGACAACCAAUUUGCGAUAUCUUCUACUGCAGGAUUAUCAACUUUUGAAAAAUCAAAAGUAUCAAGUCAUGGAUGAUAGCCAUAAUUGGCAAAGAAAGGUGUUUGUUGCAUGGAAGAAUGUACCGUAUUAUUAUAAGCAAACUCUGCCAAUGGCAGAAGGGUUGUCCAAUCAUCUUGUUGGUAGUUGAUAGUACACCUUAAAUAUUGCUCCAAGACUUGGUUUACGCGCUCUGUUUGUCCAUCAGUUUGAGGAUGGAAAGCCGAAGAUAGCUUUAUGUCCACUUUUAAAAUCUUGAAAAGGGUCCUCCAAAAUCUUGACACAAAUUGAGUUUCCCUAUCUGAUAUGAUAUCUUUAGGUAAUCCAUGAUAGCGAUAGAUAUUAUCAAUGAAAAGCUUAGCUGUUUCUUUACUUGUGAUAGAUUUUGUACAUGGCACAAAAUGUGCCAUCUUGGUGAAACGAUCUACUAUAACAAAUAUAGAAUCAUAAGAUCUUGAGCUUGGAAGAUCUGUGAUGAAAUCCAUAGAAACAGAAGACCAUGGUUGUUCUGGUAUAGGUAAUGGCUGAAGAAGUCCGUAAGGUCGAUAACGAGGAAUUUUUGAUCUUGAACAAAUAUCACAUGAUUGUACAAAGUCUUUGACUGACUUCCACAUUUGUGGCCACCAAAAAUCUCUUGAUAUGAGUUCCAAAGUCUUAUUAUAUCCAAAGUGCCCUACUGUUGGAAAGUCAUGACGUGCUUGAAGAACACGUAAACGUGCUUCUCCUUCUAGAACAUAUAGGCGUCCUUCAAAAUAUAAUAGAUUAUUCUUGAACUCGAACUUAGAAGGAUCAUGAGACUUGGAAGAAUUAUUCUCGAUAUCAUAAACAAGAGGGUCUGAGGACAUACUGGACUGGAUUUGCUUGAAAAAAGUUGAAUCAAUAGUCAAUGUUGAUUUCAUUGCUCGGAGAUGAAAUUGCUCCGGUUUCAAGAGGACCGUUCUUUAUUGCUCAAAAGCUGCAUCUCCUUCUUUUGGUGUAAAAUAAGAACGUCUAGAUAGGGCAUCAGACAAACCUUGUUGUUUUCCUGGCCGAUAAGUGAUAAUGAACUCGAAUCUUGACAAAGACAUACUCCAACGAGCUUGACGACGAUUCAACACGCGUGCUGACAUGAAAUACUUGAGGUUCUUGUGAUAUGUAUACACAGUGACUAGACUAGAAGCGCCUUCUAGAUAAUGACGCCAUUCUUGAAAGGAAUCCACGAUCGCAAGAAGUUCUUUAUCGUGGAUCUCAUAAUUGAUCUCAGCUGCUGAGAAUUUUCUUGAAUGAAAAGCUAUCGGAUGAAGUUUGUCAUCUGUUCCCAUUUGUGAUAAAACUGCACGGAAGGCAAAAUUUGAUGCAUCUGUUUCCAUAAAAAAUGCCUUGGAAAAAUCAACACGAUAUAAGACUGGUGCAGAGACAAACGAUGUCUUCAAGGCUUCAAAUGCUGCUUCCGCUUCUUGAUUCCAUUGGAAUUUAUCUUUACUAGUCAAGCGCAUAAGUGGAGCUGCAACUCGUGAAAAAUCUUUGAUGAAGAUCCGAUAGUAAUUGGCAAAUCCCAAGAAACAUUCGACAUCUCUUACUGUCCUUGGAAUCUUCCAAUCCAUGAUUGUUUGGACUUUCUUAGAAUCCAUCAUGAGACCAUCAUUUGAAAUGAUGUAUCCUAAAAAGUCAACUUGAGUAGUGUGAAAUACACACUUUUUCAUCUUGGCGUACAAUCCUGCAUCUCUAAGUUUUUGUAAUACUUGACGAACAUGUAUUUCAUGUUCUUCGAUGUUCUUAAAAUAGAUCAGGAUAUCAUCUAGAUAGCAGACGACAAAAUUGUCUAAGAAUUCACGAAAUACAUCAUUCAUGAGAUGUUGAAAAGUAGCUGGUACAUUCGUGAGUCCAAAGGGCAUGACAUUAUAUUCGAAAUGUCCAUACCUGGUUUGAAACGCAGUCUUCCAUUCAUCUCCUUCUUUGAUCCGUACUAGAUUAUAUGCUCCUCUUAGAUCUAUUUUUGUAUAGAUCUUAGCUUGAUUCAACUAGUCAAGGAGUCCUAAUAUCAAAAGUAAUGGAUACCUGUUCUUGAUUGUGAUCUUGUUCAGUCCUCGAUAAUCAACACACAUUCGUAAAGAUCCAUCUUUUUUCUUUACGAAUAGAAUUGGAGCUCCUGCUAGAGAUUUUGAAUGGCGUAUGAAAUUCUUUGCUAAAUUCUUGUCAAUAUAUGUCUUGAGUUCAGCCAUCUCAUCUUACGAUAAACUGUAAAUUGGUCCAAAUGGUGGCUGAGUUCCUUCCUUGAGGUCGAUUGAACAAUCAUAUGGGCGAUGCUCAGGAAGAAUAUCUGCAUUCUUUUUCUCAAAAACGUCUUGAUACUCGUGAUAUUGACUUGGAAUGCCAAUUGAAGUCUUUACGUUUUCAGAAAUAGGUGCAGCAUAAAUAGCAAAAGUUGAUCCUUCUUUUGCUGCGUGUAUAAAUGCUUUUGCACCUAUCAGUACGGGUUUUAUUAUACUAGACUUAUAAUUUUUUACUUGGUUGGUAGAACUAUUAAUAACGCUUUGGAAAAAGUCAAGUUUACAUGAAUUCCAAUCUAUUCGAGGGUUAUAUUUUUCUAGCCAGGAUAAACCUAAAAUAACUGGAUUGGACGGGGAUUUAAUUAUGUUAAAAGCUAUGUAGCUAUCAUGACCGUCUAUUGUUACUUUUAUAGGAUGAGUUUCAUGAGUGACAUCUUCAGAAGACAAGGGACGACCAUCUAUGACUUCUACAUGUACUGGUUUAUGUUUCUGUACAAAGGAUAUUUUACGACUUUUAACAAACUGUUCAUCUAAAAAACAUGCUGAGGCUCCCGAAUCUAAUAAAGUAGAGGCUUUGUAAUUCUUAGGUCCUAAAUAUAAGUCUAUUAUAAAAUAAGGAGAGGGUUCUGAGGAGAGGAUAGGACCUUCAUUAGGAAUUGUACAAGGUUCCAGCUGCACGGUCCCUAUUGUAGCUGGACGAAUCCGUUUUUCGACAUAUUGUCUUCUUUGACCGUCGUACCCCUCAUUUUAUAGUUGCGUCGUUUCUUUGGACAAUGUUGAGCAGUGUGCUUAGGUUCUCCGCAAUAUAAACAUAAUCCUUCUUGACGACGACGAAUCUUUUCUUGCUCAGUUAGGGGUUUAAAACGUACCGCGUCAAUUUGCAUGUCUUCUACUUCCGAAUGUACGUUUGGCAAAGAUGUUGAUGUUGCCAUUGAGUAAUAACGUUGAGGUUCCCGUGAAUGAUUCUUGGAUCGAAAUUCAAAAAGUCGAUUAUCACAUUUUACCGCAAAAUUGAUUGCUUGACCCAAAGUUUGAGGAUCAGGUAAGUUGAGCAUCAAUUCCUUUACUUCGUAUUGCAAUCCAUAAAGAAAUUGACUGAUGAGUGCAGCAUCAUCCCACUUGAUGUCAAUUGCAAGUUGUCGAAAUUGUGAAGCAUAUACUGUUACUGAGCGAUUUUUUUGUCACAGAAUUUGGAUCUUAUUUGUUGCAACACGAGUUGCAUCGUGUUCACCAUACAUAGAUCGAAACUCCGCCAAAAAAGCUUCCAAAUUGUCCAAUAUUGGAUUUUGUUGUUCAAGAAAAGACGAAAACCACGAUAAUGCAGAGCCAGAAAGUAGAGUGCCAAUAAACCUCACUUGUGAUCCUGGAGUUGGAUAGCUUUGCGGUUGAAGUUCAAUUGCCAAUUGUACUUGAUUGAUGAACCCUCGAAACUUUAAUCUCGUACCAUCAAAUUUCUCAGGUAAGGCAAUUCUUGGUUCUCUAGUGCUUAUAGGGUGUUGUACAAUUGGAGAAGGAACGUGAUUUGUUGUAGAUGUUGAAGCAGCUCCGAUCAUCUCUAUAUCUCCACUUUCUGCUAUUCUUGUUCUUUCAUGUGUUGGUGAAUUGAGUUGAUGCAUCGCAAGCAUUAACUCCCUCAUUUGCUCUUGCAUUUGUGCCAUUGCACUCUUCAUUUCAACAAGCUCUGCCAUAAUGACACUAAGAAGAAAAAUUUGUUUGAUAUUGCUCAAGACAAAAGAAAAGAAAGACUUGAUAACAAAGAAGUUAUUAAGAACAAUAUCAGUUUAGAAGUGGGUAAUCUGCAAACUUCUAAUACGCUUAUGUCUUGUCAAGAGAAAGGGGUAAUCCACUCUUACUAAAGGAAAAACAAAGCUCUGAUAUUGUAAGUGUACUCUUGUCAAUCUAUCAAGGACAAAGACUCGAUGAGGGAAAAUAUACACCAAAAGGCUAUCUUGAUAUAUUAAGUCAAAAUAUAAACAAGUAGGUAUAUUAAAAGGAAACUAGAAUGGCUAUUGCCACAAGACAAGAAACUAAAGACUCUUGAACCUGGACUAGAAGCAAGAAAGGAGUUGACAAGAGUGAAGAAGCCUUCACUCUUGUCUCUAUAUAUACUAUCUAACUAGGGGCUACGUGGCGACGUUCUAUAGGACCUCCAAUAUGUGUUGACUUUGUAGGACACAUGCCUUGACUUACAAGGCAAGUUUUUCUACGUGUGGGCCACAUAAUUAGCUUGAUCUUCAAGCUAACAAUAUGUGUGGCACAUGGCCAACUUGUUGACCACGUUUUUAAUCCAAAAAGUCAAUUAAAGACACCUAUGAAGUCAAAGCAGCAUCUAGGAAGUUUCUAGGAAGCUUUUAUAUUAAAUAUUAUAGAAUUAACUUACUUUUAUCUACUUUUACUUACUUCUACCUAUUUCUAUAUGUAAUUAUUAGCUUACAUGAUUAUGGCCGUGACAUGUAUCAAUGUUUGUGGAUUUAUCAUUUUUUGAUCAAGUUCGCAAAGCCUUAAAUACAGAUCUUUUUGUUCUUAAUAUCAAGCGACUUGCCAACAACCUUCCUGAAGAGUCUUCUAAAUUCAAGUAUAAAGACAACCUCUUAUUCUUUGAGGAAUGUUUAUUCAUUCCUGAAGAAUACUAGCAUUGUCGUAUUACGUACUUUCCUGCUCGAGAACGUGCCGGGCGUCUGGCUGUAGAAGGUAGUAUGGAGAUUCACUAAUAUUCAAGCAGUCUAUCGAUUUUUGACUGUUGGAAUACAAACGAUUGCAAGAAUAUAUUGUAAAUCUAUAUGAAUGUCCUUUGAUUGCUCGUCGAAAACUUUUUUAUCCCAACUGGUAGGUUUCUAGACGUUACAGAGAACCCCAAACAAUCCUAUCUGCUAAUCUCCGAUACCGCUUUAUAUUCUCAACCUUGUAUCCAUUGAUUGUCUUGUUAGAUUAAUCCAAUAAAUUUCAUUUUUUUGCAUACUCAAUCCUAUAGACACCCUUUUAAUUCUUCAAUCACAGAUGUAACUUCAAUUUCACAAAACAGUCAAGAGUAAUCACACCUACUUCAUUAAAACCUGGAUUCACCAAUACAGCACUGACUUUAGCAACGAUUGCCUCAAUCUUCGCAAAACCCUAUAAAAAAAAAUCCCAAUUCUCUGUCUUUUUUCCGUGCCCGAAGCAUGAAGCUAGCUCUCCAAGCCUUAAAAAACCUUUAUUCUCUCCCUUCUUCAUUUCUUAACCUAUCCUCCCCUUUAAUCCUAAUUCUCCCAUCUUUCAAACCCUAGCCUCUGAAUUUCUUCAAUCUUUCGUCUUCAAUCUGGAAUUGAUUCCGCCGUCAGAGCUUUCUCUUCCGUUUUUACCUUUAAGAGAUCUUUUUACUGAAAAGACAUUCCUGGAAUGGCACAAAAGACGGAACAGCCUGAAACGGAAUCGGAGCCCUGUAAUCGGGACCACAUUGAGUCACCCGACCAAUUCAGCUCUUAUAUUGGCUAAGAGGCUCGUAGUAAGACCUGGAUGUUCCUGUUAUUGGACCGCAUUGGGUUGCCCGACCAAGUCAGGUCUCAUAUUGGAUAAAAGGCCCGUAAUAGGACCUGAAUUGGAUGUCUUGAAAUUGGAUCCAAUUGGCUCUUUGAACCAGGCUCACCCGUCGUUGAAUUGGUCUUUUCCCUUUCUGCUAACUCCCGUUAUUGGAAUCGAACAUAGCAUUUCAGUAUGCCCCGGCUGAUUGUAACAGGGUGACUGAACCUGGCCUCUCAGUAUUUGCACUGGAAUUGGUCGUUGCUCUCAAUAUUCGAGGUAAUUGAACAUUAAUAAAAGUUUCCUUUCUUUAUAUUUUCACGAUAUACUCAUGUUACAACACGACAGUGUGUUCUUUAGAUAUGCCAUGACUUUCUUAUAGUUGGACAUUUUAGAUUCAACAAGACCUUAGAACUUUUGUUUAGAGACUUUCGAUGGCCUAAAAUAUAAAAAGACGUUAAGAAAUUCAUACUAUCAUUUGAUACCAUUUCAAGGUCUAAGAAUCCUCAACAUUGGUCCUAUAGACUUCUUCAAUCCCUUCCUAUUCUAAAACAACCAUGGUCAUCUAUCUCUAUGGAUUUCAUUACAGAUCUUCCACCAAAAAAUUUAUUUGAUACUAUCUUUGUAAUUUCUGAUUGAUUAAUCAAGAUGACACAUUUUAUACCUUGUAAGAAGUUAAUUGCUAGUGAAGAGAUGACAAGACUCUUUAUUGGCAAUGUUUAUCAUUACUACAGCUUGUAAGAUGAUAUUGUGUCAGAUUGUAGAGCACAAUUUGUAUCAAGGUUUUGAAAGGUACUUUUCAAGAUUCUUAAGAUUGACAUCAACCUUUCUUUUUCCUUCCACCCUCAAACUGAUGACCAAAUGGAGAAAAUCAACUAAAUUCUUGAGUAAUAUUUGAGGUGCACCAUCAACUAUCAACAAGACGAUUAGACUUCUUACUUGUUGUUGACAGAGUUUACAUAUAAAAAUACAAUCCAUGCAUCUAUGUAACAAAUGUCAUUCUAUUCAAAGUAUGGACAUCAUCUAAAGUUGAAUAUAAUAGAGCCUUUAAAGUUGGCAAAUUCCCAACAGAGGAUUUUACUACGAAGAUGGUCGAAUUUUAAGCAACCAUAAAGUCUCACCUAGAAAGGGCUCAACAACAUUAUAAGCUAUUGGCAGAUGAAUUGAGGAAGAAAUAUCUUCUAUUUCAAGUUGGUGAUAAAGUAUGGCUUCUUUGGCACAAUAUAAAAACCAACAAGCGAUGUGAUAAGUUAGACUACCAAAGGCUAGGACUAUUUAAGAUUCAAAAAAAAAUUAAUUACUUAACUUAUCACUUGGAGUUACCUUCAUUUAUAAAAAUUCAUUUAGUCUUUCAUGUUUCACUUUUGGAAAGGUACAAAGAAUCAAACACAGAAGAUUAAAGACAACCACCACCUUCUAUAGUUGAAAUCAAUGAUCAUGUUGAAUUUGACAUAGAAGAGGUAUUAAAUUCAAGGAUAAGCCAUAGAAGACUUAAAUAUUUAGUACAUUGGCAUAGAUAUGAUAUCAACAAUUACACGUGGGAAUCAAUUGGUAAUCUUAUAAAUGUAUAAAUAAAGGUUCAAAGGAUCCAUCAAUGACAUCUUGUCAUGAACAUACUCAUGUAAGCCAGUUAUUAUAUAUAUAAAUAAGUAGAAAUAAGUAAAAAUAAAUAAAAGUAAGUUAAUUCUAUAAUAUUUGAUAUGGAAGCUUUGUAGAAGCUUCAUAGAUACUGCUUUGACUUUAUAGGUAUCUUUAAUUGACUUUUUGAAUUAGAAACAUAGUCAAGAAGUUAGCCAUGUGCCACACAUGUUGUUAGCUUGAAGACUAAGCUAACUAUAUGGCCCACACAUAGAAAAACUUGCCUUGUAAGUCAAAGCAUGUGUACUACAAAGUCAAUACAUAUUGGAGGUCCUAUAGAACAUCGCCUUCUAGCCCCUAGUUAGAUAGUAUAUAUAAAGACAAGAGUGAAGCCUUCUUCACUCUUGUCAACUCCUUUCUUACUUCUAGUCUAGUUUUAAGGGUCUCUAGUUUUUUUGGCUUUUUGGCAAUGGCCAUUCCAGUUUCUUUUUUAAUAUAUAUAUUAAAUUAUUUCUAUUUUAUCAUCUUUCUUUGAGAGAAGUUUCACUCUUUUAUUUGUCUUUAUCGUGUUCUUGUACCUGAUAGAUUGACAAGAGUACACUUACAAUAUCAAAGCUUUGUGUAAUCUUGAUUAAGAAUAGAUUAUCCAUUUUUUUGAUAAGACAUAAGCAUAUUAGAAGUUACGGAUUAUCCUAUUCUAAACUGAUAUUGUCUUUAGUAUUUUCUUUGUUCUCAAGUCCUCUCUUCUAUUUGUCUUGAGCGAUAUUAGACAUCUUCUCUUUUCUAAGUGUUAUCAUGACAAAACUUGCUGAAAUGAAGGCUGAAUUGAUACAAAUGCAAGAACAAUUGAGGGAGUUAAUGCUUGUGAUGCAUCAACUAAAUUUACCACCACAAGAAGCAACAAGAUUGGCAGGAAGUAAAGAUAUAGAAAUGAUUGGAGCUGCUUCAACAUCUCAUGUCCCUUCUCCUAUGGUGGAAUGCCCUUCCAGUGUUAGAGAACCAAGAAUUAUCCUAUCCAAGAAGUUUGAUGGCACCAAAUCAAAGUUUAGAGGAUUUAUCAAUCAAGUACAACUUUUGAUUGAACUUCAACCCCAAAGCUAUCCAACUCCAAGAUCGCAAGUUAGAUUCAUUGGUACGCUUUUUUCAAGUUUAGCAUUAUCAUGGUUUUUAUCUUUUCUUGAAUGGCAAGAUCCAAUAUUGGAUAAUCUAGAUGCUUUUUUGAUGGAGUUUUGAUCCAUGUAUGGAGAACAUGAUGCAAUUCAUGUUACAACCAAUAAGAUCCAUAUUUUACGACAAGGUAAUCAAUCAAUAACGUUGUAUGCUUCACAAUUUUAAUAACUUGUAACUGAUAUCAAGUGAGAUGAUGCUGCACUCAUUAGCCAAUUUCUCUACGGAUUACAAUAUGAGAUAAAAAAAUUAAUGCUUAACUUACCUGAUCCUCAAACAUUGAGUCAAGCAAUUGACUUUGCUAUGAAGUGUGAUAAUUGCCUUUUUGAAUUCCGAUUUGAGAACCAUACAAGUGGACCUCAACGUAACUAUAAUUCAAUAGCAAUACCAACAUUUCUUCAACACAUACAUUCAAAAGUAGAGGAUAUGCAAAUUGAUGCAAUACAUUUCAAAUCUCUUACUCAGCAAGAAAAGACUCGUCAUUGUCAAGAAGAUUUGUGCUUAUAUUGUGGAGAACCUAAGCACACUGCUCAACAUUGCCCAAAGAAAUGACGCAACCAUAAAAUGAGAAGUACGGCAAUCAAAGCAGAUAGCAUGUCGGAAAACGAAUUUGUCUAGCUACAAUAGGGACCGUGCGGCUGAACCUUAUACAACGCCUACUGAAGGUCCUAUCUUCUCCUUAGAACCAUCUCCAUAUUUUACAAUAAAUAUUAUUCUAGAAUCUAAAUAUCUCAAAAUCUAUGCCUUGCUAGAUUCAGGAGCCUCAGCAUGUUUCUUAGAUGAAAAAUUUGUUAAAAGACAUAGCAUAUUUUUAGUAAAGAAAAUUAAACCUAUUCAUGUAGAAGUCAUAAAUGGUCGUCCAUUAUUUUCAAGAGAUGUUACUCAUGAAACCCUUCUUAUAGAAAUAGCAACUAAUGGUCAUAGUAGUUUUAUAAUAUUUAAUAUCAUUAGAUCUCCUUCUAAUCCAAUCAUUUUAGAUUUAUCAUGGCUAGAAAAAUAUAACCCUAAAAUAGAUUGGACUUCUCAUAGUCUUGACUUUUUUAAAAGUAUAAUUAAGAGUAUAAUUAAUCAAGUAGAAAGUCAUAAGUCUAGUAUAAUUAAACAUACAUUUGUAGGUGCAAGAGCUUUCUUGCAUGCUGCAAAAAAAGAAUCACCUUGUGUCAUUUAUGCCACACCUGUUUCUACUGGUGGAAAGACUUCAAGUAGCAUUCUAAGCUAAUAUGAAGAUUUUUAAGAUAUAUUUGAGAAAAAGAAUGCGGAUACUCUUUCAGAAUAUUGUUCCUAUGACUGCUCAAUUGACCUUCAAGGAGCACAACCGCCAUUUGGACCAAUCUAUAAUUUAUCUCAAAAAAAGUUGGCUGAACUCAAGGAGUAUAUUGAAGAGAAUUUAGCCAAGAAUUUCAUACGUCAUUCCAAAUUCCUAGCAGGAGCUCCAAUUUUAUUUGUGAAGAAAAAAGAUGGAUCAUUGCAGAUGUGUGUUAAUUAUCGAGGACUGAACAAAAUCACUAUCAAAAAUAGGUACCCACUACCUUUGAUAUCUAAACUUCUUGAUCAGUGGAAUUAAGCUAAGAUCUAUACAAAAAUAGAUCUACAGGGAGUAUGUAAUUUGGUAUGCAUGAAAGAAAGAGAUGAAUGGAAGACUGCAUUUCGAACAAGGUAUGGAUAUUUCGAAUACAACGUCAUGCCUUUUGGACUUACAAAUGCACCAGUAGCAUUCCAACAUCUAAUGAAUGAUGACUUUCGGGAGUUUUUAGAUGUUUUUAUUGUAUGUUACCUAGAUAACAACUUAAUCUAUUCUAAGAACCCAGAAGAACAUGAACUUCAUAUUUGCCAAGUAUUACAAAAAUUGAGAGAUGCAAGACUCUAUGCCAAGAUAGAAAAAUGUGUAUUUCACACUACUCAAGUCGACUUCUUAGGAAACAUCAUUUCAAAUGAUGGACUUAUGAUGGAUCCUAAAAAAGUUCAAACUAUUAUGGAUUGGAAGAUCCCAAAAACGGUAAGAGAUGUCCAAUGCUUUUUGGGAUUUGCCAACUAUUAUAGGAUCUUCAUCGAAGUCUUCUCUCAAAUUACAACUCCACUUACACAUUGUUGUAUUACGUGCUAUCUUGCUUGAGAACACGUCGAGCAUCUGGCUGUAGGAGAUAAUAUGGUAUUUUGCUAGUACUCAAGCAGUCUAUUGGAUUUUUGACUAUCCAAAUACAAUCUAUAUCAGAUUGCAAUGUAAAAGCUUAAUUCCAAUAUAAAACGCUUAGAGACCCUAUAUAACUUCAAUCUCUUUUGUUAUUUUUAUUUUAUUUUAUUUAUUUAUGUUUUUUAUUUUAUCUUUAUCGUUAAUUAUCUUAAUCCUAGACCGUGAACUUCGGCAAGCUGUGAUCCUCAAUCUGUCCUUCUAACUUCUUGUGAAACAUCUAUCGCUAAUGUCUCAACAAGCCCUUUCGAAUGCUCAAGAAGUUCCAGUUCAACCCCACUUACAGAUUGUGAGGCUAUGGUGCAAUCCGCACCGAUGUCCCUUGGCCGCUCGCCGAUAUUCCUCUUAUCCUUGUCGGUAGGUCCUUAGUUAUCAUAGAACCCUAAACAACCCCCAAUUUACCAACUCCCAAUACCUCUUUAAACUGUUGGCAGAUAUCCUCUAUCCGUACAGUCAGAUUAACACAACCACGCAUGCAUUCAGCAUACUCAACCUUUUAGACAACUCUAAAUUUCAACCACAGAAGUAUCUCCCAUUUCAUCAACAAUAAAGAGUACCAACCUUUCCUCUCUUAUGAAAAAAAUCUAGUUCACCAAUACAAUACUGACUUUCAACAACGAUUGCCUCAGUCUUUCCAAAAUCCUAUGAAGAAAAAAAAUCCCAAUUCUCUGUCUUUUUGAAGCAUGAAGCUAGCUCUCUGAUCCUUAAAACCCUGAUUCUCCAAAAAAUCCAUUUCUUAACCUAUCCUCCCUUUUAACCUUGAGAAGAUCCUAUUCUUCCUCCUUCGACUCUCCGAAUUCGAAAAACCGAUGUCGUAGUGUAAAUGCUUAUAAUAUGUAAAAAUUAGUUAGAACACAUUAAAUUUUAAUAAAUCUAAAUGUAUGUUAGAGUGGAUAAUAGAUUAAAUUAAAAAGAGUUGGUAUGAAAAAACUUUAUUUUGUUUUCCUUACUUAGUUUGAUUAUAAUAUAUAAAAGUUAUAGAACCUUAAUGUUAAGUAUGAAGCCUUGAGAGGAGAUAGGGGCCUAAAGAUGAAGAUUUAAACUAAUAGGACGUUAAUUGGGAGGGAUGAAACCAAGGCAUGGUUGGAUGAAGGUAGAAAUAAGGAUCUUCAUCUCCAUUGGUCGAAAUCCAUGCCCAAUGGGCUUUUAGGAGGCUGCCCGCGACCUUGAUAAGGGUUUCGGCGACUUAAAAGAAGCUAUUAGGAAAUCAGAGGCAAGGGUUGUAAAGUUUAGGGUUUUGACUACAAUUUUUGUACAAAUUUUAUAGGGUUUGGAGUUAGGGUGAAUAAGUUAUAGCCGUUUGAAGUUAAGGUGUUAAUUUGAGACCUACUGUUACUCUUUUGAGUUUAAGAGGAGUCUUACGGAAGCUUUUGGAGAUCGCAAGGUGCGGCUAGAAGGGAAACUUCAAGACAUACAUCUUUUGCAAAGGAAAUUUUGUAUUUGGAGUUUAUGAGAAGGAGUUAUAGGGAGUUAAAAACAGCGCAUUCAAAUCAAAGGCAGUAAGUGAGCGGUUUUGUUCAAAGUAGUAUUAGGAGCCCUAACUUGAGUUUUCAAACGAAAUUUUGGCUCAAACUUUGGGAGAAUGUAAACAUUUGUGUUAAGAAGCUAUUUAUAUAAUUAUCGUGGUAUUUUGAUUUAUGGUUUGUGAGAUAUAAAGAAAAUUGCGCGCGAGUAUAUAAAGAUUAGGGUUUAAAGCGACUGUUAGGAUUUUGAAGAUAUCUCAAGAUCUGAGACGAAUUUGCGGUUGAAAUUUGUUGUACAAAUUAAUAAAAACAUAUCAGUACUUCAUGUAAAAUUUGAUCUUGUUUAGACGGUUGGAUCAAGAGUUAUGAAAUGUUGAGGUUCGGGAGAAUUUCCACACAAGGAUAUACAAGGUUUUAGAGUACUUCUACCAUAUUUUGGGUGUUGUUGGUUAUUUAAGACUUAAGUAUUUGGUGUAAUUGUCCCAAAAGAAGAACUUAUAUAUAUAUAAUUAGGGUUUCCUUAUUUUAAGCUUGAUUGAGCAAUAAGUGACAGCCAGAAGCCCAGCGCUUUCUUGAGGCAAAACCUCUCUACCAUGAUAUCUUGGUGCUUCCACUGAGAGAGCCUUAAGGCACUAAUUUCCUCAAUAAGUUAAAAUGGGGGAUGAAAAUCCAGGGUUUGGAUUACCAGGAGGUAUAGGUGCCUAUGAUUUAUUCAGGGCAUUUGCUCAAUUUAUAGAGGAAAGGCAACAGGUGCAUGGAGAAGAUAAGAGCACCACUAAUGCCUUACAAGUUGUGGUGGACAAGAUUGGGAGGUUUGAUGGAAGGAAUAUCACCAAGUUCUUAAGGAUUUACAUAUGUGAAAUGGAGGUGCAUCAAGUUCCAAAAAUGAAGAUCAUUACUACCUUUGAUUUGGCACUGAUACUAGAAAUAAGGGAGAGAGUGCAAGAGUUACAUGCAGAGGCUAUGUCAUGGAAGAAAUUUGAAGAAUUAUUGAAAGAUGAAUUUUUUGAGGAGUAUUCAGAAAGAAUAACCAAGGUGACUUUUUUGGAGUAGAUUUAGCAAUGGCCUAGGAAUCAAAUGGCUCCAAAUGAAUUAAUCAAGGAGUUUGAAACAAAGUUUGGUCAAUUGUCACGGCAAGAGAGGCAGCUAUUGGAAAUAAAGAAAAUUGGAUUAUUCUUGCAAGCAGCUGAUGAACACCUGGAAGAUAAGUUACUCUUUCACCUAACAGACAAGACAUCUGAGAGUGGUUUUACAAAUAAUUGGAAGCUAGUAAAAGAGAUAGUGGAACUUUUGACUAAACAACAGAAGAUUAAGGCUCAUGGUAUAAUAUCAAGGUUGGAACCAAUGCCUGCAUCUCAAAAUCUAGAGCCACCUCAAAAAAGAAUAAAGACUAUGAAGAAUGAUACUCUUGAAGAAUUAAUCAAGGGCAUACGGGAUUUGAAGGUGGAAAUGAGUGAAUUGAAGAAAUCUCAAAUGGUAAGCUCAUCAAGGGUAGUUGAAGGGUCAAAAGGAUUUGUAGAGAGAUGUAUGUGGUGUGACAAUCCAAACCACAAGCAUGGUGAUUGUGAUAGCUAUAAAGCUACAAUCAAGGAUGGUAUUGUAUAUUUCAAGGAGGGUAGGAUAAGACUCACAGGAUCAGAUGAGCCUUUAAAGACCAAUUUUGGAAAGGGUGGCAUGAAAAAAUUGGUAGAAGAUCAAACAUCAAAGAGUAAUGCUAUAAAAGGAAAGGAAGUUGAAGCUUAUUCUAUUACGGUUGAACAAAAGGCAGUUAAGGCUAAUUCUUCAUCAAGCACUAAAGCCAUGAUCAAGGGAGCUCAAGCUAUCAGAAAGAUAAUUGGAUGGGAUGAUCCAGCUGAUAUCAUUAGCAUUAAAACUUUUUUGUGUAAAGACAAACAUGAUAAUGAUUUGCAUGAUGCUAUGGUUGAAGAAAAAAGAGGUAGAGCUAUUCGUGAAGAAGAUGUUGGUGAGCCAGUAAGCAAGAAGAGGUCUCCAAGAAAUAAAGAAGCUCAAGAAGAACAAAAACUUGAAAAGGUGCCUUCUUCUACUCGUCUUGGAGACACACCAUUACCAAAAGAGUGGUGGAAGAAAGACAAAAUGAAUAAGAAGGAUGAUUCUAACAAAGCUAAAGGUAAAACUCUUACCUAUAAGCUUCAAUCUGAUAUAGAGUCAUCAACAGAUAUGAAGAGUAUUUUAGAAGAGAAGAUCUUGGAUGCAAAGAUUGAAUUCACUCUAAGAGAGGAUCUUGGUAUUGCCAAGAGGGAUUUCUAUGAGUUGAUUAUCAAUGUGAUAAAGAGAAAGAGGCAGAUGAUAACUGAAGCUAUUAUGGUGGAAGCAUUAGACACUCAGAUAACUGUGAAUGAAGAAGAAGAGAUAGGGCAGGUAUUUACACAAUUUGCAAUGCCAAAAGUUGGAAGUAAGAUUGAUAUGGAAGAUAAGGAUUCACUUAAACAAGUUGGGGUUAUAAAAGAGCAUCAAGUGGAAUACGCAUCUGACGAAUCUAUUAUGAAAAAAGAAAUUAUAUAAGAAGCAUGUGUAAAUACUUAUUCUAAAUGUGAUAAUGAUGGAAUGGAAAAUAGUAGCUAUUCAGUUCCUUAUUGGGCUAGAGCUACUACAGAGGCAUAUGUGAGGCUGGGAGAUUCUCAAGAUCCAACUUUGGCCUUAGUUGAUUAUGGAGCUGAAAUCAAUAUUAUGUCAAGGCGGAUAUAUGAGAAGAAUAAAUGGCCAAUUGACAUCAACCAUGGUUUGGUAAUUAGAGCAGCAAAUAAUCAACAAGGUGAUUUAUAUGGAGCUUGUCCAGCUAUAAAGACGUGGAUUAGAGAUGUGGAGGUGGAGCAAAAUUUCUUCAUACAAAAUUCUGCUACAUAUCCAGUAAUACUUGGUCAAUCCUAUAUUACUGCUGCUAGAAUGGAGACUAGAGUCUUGGAUGAUGGUUCACAUUAUGCCAGGAUUCGUAGUUGGGGUGGAAAAAAAGGUGUGUAAUUUAUUACUAUGAAACCUGUUCAUGAGAGGCACACGGAGCAAAUAAGAUGGAUGCCUUUGGAACCAAGAAAUAAUUUUUUGGAUUUCUAGAGAGCACCUCUGUAGGAUGGACACACAUGGGUGUAAAUGAAUCAUCUAUAAAUCCUAGUGUAGAUAAUAUGAGUUUUGGAUUUUUAAACUUGACUAGUAAUGGAUUUGUGAAUAUUCAAAAGAUCAAAGAUUUGGAUUUUGUAAAUAAAAGAAGGAUGAAAAAACAAAAGAAAAACUUAAAAAGAGUGGAUUUAGUUUCAAGUGAUGAAGCCAUAGUUGGAAUAAUAGAAGAAGUGGAUUUUGAAGAGGAUUUGAUAGAAGUUUUGGAGGAUUUGGCUGUAAGCAUGGAUGGAGAUGCUAUUAUAGAGUUACACUCAAGGAGAACUUAUAAGGAGUUAGAAAAGAUGGUAGCAAAUGGUGGACUUGCUACAAGCUAUGGGUUGAAACAAGAGGCUAAAAUAAAAACUAAAUAUAAAACUGUAGCUAAAAAGAUUAAACCUGUAGCUACCCAAUUACCAGUGGAUACUAUGAAGCAUAUCAAACAAGCAAUUAUAGAGCCAAGUUUAAGGGAAAGGUACAAAAUUGGACAUCAAUUUACUCAAGAAUCAUUAUUUAAGCUGAAGAUUGGAGGGGGUGAUUUCUUGACAUCAAUAGAGAGGAAUCUUUUUCAAGAAAUGCUUAUUGAACAUGGUAAGGCAUUUGCCUUAAAUCUUGAUGAGAUUGGAUGUGUGGAUCUUAAUUUUAUAGCACCUAUGGUAAUUUUUACGGUACCACAUAUUCCAUGGGAUUUAAAACCUAUACUUGUGCCUAGAGCUUUGCUUCCAAAAUUGAUAGAAUUAUUGAAGAAAAAAGUGAAGAUGGAAAUUUUAGAACCUUCAAUUGCUCCCUACUGUAAUAGAUGGUUUACAGUACCCAAAAAGUCAGGACAUUGAGUUUCAUUCAGGAUAUGCAACUUACAAAUAAAGUGACUAUCCGAAACAUGGGAUCAGGACCUAUAGUAGAUGAAGUGGUUGAGUAAUUUACAGGUCAUGCCAUCUAUUCUAUUGGAGACUUGUAUUCUGGGUAUGACCAAUUUCAAUUGGCUAAAGAGAGUAGAGAUUUAACCACUAUGAAGACUCCUUUGGAUUUAAUGAGGAUGUGUACUUUACCUCAAGGUGCAACCAACUCAAUGGCUCAUAUGCAAAAUGCUAUGAACCAAAUAUUAAAAGACUUUGUACUUGAGAAGACCAUCCCAUUUUUGGAUGAUAUACCUAUUAAGAGAGAUAGGGAAGAAGAUAAGGAUGAGACCAUGGAGGUUGAAGGUUGUAGAAAGUUUGUCAAGAGGCAUAUUGAAGAUGUGGCUAAGAUAUUGGAGAGAUUGAAAUCAGUUAACUUGACAUUAUCUUUAGAGAAAUCAAGCUUUGGAGUUGAUGAAAUUCUAGUCAUGGGACACAUGUGUGGCAAGUAUGGUAGAAAAUCAAACCCUGAUAAGGUUGAUGCUAUAUCUAAAAUGAAGACUUAUAAAAGUGUUACAAAAGUCAAAAGGUUUUUAGGGGCAUGUAUAUUCUAUCACAUUUGGGUGCCUCACUUUGCUCAUAUUUCAAAACCACUAUACAAGUUAUUGAGGAAAGGUAAGAAAUUUGUUUGAGGAGAAGAACAAGAAAUAGCUAUGGAAAAUCUAAAGAAGAUGUUGAGUUCACCACCUGUGCUUAGACAAGUGGAUUGUCAAUGUGGAAGACCAGUAAUUGUAACAGUGGAUACAAGUCCUAUAGCAAUUGGAUGGACAAUUGGACAAGAUGAUAUGGAAGGGAGAAGAUUUGCUAUAAGAUUUGGAGCUAGAAUUCUUACAAAGAGACAAAGGCCUUAUCCACAAGUUAAAAGAGAGCUUUGGAGAGCACUCACUGCUCUAAAGGCUGAAAGAAAUUAUUUGAUUGGAGCAAGUGUGGUUUUAGAAAUAGAUUGUUUACCUUUACUAGGAAUGAUAAUUAACUGCACUACUCAAGAUAUUGCUAUGCUAAGAUAGAUAGCAUAUAUAAGAACAUUGAAUCCUGUUUUAGUAUAUAUUACUGAUAAAGAAAACUUAGUGGCAGACAUGUUUUCUUGAGCCAGAUAUACCUUUGAAGAAGAAAUGGUGUCUCAUGAAAGGAUUGAAGAUCAAGAAGACAAGAACCACGAAAAUUUAUUUUCUAUAGGUAGAAUGGAUUUUCAUGAUGAGGCUGAAAUUUUCCAUAAGGAUUUGUAUGAAAGCAAAUUGAGGGAUAUUGGAACUUACUUGAGCACAAUGAAGAAGCAAGAAGGAUGGAUGGAUAAGACCUUCAAAGAUACAUGACUUUGUAAGUUCAUGUAUAGAGUGUCAACUACAAUCCAAGGUUAGAUAUAGAGAUGGAUUACAUCCUACUUAUCCACCUUCUAUACAUUUUCAAUAGGUGAUUGAUUUGGUAGCUAUGCCAUUAGGACUUUGGGAUAUGAAAUACUUGGUUUUGGCAAGAGAGGAGCUAUCAAAUUAUGUUGAAGGGAGGGCUUUGAGAACCAAGACCACAAAAGCAGUACGUAGGUUUAUAUUGGAAGAUAUCUUCAAUAGGUAUAGAAGCAUUGGAAGGAUGAGAGCUGACAGGGGAGAGUUGGAUGCUGUUGAAGUAAGAGAAUUCUUCAACAUAUAUGGAGUUUAUUUGAAAUUGAUUAUUUCUUAUAAUCCUGAAGCCAAUGGUAAGAGUGAAAGAGUUCACCCUCCUAUUAUUUAUGCAUUGGUCAAGGCAUGUAAGGGUAAGUCAAUUCAAUGGCCUAAAUUACUUCCAUUUGCUUUAUGGGCUGAUAGGACUACUCAUAGUACUGUCACUGGUUAUAUGCCCAUGGAAUUAAUAUUAGGACAAAAACCUAUGAUGCCACCUAAAAGAACAUAUCCUACAUGGAUGUUUCUAUCUUGGAAAGAUAACAUUGAUAAGGAAAGAUUGUUAGAACUUCGAAUCCAACAAUUGAGAAGGUUACCUGAAGACUUGCAGAUUGCACUAGAGAGGUUAAAAGAAGCAAGGUUAAAAAAUAAAGAAAGAUUUGACAGGACUCAUAGAUUAAGGCCUAGGCCUAUAGAAGGUGGAGACUGGGUUCUAGUUUAUGAUAGUAGCCUUGAACAUCAACAUAGCACCGUAAAGAAAUUUGCAAAAAUAUGGUUUGGACCAUAUGUGGUAGUCACAGUCCAUGAUAAUGCCGCAUAUACCUUACGGGAGUUAGAUGGAGCUAUCAUUAGAAUUUCUUCAUCUUCUUCUUUAUCUUCAAGCAUGAAUUCCAACUACUCUUGUAACUUUCCAUCAGCAGCUUGAAAAAAAAGCUCCACCUUACUUGGAUCCAAUAACUGUCUUUCUUUCUUUGAUAAAGAAGAAUAUUGCUUUUCAAACUCCCUUAAUAAUUCUAUUGCUAGAAGAUCCUUCUUUGGCUUUUCAAUCCAUUCAAAAAAAGACCUUUUUGUAACCCUAUCACUAUCUUCUAAAAAAAACUCAACUUUCAAAGCUUGAGAAAAUUUCUCCCAUGAACCUCCAAAGUGUUGAAUAAGAAACUUAACUUGAUUUCUUAUCUCUCGUGCAGAGGCUAAUUCAAAUAAUUGAACCAUCUCACUUUUUGAAAUACGCUUCAAUUCCAUUUCCUUUACAUAACAUCUUAAAUAUUUUAUAAUAUCCUUUCCUUCAAAUUGAUCAAUCUUGUCCAUGACCGCUUGUAAUGCUUUGUUAGCCAUACUCUCUUUGUGAUCUUUAACCUAUUGCUCUUGUUGUUGCAUGAAUAAGGUCAAAGCUUCAAACAUGCUUGUGGAGUUAGGAUCAAAAUACAUACAUUGUCCUCCAAAUGAAGCUCUUCUUCCAACUCCACUUGAAGCACUAUCCAAAUUGCCUCCUUUAAUUUUCUUUUAAUUCUUUCUCUAAAAUUCAAAUAAAUAAAAAAAAAAUAAUAAUAAAUUCCUUCCACCUCAAGCGUUUCAUGUCGGGUUCACCAAAUAUGUCGUAAUGUGUGAAGUCUUGCUUGAGAAUGCUCCGGGCACUUGGCUGAUGAAGGAAGAAUAGUAAUUGCGAUAACAAAAUCCUAAAUAGAAUACUAACAAUACUCUAAUUAGACUAUAAUAAUGGUAAACAAACGUAAUCAAAUUCAAAACAACUCAAAGAAAUUUCAAACAAACAAUAAAAUUCUUAAAGAAAUAUUAGAAUGAUCACAAAUUUUAUUCACAUAUAUGUCAAUUCAAUAUUAAUUUAAUUCUAGUUAAAACCCUAUUGAAUUUCACUCAACUUUAGACUAAAUCUAAUUAAAUCUUAAACCCUAAUAAUUCCUAAAUUCUAAGUCAAAUCCUAAACAAAUCUUAAAUUAAAUCCUAUUCCAAAUCCUAAAUACUAAAUCAAACCCUAAAUCAAACCCUAAUCCAACCCUAAACCCUAAAUCAAACCUUAAAUCAAAUCCUAACCAAAUCCUAAUCCAAAUCCUAAAUCAAAUCCUAACCAAAUCCUAAACCCUAAUCCAAACCCUAAUCCAAAUCCUAAAUCAAACCCUAACCAAAUCCUAAACUCUAAUCCAAACCCAAAUCUAAUUCUAAACUCUAACCCAAAUCCUAAAUCCUACACCAAACCUAAAAAUCCAAAUCCUAAUCCAAUCCUAAAUUCUAAUCCAAAUCCUAAAUCCUAAACCAAACCUAAAAAUCAAACCCUAACCAAAGCCUAAUCCAAAUCUUAAAUCAAACCCUAACUAAAUCUUAAAUCCUAAUCCAACCCUAGUUCAAACUCUAAUCCAAAUCCUAAAUCAAACCCUAACCAAACCCUAAAUCCUAAUCCAAAUCCUAAUCCAAUCCUAAACUCUAAUCCAAAUCCUAAAUCCUAUGACAGAUUUAAACCUCAAUACCUAAUGAAUAAACUCUCGAUCUCAAUUCAAAAUUUUUACACUCCUUAAAAAUCAAGUUCAAAACAAGCAAAAAAAAUUUGAAAAGGAUCAGAGUUACUAAAUUGACGAAAACCUCAAAAAUGUGUUCGAGUGUUAGCCGGCCUCUUUCUCCAAUCUUGUUGCCAACCUUCCAGAGCCAAUUUCUCCUUUGUGCACCGUUUGAUUGGUUUCAAAUUUCUCAUUGACAUAGUAAAACAAGUCUAAUAUCUUCUCACCUAAGUUUUACUCCAAUCUAACCAGUAGAUUGCAUGAAAUCUUAAAAACCCUCACUGGACCUAAAAUUCUACUUUUUGAGACCUUGACUCACUUAAACCUCAAUAUCUCUCAAUUCAACUGUUAGAUCAAGCUCAAAUUCACAACAUGUAUUCAGCACAAUUAAAACCAUAAAUUCAAAAAAAUUCACCCAUAGAUCUGCAACAAAACUCUCGAAAUCACUCAAAACAUAAACCCUAUUUUAUUUCAUAAACCCAAGUCAUCCAAAAACAAACUCAACUUUGCAAAGCUCUUACAAAUUCAUAUCAACUCCAAAUCACCCAAAAUUAAUGCCCAUAGAAAUCCUAUCCAACCUUCUCUCCAAUUCCUUUCUCUGAUCUGCCAAAGAGUCCUAAAGUCAUCGUCGAGACUCGGUUUUGUGCCUCAAGGUCUAAAUUCGACUUUGGUUCAUCACUGGCCCUCUCCGGGUAUCAAUAUUUAGUUUUUCUAAGUAAAUUUUUUCUAAAAUUUACUCUUCACUUUCUUCUAAAGAUCCCUAUAUCAUUUAUUUUCCCAAUCUACUUUGAUUUGCCUUACUUAUGGUACUACAAAAUAAGUAGAAGUCACCUUUUUAAAAGGCAACAUUGGUACCUUUUAAUUUUUCUACCCCUUUGGCUAUUAACUAUAUUUCUAAGAUAAUUUGUUCUAAUACUUUGAACUAAGAUCUCUUAAAUUAUAAUAAUCUCUACACUCUUUCACGUAUUAAUCGUGUUACAUCACAACAACGGUCCAAACUAACAUUUUGAAACUUCCGUAAAGUACUAUAUUGGUUGUCCAAAAUACUAUCAUAAACAAGUACCCAAUUACCUUCUUCAAUUGCUUUAGGUCUCAAUCGAUGUUACUUAUCAAAUCGUGCCUUGUUUUGUAACCUUGCUCUUUUUAACCUUUGCAAUGCUAUUUGCACAUCUUCCGAUCUUUGCUCCAAUUGUCGAAUCCUAAUAGCCAGAAGUUCUUCUCUUGUCAAUCCAUCUUCCUAUGGUAGGAUACUCCAAAUAAGUAUCCUUUUUUCAAUCAGCAUAAUUGAUUUUUGACCUGUCAUAAGUUCUACUCGUAUAUAUCCUGUCAGCGAACUAUGUAUUGUUCGAUCAGCCCAUAAUGCAAAUGACAAAAGCCGUGACCACUUUCUAACUUUUCCAUUACAAGCUUUAACUAAUGCUUUUACAAUCGGUGGGUGACCACGUUUGCUUUUUGCAUUCCCUUCCGGAUUAUAAGCAGUAGUCAGUGAUAGUUUAACUCCACAUCUUUCAAAGAACUAACGAGCUUCUUGUGCAUUUAAUUCUCCACGAUCUGCAGUAAUUUUUCCUACGCAUCCGUAGCGGCAAAUGACAUCUUCAAGCAAAAACCUACAAAUUCCCUCUACAGAUUUUGUCCUCAAUGGUCUUCUUUCUACUUGAUUUGAUAAAUCUUCACAAGCUAAAACCAAAUAUCUCGUUUGCCAUAACCCAACUGCCAUACUAACUAAAUCAACAAUCCAUUUAAAAUGAAUAGCCAGAGGAUAUGUAGGAUGAAGACCAUCUCGAUGUCGGAUAUUAGAAUAUGAUUGACAGAUUUCACAUAACUCUAUAAAUGAGAGCACAUCUCGAUACAUAUUUUUCCACCAAUAUCGUUCCUUGAGUUUAGCAAAAGUAGCCUAGAUUCCUCUAUGUCCUGUCUAUAAACUAUCAUGAAACUCCUUUAAUAAUUUUAGUUUUUUUUCCUUUUUGCCUAUCACUCGUUGUGGCAUCCCAAUUCCUUUCUUCGGUCUCUUCUAUAAGAAUCUAUCUCGAAGCAAAAAUCCAUAUGCUUUUUUUCUUAUUUCUUUGAAUUUUUUUGUAGACCAAUUCCCUUGCUUAGUCAAAGUAUUCAAGUAAUGACCAAUAUUCAAUAAUUCUCCUUCAAAAGAUUCUUUAAGAAAUAGCUUGUCUUCUCUAUUGAGAUUUGAUAUUGAAUAGAAUUUCAAUCCGACGUCAUCAAUGUCUUCAACCAUUUUGUCCUCCCUCUCAUAUCUUAUUCGAGAUAGCAUGUCUGCUAUUAAAUUAUCUUUCCUAUUAACAUGCUUAAAUUCCGAAUUUAGUGACUUAAUAUAAGCAAUCUAUCUCAACAUUGUAAUAUCUGGCGUUGAACAGUUAAUAAUCAUUCCAAGCAAUGGCAAGCAAUCUGUUUCAAUUACUACUAUUUCCCGAAUCAAAUAGUCCUUUUUAGCUUUUAUAGCCGAAAUAACUCCUCAAAGUUCUCUUUUGACUUGCAAAUAUACACGCUGACGAAUACUUAAAACUUUAGCUCCAAAUCGAAUUGCAAAUCUAUUCCUACUUGAAUCAUCUUGAUCCACAGUCCAUCCAAUGGUAAUUGGACUAGUGUCCACAAUAAGAAUCACAAGUCUAUUCCACUUAUAAUCAACAUUCCUCAAUAUUGGAGGUGACAUCAAUAAUUUCUUCAAUCUUUGCAUUACCUCAAUAUGUCUUUUUUCCCAUUUAAAUUAGUAGCUCUUGCAAAACAAUUCAUAUAAUGGAUCCGCUAUGUGAGCAUAAUGAGGGAUCCAGAUUCGAUAAAAUAUACAUGCACCUAAAUACUUGCGAACCUCUAUUAAAGAAUCACAAUCCUCUUUUAUCCUUUCAAAUGCAUCAACUUUAGUCAGAUCCGAUUUUCUUCUGUAAGAUCUACAUAAAUGUCCAACAAUCACAACCUCUUGUACUUCAAAUAUGGAUUUCAUAUCCAAUAAUAUAAGAUGAACUUCUCCAAGCCGAGUUAAAAUCUUCUCACAAUCUUGUAUAUGAUCAACAACAUAUUUGCAACACCCCCUCUUAUCUAAAGUUUCAUUCUUGUCUCCUUCUCUGCACCCUUUUAUAGGAACAUCAUCCAGAAAAGGUAUAGUCUUUUUCGGAAUAAAAUCUCUCAAUAUCUUAUUCAUCCCAUUCAUCAUAUGCGCAACUGAGUUGGUCGUGCCUUGAGGAAGAGUGCACAUUCUAAUCAAUCCGAGUGGUGUCCUCAUUGUCGUCAUAUCUCUACUUCCUUCGACAAGUUGAAAUUGAUCAUAACCUGAAUACAAGUCACCCAUUGAAUAGAUCGCCCUUCCUGUAAACGCCUCAGCAAAUUCAUCCCCAAUAGGUCCAAUUCCUGCAUUCCUGACGGUUACUGCAUUCACCAGUUGCAUAUCUUGAAUAAAAUGUAGUGACCCAUUCUUCUUAGGUACCAUAAACCAUCGACUAGAAUACUGCGCAAAUCAGGGUUUCAAUAUUUUCAUCUUCAUCUUUUCUUUUAAUAGUUCCACCAAUUUAGAUAAAUGUACCCUCGGUACUAGAAUCGGUCUUAGAUUCCAAGGUACAUGCGGUACAGUGAAGAUAACCAUAGAUGUUAUAAUAUUUGGAUCCACACACCCAAUUUCAUAAGAUUUGAAGGCAAACGAUCUACCUUGUUUAGCCAACAUCUUUUUGAAGCAAGUAAUUUCCUCCUGCAAUAAAUAACCAUCAGAACCAAUCUUCAAUUCUUUAAAAGUCUCUUUAGUAAACUAAUGUCCAAUACUCAUUGGAUCUCUUAAACUUGCUUCUUUUGAUGUUUUUCCCAUUUGUUCCUUAAAAUCUUUUGGUAAUGGUCUGGCAACACGCUUUAUCUUAUCUGCCGUUUUAUAUUUCAUCUCUACAGUGACUUCUGGUGCUUGAAAAGAUUCAAGCAUGAUAUAAACCUCUCUUGAAUGAAUCUCAACAAUCUUAUUAUUAUCCCCUAACCAGAUAGAUGUAAUCAAUUCUAAUGAAUCUUCCAGUCCAUUUUCUUCAUAAACACCUAAAAUCCUCUCAUCAUCUUGCAAUGUACCUAACUUACUUAAUUCUCCUUCAAUAUUAUAUAAUCUUUUUCUUUCUUUUCUUUUAAAAUCAUCAAUUUUUUUAUACAUAAUAUUUCCAUUCUCCAAAAUACCAAUAAAACUCGCAUCAAAGGCACCUUCAUCUCGUGAGAGUACCUCCUCUUUUGUACCUCCAUAAUCUUGCUUUAUAGUGGUACCUCCCCAAAAUCCUUAAAUGCUUCAACAAUCUUUAGCAAUGGUUUCUCCCUCAACCUAUCUCAAUUCCGUUCAUGGUUAGGAGGUACUGUUAGAAAUUGUACAACUUUCCUCCCAUCUUCGCUACGUACCCUUGCAUAAGCAGAACCAUCGUCAAAUACUUUUGUUUCCAUCCAUGUUGCCAUAAUAUAAGGUUGUCCUAAAAUCAACGGAUAAGAUGUUGUAUCUAGAACAAAGAAAUGUUGCUCCGUCGCAACAUCCUCAAUCCAAAUUUUGACAUCUGGACAAGCUCCAUAUAAUUCGCCCUGUGUGUUAUUAGCUGCUCGUAUUACCCAUCCAUGUUCCAUAUCAAUUGGCCAUUUUUGCUUCUUAUAAAGAUCUUUAGACAUGAGAUUUAUUGCAGAACCAUAGUCGACUAAAGCAAUAAUUGGUUCUUCUAUAUUUUCUACUUUCACCAAUAUCUCAGUAGUUGCCCUUGCACAAUGCUUUAGAGUAUAAUAGCUCAAAGUUUCCAUUUCCUUAUCACUAUAAUCUUUGAAACGUACUCGUUGAUUAUACCCAUUCUUUUCAUUUGUUGGUUGCUUGUAACCAAUAUCAACCUCUUCUUCAUCUUUAUAUAUUCUUGCAUCAAUAGCAUGACUCAUUCCAGUUUCGUCCAUUAAUUACCUCUUUCGCUUAAUGCUGUCAAUGAUAACAUCAUGAAACUCCUUCUUUGUAAUUCCCAAAACUUCUUUCAAUGUGAAUUCCACCUUAGCAUUUAAUAUACGUUCUUCCAACAUCCCUUUCAAAUUUGUUGCCGCUUCAAGGUCAGAAAGUAGCUUAUAAGCAAUUAAUUUGCCCUUAUCUUUUGUCUCCCUUGUUUUUUCUUCCAAUAAUGCUGAGAUAUCUUUUAUAGGCAAUUCUUGUGAAGUUGCCUCCCGAGCCUUAUCUCCUUGAGUUUGCCUCUUAGAAGAAUUUCCUUCUCUUGUAUCAUCAAAAUUUUGUCGCCUCUUUUCUUCUAUCAAAGCUUCAUGUUGGCUCUUAGCAAUAUAUGCAUGAACUGAAAGAGACUCAACAGGAUCCCCCCAAUCUGUUGCACCUCGUAUUGUAGCUGCAGUCCUCAAUAAAGCUUCUCGAGGUAAUUUUCCUUCUUGCAUUGUAGAAACGACAGAAGUCCAAAACUCACUAGUUUCCGUACUUCCACUAAGGUCAUCAUCUACUCUAGCACCAUAACUUGCACUUUCUCGUGCUGCUGUUUCAUGCUCUUUUAAGUAAUCUUGAACCAAUGCUCUCAUUCUUCCCUUACCAAAAUUGGUUUGAAGAAGAUCCUCCCUAUCUUUUAACGCUAUCUUCCUAUCUUUCUAGCAAAUAAUUCCUUGUCAUAUCAUAUUAUUAAAUUCAUUGCAAUCUUUCUUAGUGUGUGAAGCGUCAUCACACCAAAUGCAUCUUUGUACAUAUCCUUCUUUUGAAACAUUCUUCAAAUUAUUUGUAGAAGUAUUCUCUUCAAGUCUUGCCAAUUUGAUUUGAAGAUCUCGCAUUCCUCGUAUAAUUUCUUCCAUCCCUAUAUUUGCUUUUUUUAAUAAGUAUGUCGAAGGUUGAACUGUAGGUAUUGUUGGUGGUGUUGUAUAUACUGGAGCUUUGAGUGCUUGUACUGUUUUUGGAAUAUUGUUCCUAUCCUUCCUCUUUUCUCUUUUUGCAAGCAACCCCACCGCAUCUUCAACGUUCUUCUACUUUGUUGUCAAUCCUUCAUCUUCUUCUUUGUCUUCAAGAAGGAGUUCCAAUUUCCCUUGUAAUUCUCCAUCAGUAGCUUGAAGAAAUAGAUCAACUUUGUUCGGCUCCAAUGUCAAUUUUUCUACCUUCGAUAUUUGAGAGUACUGCCUCUUAAAUUCUUUUAGUAGCUCUGUUGCUUGCAAAUUCUUAUUAGGUCGUUCAAUCCAUUCCAGAAUCAACUUCUUAGUAAUGCGAUCAGCAUCUUCCAAGAAAUAUUUGUCUUUCAAUGCAUGUGAAAAAACCUCCCAUGAAUUCCCAUAACGAUCCGUAAUCGAUGUAAUAUGGUCUCUUAUCUCUGGUAUCAUGGCAAGUCCAAAUAAUUCAACCAUUUUCUUCUCAAAAACCCGAUUUAAUUUCAUUUUACGAAUAUAAUAUCUUAAAUACCUUAAAAUAUUCCUUACAUCAAAUUGAUCAAUUUUAUUGACCACUGCUUGCAAUGCUUUGGUUGCCAAAGCUUCUUUUCGAUCAUUGCUUUGCUAUUGCUACAUUGAUAAUGAGAAGGCUUGAAACAUACUAGCAAUAGAUGGAUCCAUGUGCAUACCUUGUCCUUUAGAAGAACCCCCACCAGAAACUCCUCCCAAAGAUCGUUCAAAAUUUUUAUUUUCAUUCUCUAUAAAAAUAAAAUCAAACGAAAUCCAAUACCUUCCACCUCAAGCUUUGAUUUCACUACUUAUGUCGUAUUACGUGCUAUCUUGCUUGAGAAUGCACCAGGCAUCUAGCUAUAGGAAGUAGUAUGGUGUUUCACUAGUACUCAAGCAGUCUAUCGGGUUCUUGACUACCCAAAUACAAUCUAUAUCGAAUUGCAAUGUAAAAGCUUAAUUCCAAUAUAAAAUGCUUAGAGAUCCUAUAUAACUUCAAUUUCUUUUUUUAUUUUUAUUUUAUUUUAUUUAUUUAUAUUUUUUAUUUUAUCUUUAUCGUUAAUUACGUUAAUCCUAGACCGUGAACUUCAGCAAGCUGUGAUCUUCAAUCUGUCCUUCCAACUUAUUGUAAAACAUCUAUCGCUAGUGUCUCAGCAAGCCCUUUCGAAUGCUUAAGAAGUUCCAGUUCAACCCCGCUUACAGAUUGUGAGGCUAUGCUGCAAUCCGCACCGAUGUCCCUUGGCCGCUCGCCGAUAUUCCUCUUAUCCCUGUCGGUAGGUCCCUAGUUAUCAUAGAAACCCUAAAUAACCCCUAAUUUACCAACUCCCAAUACCUCUUUAAACUGUUGGCAGAUAUCCUCUAUCCGUACAAUGAGAUUAAUACAACCACGUAUGCAUUCAGCAUACUCAACCUUCUAGACAACUCUGAAUUUCAACCACAGAAGUAUCUUUCAUUUCAUCAAUAAUUAAGAGUACUAGCCUUUCCUCUCUUACGGAAAAAAUCCAGUUUAUCAAUACAACACUGACUUUCAGCAAUGAUUGCCUCAGUCUUUCCAAAAUCCUAUGAAGAAAAAAAAUCCCAAUUCUUUGUCUUUUCGAAGCAUGAGGCUAGCUCUCUGACCCUUAAAACCCUGAUUCUCCAAAAAAUCCAUUUUUUAACCUAUCCUCCCCUUUAUUCCUGAGAAGAUCCUAUUCUUCUGCCUUAGACUCCCCGAAUUGGAACAGCCACUUUUCUCCCUCCAUUUUCGCCUUUUAGAGAUCUUUUUUACAAAAAAAACGUUCCUGGAAUGGUACAAAGAAUGGAACAACUUGAAACAUAAUCGAAGCCCGUAAUCGGACCACAUUGGAUUGCCCGACCAAGUCACGUCUCAUAUUGGGUAAGAAGCCAAUAAUAAGACCUAGAUUAGAGGUCUUCUGAAAUUGGAUCCAAUUGGCUCUUCGAACCAGGCUCACCCGUCGUUGAAUUGGUCCUUUUCCUUUUUGUUGACUCCCGUUAUUAGAAUCGAAUGGAGCAUUUCGUUACUGUUGAGUAUGCCCCUGCUGACUGUAAUGGGGUGACUGAACCUAGCCUCUCAAUAUUUGCACUGGAAUUGGCUGUCGCUUCUAACAUCCAAGGUGACUAAAUAUUAAUAAAUCUUCUUCAUUUAUAUUUUCAUCAUAUAAACGUGUUACAACACGACAACGUUUGAUUUGCAAAGACAAACUUCAAUGGAAUCAAGAAGCAGAAGUAGCAUUUGAAGCUUUGAAAACAACCUUUAUUUUUGCACCAAACUUGUAUCGCAUUGAUUUUUCUUAGCCAUUUUUUAUGGAAACAGACACAUCAGACUUAGCUUUAGGUGUCGUAUUGUCACAAAUAGAAACAGAUGAUAAACUUCACCUAAUAGCUUUUUAUUCCAAAACUUUUUCAGCAACCGAGACCAACUACGAGAUCUACAACAAGAACUUCUUGCAAUCAUGGAUUUAUUUCAAGAAUGGCUCCAUUAACAAGAAGGUGCUUCUAGUCCAUUCACAGUGUAUACAGAUCAUAAGAACCUUGAAUAUUUUAUGUCAGUAUGUGUUUUGAAUUGUCCCCAAGUCUGUUGGAGUAUGUCUUUGUCAAGAUUCAAAUUCAAGAUCACUUAUCGACUAAGAAAAUAAUAAGGUUUGUCAGAUCCACUCUCUAGACAAUCUUAUCUUGCACCAAAGGAAGGAGAUGUUACUUUUGAUCAACAAUGGAUAAUUCUCUUGAAGCCAGAGCAUCUUCAUCUUUGAGCAAUGAAAUUAAUACUAACUGUUGAUUCAACUUUCAUUAAGCAAGUACAGUCAAGUAUGUCUUCGGAUCCUCUUAUUCAUAAUAUUAAGAAAAAUCCUUCAAAGUCUCCUGAUACUUCCAAGUUUGAAUAUAGGAACAAUCUACUAUAUUUUGAAGGACGCCUAUAUGUUCCAAAAGGUAAAGCUCGAUUAAGUGUUCUUCAAGCUCGUCAUGACUUUCCAGCAGCAUGACACUUUGGGUAUAAUAAAACUUUGGAACUAAUAUCUACGGAUUUUUGGUGGCCACAAAUAUAGAAAGCAAUCAAAGAUUUUGUAUAAUCUUGUCAUGUUUGCUCGAGAUCAAAAACUCUUUGUCAUUGACCUUACGGACUUUUUCAGCCAUUACCCAUUCCAAAACAACCAUGGUCUUCUAUUUCUAUGGAUUUCAUCACAGAUCUUCUAAUCUCAAGUUUUUAUGACUUUAUAUUCAUGAUAGUGGAUCAUUUUACCAAGAUGGCACAUUUUGUACCAUGUACAAAAUCUAUCACAGGUGAAGAAAUAGCUUAGCUCUUUUUUGACAGUAUCUAUCACUAUCAUGGAUUAUCCAAGGAUAUUAUAUCAGAUAGGAGAACUCAAUUUGUAUCAAGAUUUUGGCGGAUUCUUUUCAAGAUUCUAAAAGUGGAUAUAAAACUAUCUUCGACAUUCCAUCCUCAAACUGAUGGACAAAUAGAGCAUGUUAAUCAAGUUUUGGAGUAGUAUUUAAGAUAUACCAUUAACUAUCAAUAAGAUAAUUGAAAAACUCUUUUGCCAUUGGCAGAGUUUGCUUACAAUAACACGGUACAUUCUUCUACAAAACAAACACCUUUCUUUGCUAAUUAUGGUUAUCAUCUAUGACUUGAUACUUUUGACUUUACAAAAGUUGAUAAUCCUGCUACAAAAUAUUUAGCAAUUCAUUUGUCGAAGCUACAUGCAACGAUGAAGGCGUAGUUAAAAGAAGCUCAAGAACAACAAAAGAUCAAUGUAGAUGUCUAUCGAAAGGAACAACCACCAUUCCACAUAGGUGAUAAGCUAUGGUUACUUCAUCACAAUAUCAAGACCACUCGUGUUUGUGACAAGUAGGACUAUCGAAGACUUAGACCAUUUUCUAUUUCUGUACAAAUUAAUCCAGUUGCAUAUCAUUUACAUCUAUCGAAGUCAAUGAAAAUCAAUCCAGUAUUCCACAUAUCUCUUCUUAAACCAUACAAGACAGUGGACAUACCAAGAAGAAUACAAGCUCCACCUCCUCCUAUAGAAGUGGAUAAUAAUAAAGAGUUUGAAGUGGAAGAAGUCUUAGAUUCAAUGCUGCACCAAAAUAAAUUAGAAUAUCUUAUCCAUUGAUAUAGAUAUGAUAUUAAUAAAUGCACAUGGGAGCCAGUAAAGAAUCUUACAAAUGCAAUAAAGGCAGUGGAGGCUUUUCAUCGAUGACAUCUAUCAAAAUUAAGAUGAAAUCUUAUUUAUAAAAGAAACAAGAUCUACGCAAGAUAACAUUUUACUUUCAAUCCUUGUUUGUAGCUUCUUUGUAGUUGUGAUGCUCAGGAGAUGGAGAACCAACAACUAGCAGAUUUGACUCAAGAGCCUUCAUUUGCUGACCUAUCGAACGAGAUAUUACGAUUGUCACAACCUUUGAGACGACGCAAUCGAGAUGAAGAUUUUGAAGAAUGACAUGUUCUUCUUUGAAUAGAUGGCAAAAUACAAUGCAUUUGGUAUCACGACCUUGAAAGGGACUCCCCAUGUUUGGUGAUUUUAUUAGAGGUAGGAACAACUCCUGAUGGUGUUUCAAAUAUUUUAUUCAAAAGAAGUUAUGAAGACCUCAAAAAUGAUCAAAUAAUUGGAUUGUCUUCCCACCCUGAUAUAAGACACUACCGAUGGUUGAGAGGCCCUAUCGAUCAUCUUCGAAGAUAACAAAGAUCAAAAUAUGUGGCAAAUACAAUUUGUUGCAUCAUAGAUUUCUUCAACAUAUGAUGACCGCUCCUCGUGGAACUCAUUCCUAGAAGGGGGGAUAAUGUCACAAACAUACUCAUGUAAGCUAGUUACUAUAUAUAUAAAUAGGUAGAAGUAAGUAAAAAAGAUAAAAGUAAGUUAAUUCUAUAAUAUUUGAUAUGAAGCUUCUUAGAAGCUUUAUAGAUGCUACUUUGACUUUAUAGGUAUCUUUAAUUGACUUUUUGAAUUAGAAACGUGGUCAACAAGUUGAUCAUGUACCACACAUAUUGUAAGCUUGAAGACCAAGCUAACUAUGUGGCCCACAAGUAGAAAAACUUGCCUUGUAAGUCAAGGCAUGUAUCUUAUAAAGUCAAUACAUAUUGGAGGUCCUAUAGAAUAUCACCACGUAGCCCCUAGUUAGAUAGUAUAUAUAGAGACAAGAGUGAAGCCUUCUUCACUCUUGUCAACUCCUUUUUUGUUUCUAUUCUAGUUUUAAGGGUCUCUAGUUUUCUUGGCUUUUUGGCAAUGGCCAUUCUAGUUUCUUUUUUAAUAUAUAUAUCAAGUUAUUUCUAUUUUGUCAUCUUUCUUUGAGAAAAGUCUCACUUAUUUAUUUGUCUUUAUCGUGUUCUUGUCCUUGACACAUCCAUUUAAACCAAAAGCAACAAAAUGAAGAAUAGUAGCUUAAUAAGAUAGCUUCAUUAUGAAGAUUCUUAAUUCUUGGCCUCAUACAGAAAGAGAGGAAGCAACCUCUGAAGAGAUAGUUGUUGUCAAAUGUUUAAAAUAGAAGAAGUGAGUUGUUUGAGUUCACGACCAUAGCUUAUUUAUAUCCUUUUGAUCUUAUCUACUUUAUAUGAUAUAGACAAUCAAGAGAUAGACUUCUUGUCAAUCAUAUCAUCUCAACCAAGUAGCUCACAAAGAUGAUCCCGAGAUGAAGAGCCACCUAAACCACAAAGAUGUUGAAAGAUACCUAGUAAUAGGUCAGUGGUAAUUAUGUUUGAGGUAGAACCUGCCUAUGAAGGACGUCUAAAAAGAAUGUUUACAGGACAAUUCCAUAAUGAAGAUAUCAAAGUUCAUGUUUAGUGACAAGUAGAAGGCUUAUGAUACUAUCGAUGGCUACAAGGGCCUAUGAACCAUUUAUCUUAUGAAAAACAAUUAGAAUACAUAGUGGACACUAUGCGAUAGUUCUUCAACUUCUUGCACAUAUAUUAGCUUGUUACAACAUUGCUUCUUGAAAACCUCAAAGCUAGAAGAAGAAGUGAUGUUACAAACAUACAAUUGAAGAAGAUUUUAGAAGAUUCUAGAAGGUUCUAAAAGUUACUAGUAGGUUUUAAGAAGGCUCUUGAAGAUUUUAGGAGGUUCCAAAAGGUUUCAAAAGGUUUGAGUAGAUUCUAAGAAAGUUCUAAAAGGUCAUAGGAGAUCCUAGAAGGUUCUAAGAGGCUUUAAAUGAUUUAAGAAGUUGCUGAAGAAGGAUCUUAGGCUUGCUUUAUUCUCAAGCCUCAUAGAAACUUCUCAAAAAGCUUCCUAAGAUCUAAUAUAUAUAGGAGUCGAGGUUAAGGGGAUCCUCAAUCUUGACAAUUCACUUCUUAUGGUCUAGCCAAAACCUUUUUGCCUUAUAUUCAGUUGUUGUUCUAAUGUCAAGCUAACUCCAUUUCUUGAUCUUGAAUCCUUAUCUUGUAUAUGGUCCCUAAUAUUAUCAAUCAAUUUUGAUAUGAGUUGAAGGAUAAUGUCAAAGAUUUGUUAUUGACAAUAUCAAAGACAGAAUCUUAAGAACAAUUUAUUGCUCAAGCCAUUGCAUGUGAUAAUUGAUUAUUUGAAAGUUGUCAAGAACAAAGAUAUGGAUGGAGAGGAACAAAUUAAAUAAUGAAAAUAGCUCCUAAGUUUUCAAAAACUUAUUCAUCAAAGCCAAAUUAAUACAAUGUCAUGUUGUGGUUUGGCUACUAUAUGAAAAUAAUGUAAUUAUGUACUUAAUAUAUAAUUUAUUAAGUAACAUGGUAAGAGCCAUGUUAAUAGAUUUUAGUUGGUUGUAGAAUAUAAUUUGAUUAUUAUCUUGAAAAGAGGUUAUUUAAAAAGAUUACUAUAGAAUUUUUAUAACUUUAAUUUCUUUUUUGAUAGUGGCUUUUAAGAUUGGUUUUGGUUGAUAGUAACUUCUAAAUAUUUAGAGUCACUUUUAUUAGAAAUUGGUGACCUUUGGAAACUUUUUUUGAUUCUUUUAUUUGGUGUUUAGAGCAUAAAUUAUGCAAAUCUUAUAAAAAAAAGGAUUGAAGAAGGAUUUUGGUAGCAAAGGGAGUAAUUAAAGCACCAAUAUAGAUGAAUGGAGAUGAAUAAUGAAAAUCUCCAUUCCUAUUGAUCAAAAAUCAUGACCAAUGGGCUUUGAGGAGGCUGCCCGAGGCCAUAUUAGGGAUUAGGGUUAGUUUUUCGGGGCCAUUCGAGUUUUGAGGGCUACGGUCAGCAAGGUUAGGUUUUUGGCUAUGGUUUUGGUGCAAGUUUUGUAUGGUUUGGAGUUUAUAUGAAGGAGAUACAAGCGCUCAAAGUUAAGGUGUUGAUUUUGGAGCUACUAUCUUUCUUUUUGGCAUAACGCACGCGUACGGAUAGUAAUUGAGGAUCGGUGACCGCGACUAGAGAGAGUACUUUUGCGACUACACUUUUUACAUACUGCUUACUAGAUUCUAAGUUAAAAUAAAGGAGUUAUUGGAUUUUGAAGUCAGCACAUGCAAUCUAAGGGUAGUAAGUGAUCCGAUUCACUAGUGGUUGUGUUUUGAGCUAUAUCUUGAGCAAUUUGACAAGAUUUUGGCUCAAAAUUUUAGAGAAUGUAUAAUUUUAUGUUAGUAAACUUUGUAUAUAAGUUUUAUGACAUUUGAGUAUUAGAUUCUUGAGAUAUUAAGGAAAUAGUGCUUGGAUGUUUAUAAAUUAGGGUUUAGAGCGCGUGCUAGGAUUUCUUAGAUGCCAAAAGAUCGAGAGUGAAUUUGCAGUUGGUUUUUUUAUGAUAAAAGUUAAGGGUGAAUUCUACCUAUUCUAUUAAUUUGAAAAAAAUUGAAUGGUUAGAUCAAGAGUUAUGAAUUUCUAAAUUUUAGAAAAAAAAACCUCUUUGCAGAAAAAAUAUGUUUUGAAGGGAUUUUGUUAUAUUUUGAGUUUUAUACAAAAUAAAGGAGUUUUAGAAAGCUAAGACAAGAUUCAUAUAAAGGUUUAAGCUACACUCUCUACAGCUAGAUACCCACUGUAUUCCCAGAUAGGAAAUCAUGACAUACGACAACUGUACAUUUCAAAGCUCUCACAAAGUAGGAAAAGAGUCAAUGACGUUAAGAGGGCUUAUGCUUAUAUUAUAGAAAAGCUAAAUAUAUUGCUCAACAUUGUCCAAAGAAACAAUGCAAUUACAAAAUGAGAAGCAUGAUUGCCAUAGAAGAUAAUGUAUUAGAAAACAAGUUGCUUCAACUACAACAAGGAUCAUAUGGCUCAAAUCAUGAAUAGUAUCUAGCAAAGGUCCUAUUCUCUCCUCUGAUCUCUUAUCUUAUUUUACAUUAGAAGUCUGUUUAGUACCAAAAAAUCACAAAGUCUUAGCCUUGUUGGAUUGAAGAGUAUCAACUUAUAUUAUAGAUAAAGAUUUUAUCAAAAAAAUAAGAUAUAUUCUUAAUUAAGAAAAUCAAACAUGUACUUGUAGAAGUAAUAGAUGGACAUUCAUUAUCUUUUGAGAAUGUUACGCAUAAAACUAUACUUGUAGAAGUAGCAAUUAGUGGUCACAAUAGUUUAGUAAUAUUUAAUAUGAUUAAGUCUCCUUCUAAUCCAAUCAUUUUAAGAUUAUUGUAGUUAGAAAGAUAUAAUCCUUAAAUAGAUUGAAUUUCUCGUAAUCUUAAUUUUUUCCAUAGUUUAGUCUAAGGUCCUACUAAACAAGUAGAAAUCCAUAAGUCUACUAUAUCCAAACUCUUAUAAAUAGGUGUGAAAGCUUUUAUGCAUGCCGCAAGUCAAGGGCCAUCUUUUGCUAUAUAUGCCACAUCCAUUGUUGAUGGUGAGAAGAUAUCAAGUGGUAUUCUUUGCCAAUAUGAAGAUUUUUAGGACAUUUUUGAGAAGAAGAAUGUAGAUAUUCUGCCGAAGUAUCAUCCUUAUGAUUGUACCAUCGAUCUUCAAGAAGGAACUCAACUACCAUUUGGACCAAUCUAUAGCCUAUGACAAAAUGAAUUGGCUAUACUCAAAGAAUAUAUUGAUGAAAACUUUGCUAAGAACUUUAUACUCCAUUCUAAAUCUCCAAUCAGGACUCCUAUCUUAUUUGUGAAGAAAAAAGAUAGAUCUUUGUGAAUGUAUGUGGAUUAUUGAGGACUUAACAAAAUCACCAUCAAGAGCAAAUAUCUUCUACCUUUGAUUUCAAAACUUCUUGAUCAACUAAAUCAAACAAAGAUCUAUACAAAAAUAGAUCUAUGAAAAGCAUAUAGCCUGAUCCACAUCAAAGAAGAAAAUGAAUAGAAGAUUAUUUUUUGAACUAGGUAUAGACAUUUUGAAUAUAAUGUCAUGUCUUUUUGACUCACAAAUGGACUAGCUGCUUUUUAACAUCUAAUGAAUGAUGUCUUUUGUGAGUUUUUUGAUGAUUUUAUUGUUUGUUAUUUAGAUGAUAUUUUAAUCUAUUCUAAGAACACAGAAAAGCAUGAAGUUUAUGUUCAUCAUGUAUUACAAAAACUAAAAGAUAUAAGAUUAUAUGCAAAGAUAGAAAAGUGUGCAUUCUAUACUACUCAAAUUGACUUUUUGGAAUAUAUCAUUUUCAAUGAAGGCCUUAUAAUAGAUCAAAAGAAGGUCCAAACUAUCAUAGAUUGGAAGAUCUCAAGAACAAUUAAAAAUAUGCAAUGCUUUUUGAGCUUUGCUAAUUAUUACUAAAUUUUUAUGAAGAAUUUUUUUCAAGUUGCAGCUCCGCUUAUAUAUUUGUCUAGUAAAGACAAAUUUGAAUAGAAUAAAGAAGCCAAAGCAUUGUUUGUUGCUUUGAAGAAGGAGUUUAUUUUUGUACCAACUUUAUAUCGCAUCGAUUUUACUAAGGUAUUUUUUAUGAAAAUAGAUCCAUCAAAAUUUGCUUUGAGUGCAAUAUUGUCAUAAAUAGGAAUAGAUAAUAAAUUCCAUCUAGUAGUUUUCUAUUCCAAGGAAUUUUCAACAAUCAAGAUUAACUAUGAGAUCUACAACAAAGAACUUCUUGCAAUUGUAGAUUCAUUUCAAGAAUGGCGUCAUUAUCUAGAAGGUGCUUCAAGUCCAGUCACAAUAUACAGAUCACAAGAACCUCAAGUAUUUCAUAUCAGCAAGUAUUUUGAAUUUUUGUCAAGCCCUUUGGAGGAUGUUCUUAUCAAGAUUUGAUUUCAAGAUCACAUAUCAACCUAAAAAACAACAAGGUUUAUCAAAUGCUCUUUUUAGAUAUUCUUAUCUUGUACAAAAAGAAAGAGAUGUAUCUUUUGAUCAACAAAGAACAAUCAUCUUGAAGUUAGAAUAUUUUCAUCUUUGAGCAAUGAAAUCAACAUUGACUAAUGAUUGUACCUUUGUCAAAAAAAUUCAAUCAAAUAUGUCUUCUAAUCUUUUUGUUCAUGAUAUCAAGAAUCUUUCUUUUAAGUCUCAUAAUGUUUCAAAGUUUAAGAUCAAAAAAAAACUUCUUUAUUUUGAAAGAUAUCUAUAUGUUUCAGAAAGAGAAGCAUGUUUACGUAUUUUUUAAGCAUGUCAUGACUUUCCAACACUAGGACAUUUUAGAUACAAUAAAACUUUAGAGCUUAUAUCUAAAGAUUUUUGAUGGCUGCAAAUGUGGAAGGCAGUAAAAGACUUUGUCCACUCAUAUGACAUUUGUUCAACAUCAAAAAAAUCCUUGUCAUGAAUCCUAUGGACUUUUCCAAUGAUUACCUAUAUUCAAACAACCAUGGUUUUUCAUUUCUAUGGAUUUUAUUAUAAAUCUUCCAAGUUCAAGUUCAUAUAACUCUAUAUUCAUAAUUCUAGAUCUCUUCACCAAAAUGGCAUAUUUUAUACCAUGUACAAAAUCUAUUUCAAGUGAAGAAAAAACUAAGCUUUUCAUUAACAAUAUCUAUUGCUAUCAUAGAUUGCCAAAGGAUAUUAUAUCGAAUAGGGAGACUCAAUUUGUAUCAAGAUUUUGGAAAAUCCUAUUUCAGAUUAUAACGGUAUAUACAAAGCUCUCUUCAUCUUUUCAUCCUCAAAUUGAUCAACAAACAAAAUAGGUGAAUCAAGUUCUCGAGCAAUAUUUUAGAUGUAUCAUCAACUAUCAUCAAGAUGAUUGGACAACUCUUUUGCCAUUGGCAAAGUUUGCAUAUAGUAAUUUGGUACAUUCUUCUACUCAAAAAAGACCUUUUUUUGCUAAUUAUGGUUAUUAUCCAUGACUUGAUACUUUUGACUUUUCAAAAGUUGAUAAUCCCACAGUGAAAGAUUUAGCAAAUCAUUUAUUAGAGCUACAUGCAACAAUGAAGACAUAUUUAAAUGAAGCUCAAGAAUGACAAAAGAUCUAUGCAAAUGCCUAUCGCAAGGAACAACCACAAUUCAACUUCAAAUUUUGUUGUUGGCCUUUGUUUAACAUGAUUGUUCUUCACUGUGAAGACGGUUUAGGGUUGGAUUUUUUUGACAAUGAUUUCAGCAUAUGCCAUCUCGAUGUUAACAUAGUUUUCUAAGCUUACAAAGGCAGGGUGCCUAUAUUUAAUUAGGCGCGAGGGUUGUAGUUGAAUUGUGGUUGCUCCUUGCGAUAGGCAUUUGCAUUGAUCUUUUGUACAUAUGAAGAGAAGUUCCUCUUCACAUCUGAAAGUUCAGGGGUUGUGUGUAGGUACAAAAAACUAUUUAGACAAACAGUGGAUCAUACAAUUACUGAGUUCAUAUGGAAUAAGUGAGCAUUUAGGGGUGGGUUGUGAAGGCAACACCUUGCUGUAGUUUGUCUCGGCAGGUUGUUCCCCAAGUGAUGUGUACUGGAUUAAAAACCCGGGGAUGCAGGGGGGAUGUGCUGGAUUAGGUUUGCAAAGUUUUCUCUGCAUUUUAGUAUACCGUGCUUUGUGUCUCCAUUUUAGUAUACCGUGCUUUGUGUUGUGGCUCUGAAUUUUGUCUUGAGGGAUGUUGAGGUGAAUUUGUGUUUUAUUUCCAUCUUACUGGUGUUGCUACCCACACCUAGUGGAGAUUAGCUUGGUUUCUGCAGAAGGUGAUGAAUGACUUCUCUUAUUUUUUGUAUUUCAGUUGACCAUUAGAGAGUCUCUAACGACUGAUGCAAUGCCAGUAUAUAAUAAUAUGAUGUGUUGGUAUUUUUGAGAGAAUUGUUUACCGUGGUGAAGGAGAUUAUCGAAAGAAAAUAGCUGUAUACAUUCUUCCAAGUUCUUGUGAACAUUCUGGUAAGAGGUCUGGCUCCACAAACGUUAUAUGGUCUACUGUGUCCAUUGGAUUGGGAAGACCGAGUCAUCGUGUAACGUUCUUCUCGUUUUCUUGAACAGAAGCCCAAAACACUAAAUUUGUGAAGUGAUUUAGCAGCUACUUGCAAAAGAUGCUUUCCCCUGCAUGAUAACUAUGGCAUACACAGCUAGUUCCGCUUGACAGACGAGUUUUAGUUUCAUGGAGAACAGUCUCAGUCUUAGCGGAUAUUUAUAUACUUUAAAUAUUCAAGAUAAUCGUAACUUUCAAAUGAUCGCUAGAUGCUAACUCACGAGUUGUAUUGCUGUACUUUCCUCUCUUUUUUUGCCUUAAUUAAUUGAAGCGGGGACAUGCUCCCAACGUAAACAGUGGUCACCAUGUAAUUACAAUUUUCCUGAGGGUAGAUUCACAUCAAACACGAUGUUUUAGACUACAUUUUCAGAUACAAUUAUGAGACUUACUUGGUGAUUGUACCAGAUCUGGCGUGACAAUAUAAGGGUGCAAAACUUGAGGAGGUAGAUACAUAUUCAAAAGCAUGUCUGUUGACAUCACUCUACGUGUGCAACUCAAAUCUACGUGGAAGCAAUAACGACGGUUGUGAUCAGGUAAGUGCUUUCAAACAAAUGAAAGUCAUACAUUUCAUCCUUGGCACAUGUUGAAAAAUUUGCGCAGUGUCGCGUGUUGAAUGUUAGUUUGAAUCUGAUAUUUAGAGCAUGUCCUUGGAACGUUCGAUGCAGGUUUCCUGACUACAGCUCAGCAAUGGGCACUGGCACGAAAUCCAAUAAAGUGGUGUGAUGGAUGGUUCCGUUGGAAAUUCUGAGGUCGAAAAAGAGAGCCUUAGGUAGCAGCAGAAAAUCACACAUACGCACAAACAAACUAUUAGUAUCAAGAGAAAGCUGUUUGUUGGAAAUUCUGAGGUCGAAAUGAGUAAAAAGUUAGUGAACAUAAAAAAAAAAAAAAAAAAAAAAAAAAAAACUGACAGCACUAACAGUACUACAAAAAAAACACAUACAAACUAACCGUACUAAGAAAAAGCUGUGUGUUGGAAAUGCUACGAUCCAGAAUGAGAGCAAGAAGAGAAAGAAAUAGGAGAAAUAGGUUCAUGUGUCUAGUUGAUCUGUGGAUACACAACUAAAUACCAGUUAGGCUUUCAAAGCUAGAUUUUCUUCAAGCAUGAUCUAAAGAAACUUCCAUUGGGCUUGAUACGUGUGCAAGUUGGUCUGCACAGGUCCUGAGAAAUUGUACAAGAGCGGCGUGGAGUGUUUUUUUCUCGUCUUCAGCAUAUUCCAAGAGUCCCACCUGCUGGUCAAAUUGGCUUUUAGAACUGAUGUUGCAACAUGUCCACAAUUGUUGUCUGCACGUCUUCAUCAGUUGAAGUCCGAAAUCUCAGGAAUGUUCUGGUGUGUAGUGAAAUCUCUAUGCCCUAUAGUGUUUAUGGAAGACUUUGGGUAUCACUGUAUCUUUCUAACCCAAAUAUUUGGGUUCUAACAGAAGAUGGAAAAAGAAGAAGACUCUCAAAUAGGGCGAGUUGUGACUUGAGUCAAAAGUGAUGACUUAUUUAUCAGGACACCAUUAUUGCCAGAUAUUGAGGAAACUUGUCAAAAAUAUAAGAAAAGUAGAAGAGGAAAUGAAUGAUUGUUUUGAAUCAGCAUCUAAUCUUGCAAUUAUUGUCAUAUACAUACACUUGAAACUGCAGAAAUCUUUUUACAGGAGCAACCAAGUAUUUUCACAACUUGCCAUGUCAACAAAUUCUAAAGAAGUUUGUAUUUGAAUCCAGUUUUUAUUUGCAGUAGAACCUGCCUAAAUGCAUACCAGCAUCUUGGUCUCAACUUUUCAACUACAGUACGUGUCUGACCUCUACAAGUGAAUACCCAACCGCUGGUCUUGGUCAUAUUCAAUUAGGCAACUUCUACUGUACAUGUGUUCUAGUAUUUGAAAAACCAAUGUUAUUUAUUAAAAUAAAAUUAGUUGUGAACUUACAAUCCAAAAUUAUUCCUUUGUAUAUAAUAGAAAAAAUUAUGAGUUCUUAAUAUCUAGUUUAUAAAUAUCUAAACCUUGAUAGAUUGUAUAACCUAAAAAUAGAUUUAUUUUUAUAAUUACAAUUUUAAGGAUACUAGGUUUGUAGUUCAAGUUUCUAGGCAUUUCUUACUGUAAUAUUUGCCUUACUAAUCAGGUUAGCAUGUGGCUUAAUUAAAAAAAACUUAUAUUUAUAAAAACACUCCAAAUUUUAAUGCUAUUUAAUCUUUACACGUGAUAUUUAUUUAGAAUCUAAAAUUUUAAGUUUUGAAUUUGAAAUUUUUUAUAAUCAAUAUUUGUCUUUAUGUUUUAAGAUGUUAAACCUUUUAAUAUGCUAAAAGCUUUAUAUGAUUGAAAAUUGAUUUAAUUAGAUAAUGUUGUUUAUAUAUAUAUAUAUAUAUAUAUAUAUAUAUAUAAUAGUUGAUUUUAUUUAUUUUAGUAUACAAAAUAAUUUUUAUUAAUAAAAAUUUAUAUAGAACCUCUAAAACCAAAUACCUAAACGUGACUUAAAGAAGUAAAUAAAAUUAAUGAUUCUUUAAAAAUCAAAAAAUAUAUUUUAGUAUGUAAAAUAAUUAUUAAAUAUAAUAUGAACAUUAUUUUUUAUAAUCUUUCUAAUUUUUAUCUAAUAAUAUGUUUAAAACAUUUCAAAAGAAGUGCCUAUAGCUACAUGGCACAUCUACUAAUACCUAAAAUCUAACUUCUUAUUUUAUAGAAAGCUUUCUUGAUCUUAAAAAAGAAAAUAAAUUUCUUACAAAAGAAAAUAUAUAAUAACAUAUUUUUACUUGCUUCUAUUUACUUAUAUAUACAAAAUAAAAAAAGAUAUUUCCAACAUAUUACUCCAAAUAAUUUUAAGAGUUUUUCUAGAGUUUCAUAUAUAAUUAAAAAAUAAAUAAAAUUAAAAAAUGAUUUACCUAUAAAUGUAUGUAUACAUUCUUAUGUGAUUAUAUAUAUAUUUGAGUUUAGAAUAUUAUUUAUAAUUAGAUUAUAUAUUAGUAAAUUUUUUAUUUUUAUAAAGUGUCCUUAUUUUAAACUUAUAAAAGUUGUUUCAUAUUAUUUUUAUUUUAGUCUAUUAUUAAUCACUCUAAAUAAAAUCAUAUUGGCAUUUAAAUAUGAUAAUAUAAUCAAAAAUAAUAAUGUCUAUUAAAAUCAAAGAUGCAAUAAAUAAAAUGUAGUUUGAUUGUAACUAAAAAAUAAUCCAAAUCAACUUAGAUAAUCUUAUGAAGAUAAUUUUUGAGAUUUAGUAAAUUUCUGGUAUUUUAAAAUUCUUAAACUGAUAUGGAGUUUUCAAGCAUUGUUAGAACAUUUUUUGGAUCACUUUUAAAAUCUAUUUGGAGCUUUAUUAUACAUAUUCACAGGUUGAUGAUUUAAGUUUUACAGGUUUGUAAUUAGAUUAAAAUAUACAUUAAGAAGAUAAUCAACUGUGAUUAUGUACACUAAUCUUCUUUAGAAUAAAAAAAGAUUCUCAGAACAAAUAGAUUGCAACGUAAUAUAUUAUUUUGUAAUGAUAGACAUAAUUACAACUAUAAUAGCUUUUUAAAAACUACUCAGAUUUCAAGAAUACUGAAGAAAAAUAAUAAAUUAAAUAAAUUGAAAAAAAACUAUAAUUAACAAGUAUAUGAUAUUUUUUAAUUAAAAUAAAGAAAUUUUUUAUUUGUAAUAUUUUAGAAAGAUGAUUAAAACUAAAAUUAUAAUAAAUCAUAAUUACAUUAUAAACUAAAAAAAAUCAAAUCAAAUCAAGUCAAAUUGUUACUUAAAGAUGGACUAGUUAAAAGAACUCAAAUAGAUAAUAUAAGACUAAAUAAGUUUAUUUAUGAUAGAACUAUAUAUUUAAAAUCCAUAAAAAAAUAAAAAAUAAAAAAUAAAAAAUUAAGAGGCUUAUAGAAUAUACCAAUAUUAAUGUUUAAACUCAAUAUUUCAUUAAAUAAAAAAUAUAAUAAAAAAAGGAUUAAUAAAUAUAAUCAAAAUAAUCAAAAUACUUGUUAAAAAUACAAAGACAUAAACCAAUAUAUUUUAUACAUGUAUAAAAUUUAAAAGUGAUAAAAUAAUAAAUAUAUAUAUAUAUAUAUAUAUAUAUAUAAUUUAUAAAUAUUUUAAAAAUAAAUAAUUGUAACUUUAUUAUAAGCAAAUAAUCCAAUAUAUUUUUCUUUUUUGGUGAAUAGAAUAAAUUUUUUAGUUCAAAAAAUCUUUAGUUUUAAAACUUAAGAAAUAACAUCUUAUAAUUAUAUUUCCUAAUAUAUUAUUUAGUAUUUUCUAAAAUAUUUUAAAUAAUAUUAAACUAUUUUUUAAGUUUUAAAUAUAUUUUUUGAGAUGAAAUCCAAUUUUAUGUUUUAUAGAUUUAUUUUUAGCUUUACAUAUGAAAUUUAAUAUUUAAUCAAAAUCCACUUGAUUCAAGACUAAGGACAAAUCUUUAGGUCUGUAUGAAAUUUUAUAGUGGCACUAUAUUUUUUGAUUUUUAAUUUUAAUUUUUAAAUAUAUUAUGAUAUCUUUUCUGAUACUAACAUUAAAUACUUUUUAUAGAUUAUAUUAUGAAAAAAAUAGAGAGAGAUGUCAAAAAUCAAUUUAUGAUAAAAUAAAAUAAAAUAAUAAAUAUCUAUUUUAGAAACCAUGUUGAUUUUUAAAAAAAUAUUGAUUCAUAAAUUAUAACCUAAUUCUAAUUUGGUAGCAAGAUUUAUAAUAAUAAUAAUAAUAAUAUUAUUAUUAUUAUUAUUACUUAUAUUAUAGAUUACAAAAUAAUAAAUUAGUUACAAAAUCAAAUAUUCAUAAUAGGAUUUAAUACAUAUAUAUACCCCAAAUUUUAUUAGAAUUUUCUUAAGUAAAGAUGUAUAUGUGUAUAUAUAUAUAUAUAUAUAUAGAUAGGGAGUAAAUAAAGCCACAUCCCAAUAUUGUUAAAGCCAUACCCUCCCUUGUUGUCUCAUCAUUAAUUCCGUCCAUCUCCCAUCUCUAUUCUUUCUUUCCAAUCCUUUGUUCCCAUUUCCGUUCCUCAAUCCUCUAUUUUCCAAUCUCCUAUUUGUCUCCCCCAUUUCCAAGUCCUCCAUUCUUUAGUCUUUUGUUCUCUAAACCCCUGCCUUGUUUUCAUAGUCUCCUAUUUCCUAAUCCCCAUUUCCAACUCUAACACUACUAUUAUGUAAAUAUAAAACUUCUAAAAUGGUUUAUUGAAGAUUGGUAGCACAUUUUUAAAGACAUGUAUUUUUUUGUUAAUAUAAUUUUAAAAGACUAACAAUAAUUUGUUUCUAAAUGUUAGAUAUGUCAUACAUUUUAUUAUAAAAAAAUAUAUAUUAAUUGAUGUUAUAAUUGAUACAAAUAAUUUUAUAAAAAUAUUACACAUAUACAUGAUAUUCAAAGUUGUACAUAGAUUUUUUAACACUAAAAAUUUACUUAUAUAUAUAUAUAUAUAUAUAUAUACAUACAUACAUUUAAAACUUUUGACAUUGUUUAAAUGAUUAAAAUGUUCUUUUCUUAAAUAUAUAUUUUUUAAAUUAAAAAUCACAAACCUAUAAUUAUAAAUGAUUUAAAAAUUAUUAAAAUAUUUUAGCCAUAAUUAAAAUAUAUAAGUAUCCAAAAAUUCAAUGUAAUACUCAUUAUAAUUUUGGCUUGUCAACAUUUCUGAUUGGAAAUUUAAAAAAUAUGUUAAGUGGUUUUGUGAGACUUGUAAAUAAUGCUUUUCAGAUUAUGAUAUUAUUUAAAUUUUGAAUAAAAUUGAAUAAACACGACUUUCAAAAUAAUACGUAAAAUUAUAAAAGGGUUCAAAAUUAAAUAUUUGUAAAUUUCUUCUUCUCAUACCAAACAUUUCACAAGAAUAUCUUUAAAAUAAAAAAUAAAAUUUAUUAACUUUUGUACAUUCCAAAUUUUAUAUUUAAAUUCAAACUUAUAAGAAAUUGGUUGUGGUAUAAUUAAAUGUUAAAUUAUUUUAUUCAAAUAAUUGUAUGUGCCUGACUCACGAACAGGGACAAGAAACAGGGAUUAGGGGAUGGGGGCAGAGAAUUAACUGUAAAAUAAUUACGUUUUAAUUUAUUUUAAUUUAAAUUCACUUUUAUCAACUUAAUUCAAUAAAAAGAAAUUAAAUUACAGUUAUUAUAUAUGAUUUUUUUUUUUUUUUCAAUAGUCACAUCAGUGUUAAUACAGCUACAUCUAUACAUAAGAUAAAAAAUACAAAUCUAUUUUUGACCAUGUACAUUGUAAUAUUUCAGAAUAACUUAAUCAUUAUAAAAUGGCACACUUAAUGCUUUGCGGACCAGUUUUGGACAACACAAUGUCAUUUGUGCCCAAAAGCUAUAUGCACAAUAGAUUAUAUAUAAUUAAAUUUCAUCUUAUUAUCUUUCUAAUGGCUUCUAAAUUUUACUUCUAUAAUACUAUUUAUUAUAUAAUAACUAAAUAAUGAAAUGCACAUUAACAUAUUAAUUGCAGUAGCCUUUUGUUGAACUUAUAUCAAUAUGAAUUUGGCAAUAUAAGUGUACGUUAUUGUAAAUACAUUAAGAAUUAGGCUCAAGUAUACUAAAAAUAUCCAUUUUAAAUUUUAAUAUUUAAUUUCUUUUAUGUCUUGCAUUGUGUUUUUUUUAUUUUUUUGUAAGUAUAAUAAAUAUAUGUUUUUAAAAAAUUACAAAUGUAUGUUUUAAAAUAAAAUUAAUGGACUAAAUAUAAUUUUUUUACAAUUCAAAUUUUAAUGAUUCACAAUACAUAUUUCUUAGUUAAAUAAUGCAAAUAAAAUAAAUAAAAUAAAUGAAAAAGAGAAAGAAAGAAAGAAAAAGCCAAAUCACAUUUUUAAAAUGCACUAAAUAAAAUACAAUCAUGUUUUGCUUUUGACAUUUUAAUAUGUAUGGUCCUCAAAAAUAAAUAAACAACUCUAUGUGGAACAAAGUGUCUAUACUAAAUAAAUACAUAAAAAAAUAAAUAAACUUAAUAAUUCUCCUCCACAUGCAAUUUCCAUUUCACCAAUGACAAGCCAAUAAUUCAUGACAACUUUGAAAGACUCCAAUUACAAUUGUGUUUGAAUUGAGACAUGUGACAAAAAAAUAUAAACAUAAAUAGUUGUCUCAUGAUAAAGCAUGAUUGAUUUUGAAAUCACUAUACAAGCGUGUAUAGCAACAGUUACCCCCUUUUUUGUUGUAUUAUAUACUAACAUGGUGAGUUAAUCAAGCUCAUAGAGAGAGGAUUAGAUGAUGAUCCCAAUAACAACAAAUAGGAUGCUGCUCAACUCAACACACGAGGCUACACAACAACAAUAACAACAACACAAAUCCCUCCUCUUUGAGAGAGAGAGAGAGUUGAAAAUUUGAAUUCGCGCAUAAGGCGGCAUUGUCCUUGGAAACCACGCCGCAUUCCAUGGAUUGCAAAAGACAGCUAUGAAGCUACUACUACUACGCCGAGGGCAUUGGAACUACUCCGGCGAGUCUCUUUGUGUGUGUGUGUGUGGGUGUUUAUUUUAUUUGAAUGCGGUGAUGAGUGGGUGAAUAAACAACGAUCGAUGACCCUCAUAACAUGAAAGCUGGGCCAAGCUUUCUUUCUUUCAUGGUUCGAAAUCAACGUCCGGAAUCUACACCGAGUGAGGACAUUUCCAUACAAGGCAGACAGAGGCGCAGACAGACAGACAGAUAGAUAAGAGGGAAAAGCCAAGAAUAAAAGAAUACAACGAGGCAAAGGAAAGGAGAGAGGAAACUUUAAACACAAGCUGUGUGUAGAGAAAGAGAGGGUGCAGCAGCAGCAGGACUCGCAGAGCCAGUUACGAUCCGUCUUGUCUACAUUGACGGAUCGACUGAGUGUCAGACCCAUCGCAGAGUAAAAGCAUGAGGAUGCGUACGAGCGCAGCAGAAGCUCCAGCUCGAACGGGGAGGACAGACGGCGACAGAGCUUGGUUGUAAUGCGAGCGAGCGAGCGAGAGAGGACAAAUGGUGUUCUGUCCGCUGGAUGGGGGGAGAGGGAGGGGGGGCACUCAGAACCCACCAGCGAAUGCGAGCUGGUCGUGACAGAAAUGCCAGCUAGGAAAACAAGGGGAUCAUUGUUGCAGAGAGGGAUGCACCUGGGACGGUGAGCUGUGGCAUGUGACUGGGACGCGGACACAGCUAGGCUUGGUGCUUUUCCGCAGACUGGCACGCUAACGGCAACAAUCACAUAUGAUGGUGUCAGACAUGUGUAAGGGUGCGGGGUGUCAGACGUGGCCGCGGGGGCGGAGGUGGUGGUGGUGCACGCCUCAGGGAUCGGAACAGCACUGCUCCCUCUCUCUCUCUCUCCACAUUGACUGCGCUUGGAUUUGCGGGUCGUGAGGCGGGUAGAGAUGUGGUUGUUGUAAAGCGGCUCACGAGCUAAGAAAAUAUGCCCACAUAGGACAGUAAGAUUUUGAUAGUGAAGAUAACUCUCUUGCUACAUACUUUUACUGGGCGUCGUUUUCAAGGUGUUCAUCUCUGCCAAGAAAGCGUUACAGGCAUGCAUGACUACUGGUUUCACAGUUCCAGCAUGCUGUUACCAGACAGACGUUUACAGGUAGCUAGACACAGACGCAACGGUCAUAUGUUGCACUAACGAUGUAGUAGAUUUUUCAAAAUGUACAUGUCAUGGACUGCCAGCAGUCGAAACUGAUUCAUGUGACAUUAAGAAAUGUCUGGGGCAAUCACAUUCCCGAUCGGUUUUCGUGCACAGCUAAUGAACACUUCACAUCAUGCAAGGUUAAGGAGAGUGCCGAGAGGGCUGAGGCUAAUGUAUUUAAAGAUGAAAUCUCAUCGUUUUAUUCGGCAAGCCCACAAACAGCGACCAGAGAGUACCCAUGGACAUGUUUGUCACGUAAUAUAAAUGAAAUCUUCUCUAUCAAUGGUCAUCCUUCACAGGAACAAAGCCACAGGAAUUCAAUGGCCGUGAAGACACACCUCUUGUUCAAAUGCUACCCUACGUUUUAUCACAAAUUUUACACAUUGGCUUGAAUGUUACGAGAAAAAUGCUUCCUGUGCAACGGCGACCUUCAAACGUACUGCAGCUACACCGCUCCAUUAACAACAAGCCCAAAAAUCCUGCCACUAAUAGGACAUCUUGAAAAACUCCGCCAAGACGCUCCACACCGUCCCGUAAUGGAAAGCUCAACUACAUCGCACGAAGGGCCCGAUCGCGUCCCACGGCGCAUUCCACAAGCUUAGCCAGUUGUCCUCCAAUACAGUCCAACAUCCCAUCCUCCCAAAACCCACAUGCUAGGCACGUCCUGCACCCAAACUCUCUUCAAAAAAUGUGCGCAGCAAGGAACGCCAAGAGACCAGCGGCGACGGGAGCUACAACGGCAGGCACCAUGGCCGCGACGUCAUUUGAGGGAGGAGGCGCAGGGGCCGCGGCUUGAGCAUUCACACUCACGGCAGCAGAGCAGCCGACGAUGACAGCCACAAGGGCGAAGUUCUUCACUGAUCUCAUCACAGAGGCCAUUACUGCUAGUUCCAAAAACGGUCGAGCACAAACAAAAAGGAAACGAUACGUAGAAUGCUGCUGCCACUGCUCACACCGUAAUCUCCGACAAAAAUGAACGCGUUUAGAAGCAAUGCGAGGCGAGAGGGAGGGCAAGAGGCAGGCGGACAAACAGGCGAAGAAGCAGAAGGAGCCGAAGACGAAGAAAUGAUAACCGGAAGGUUGGGCCAGGGGACUAUAAAGGGAGCCGGGUGAACCAAAGAGCGCGGGGUCGGGGGAGCCUUUUAGGGGGGUGCGCCACGAACGAAGAAAGAGGGGAAGCCGUGUGAAGCGGGGCCCGGCGUGUGGAGCGGGGCCGGGGGCCGUGGGGGAGAGUGAGUCUCCAGAACAGCAACUUCGUUCUCUAAUAAACCGCCAUUACUCACGAUUGGUAAAUCCUUCCUCCCCGGGUCCCACCCCCCCUCCCCCGGCCCCUUCUCCCGCGAUUCCCUUACCUGUCAGCCCUGUUACGCGGCAGUCAUUCCGCUCCCGAGUCGGGCUCAUGGGUUAUUUUCCGAUCUGGGUUUGGUUCUUGGUCCGGGACUGGGCUCGGAUUUACCUUUAUUUUCAUCCCAGUAAAUAUGGACUGGGGGAUAAACUAUUGGAGUAGAUUUGGGUACAGGGCUGGUCGGGUUGUGCAUGGCAUUGUUUGGUGACUCCUUUUCUGGAAAUAAAGUAACUUUUGGUGAUUUUUCUUUAAAGUGCUUCUGCAAUGCUCUAUACGUAUUUAUUGUUUACUUUUUGGGAAAGUAAGGAAAAGAUACUUUUACUGCUGUGUUUGCACGUGAGGUUGGAAAUUGGGUAUUAACACAAAAAAGUUGUAGGAAGAAAAAAAAAUGUUUUUUAAAAUGGUGUGAAAGCACUGUUUGACUUGAUGGAGCAUAUCUUUGUUUGUCACUUGGUUUAUUUUUUUAUUUUUUAAAAUUAUUUUUGCAUUUUGGAUACAUCGUGUGUAUUUGUUCAAUUGAAGUGUGCUAAGAAUUUUUAUGGGGUACAUGUUUCCAACUAUCCACUUGAUACUCCACAUUUGUUUGAUUGUAUUUUUUAAUUUAUUCCGUCUUUACACAUAAUUUCAAAAAAAUACAUUAGGAACAAAUUUGUUGGUUGAUAUCAAAAGUAUUGUUAACAGUUUAAAUAUACAUUUUUACACAUAUGUAGUACCCAUAAAGAGUGGUUUUUGAUGUGAUGUUCAUACACAAUUCCUCAAUUGGGAAUGUUUUCCACCAAACUCAAUUUCAAUGUUGAAAAUGUGUCAUUGACAUUACUGUUGACUCUCAGUAUUAGGAAACUUAUGGUAGAAUACAGAAAACAUCAAUAAACAACACUAACGAUAAUUCUUGGAUUAAAAUUUCAAACCCUCUGAAUAAAAUUCUUUAAUAUUUGUCAAAUGAUUAAAACAAAAUAUUGAGUUGGUAUACAAACUCAACAAAGUAAUCACAAAAUAAAUAAAUAAAUAAUAAACAUAUAUAUAUAUAUAUAUAUAGAGAGAGAGAGAGAGAGAGAAAUGCAUGGAAUGGGAUCCUUGUAGAAGUGUUUUUUUGGGUGCAGUUAACAAGAGUUUUAAAUGCAAAAUGCCAAACAAUAAUAUCGUUGUAGGGUUUCCAGCGCUACUUACCAUAUGUGGAGUAGCAUGAUAUCUUGGCCAUGUUCAGGUGCUGAGUUGGCAUGCUGACGUAUUCAUUUGAUACAAGAUGACGUGGCAGCAUACACAUGCUGAUGUGUCAGCAGCCCAUGUGGUCUUUUAAGGGGGUUGAAGAAUAAGACUUGUUCUAGUUCAAAUGCCACUCUCUCUCUUGUUUGAAAAACUGUUUUAAAUAUUUUACUUUUAUUUAUUUUUUGAUUUAUUUUUUAAUUUUAAUUAUUUAAACUAUACUUUUAUUUGUUUUAUUUUAUUUUCUUCCUUUCAAACUAGUCAGAUUUUUUUCCUGAUUUUUUGUAGCCUUACUUUUCUACCUCCAAUGUAGGCUAGCCAAAAGCAUCUAGAAAGAUUUGCAACUUUACAUUCUAUAUUGUUUAGGAGUUUGCUUAUUUAUUUAUUUAUUUAUUUUUCUUCAAAAUAACUAGAGUUGACCAUGUUGUGCUAUGAGUAAAACAUUCAAAGUUUUCAUAUGUAUGUAUAUAUGUAUGUAUGUAUAUAUAUACAAACAUGCAUUCUUGGUCACUGUAAGAUCUAACAAGCAUUUGAUACUUGAUUUUUUUUCUUUAAAUAAUUAUUGAACUAAAUUAAAAAAAUUAUGCUGGAUAUUUUUCUUUUAACAAUACUUAAAAAGGAGAUAAAUAAAUUUGUAUUUGUAUCAUUUCAAAAAUUAUACUAUAUUUGAUGACAAUCACUUAGAACUAACUUAGUAUGUUUUGAUUUUUUUAUUCCUAUCAAUUUCUAGUGUGAUAGCUAAAUAAUAAUAAAACAAUAAAUAUUAGCUAUUUUAAGUGGCUAAGAAAAAAUAAAUUAUAAAUUUGAGUUGUUUGGAUAUAUUUUAAUUAUCCAAAUCUAGGUUUAUGUUAUUAUGGAAUGUAUCAUCCAAUUACAUUUAUAUAAGAUGUUAAAGCUAUUCUAUAGCUAACAACUCCUUUGGUACACUUUUUGUCUUUGAAAUCUAAAAUCAUUAUUAGUUUUUAUUAUUUAAAAAAAAAAAAACCAAAUAACUUGGCUAAUUUGUAAAAUAUGUCAAUGGAGCAAUGUAUUUUUGCUAGACACACAUUAUGUAAAUAAAUAAAUGAAAUAUUGUAAUCAAACUCUAUCAAUGACAAGAAAUUCAUCAAAUGACCUUAUUAAUAGUUGCUACUAUAAUUUUAUAUAUUUUGUUCCAAGAUUAGGUUGACAUUUUUGGUUUGACUAUUAAUUUAUAAAUAAUACUUUAUAAAAAGUUGAUCUUGAUGUUGAAGAUCUAAUAUAAUUUUCUACAAAAUUUAGACGCAAAUUUCAAUCACUAAUCCAAUUUAAAAUUUCAUAUGAUAUUUAUAAACUGUAAUAGAAUUUUUUUCUUCUAAUUUUUAAAUAUUUUUUUAUUAAAAGGAAGUGUUAUUUUGUAUAAAACAAUCUAUUAGAUGAAAUAAUCUAAAAUUACCAAAAUUGAUUUUUUUUUCUGAAUAAUAUAAAAUCUAUGAUAAAAUUUAUUUAUAAAAAAACUUUUGGAAUUUUAAAAAUAAAUAGGAGUUUAAAGAAACUAUGUUGUUGAUGUCUUAAAACUUUAGUUUUUAGUGUAUUAUAAGAUUGCAUAAUUUCUUUACAAACCUCUUAAUUUUUAGACAUUAAUAUGUUUUGGAUGUCAAUAUUAUAGUUAAAUUAAAACCAAGUUGUAACUUAAUAAAAAUAAUGUAAUAUAAUUUGAAUAUUAAAAAGGUGCAAUUUUUUUAAAAGAUACAAACAAUAAUUCUUUAAAGUCCUAAAUUAAAGCCCUCUAUUCUUUAUUGAAAUCAAUUUAAUUAUUUACUGUCUUUCCAGAAUUAUUAAUUAGUUUGUAAUUUUAUUUAAUCUUUGAAAAAAAAACCUUAUAAAAUGUUUUAAAAUUUUAAAAACAUGGUAUGUACUUAAUUGAUUAAAAUUUAUUUUACUUCUAAUUAAUAAAAUAUUAUUUAUACAAAUAAUUAUUAUGUAGCUUGAUUCAUUAUAAUUUAUAUUUUAAAUAUAGAAUUGGUAUUAAUAUUAAUUUAAAAAAAUCCUUAUUUUUGUUGUUCUUCUAAUACUAAACAUAUUUAACAAUUGUAAUCUACUUUUGUGGAAUAAAUUAAGACAUCAUCCAAAUAGAAUAGAAAAUAUUAUUUUAAGCAUUUAAAAAAAAUAUUGUUAUACAUUUAAAGAAUGAAAGUCUAUUUUCAAGUUAAUAAAACAUAGUAUUACAUCCAAAGUAUCCAUAUCUUGCACAAUUUAUACGUUUGUAGUAAUAUCCUUUAAUACCAGGAAGAUUAUGAGUAUCUCUUGAUUAAAAAAAUUUAAAGAAGUUUAUUUUCUAAAUUUCUUUAGCAAAUUUUAAGAUACUAGUAACACUUUAAGAUGCAAUAACAUCAUUCAAGAUGCAAGAAAAAUCCACUUCUUUUAAGAAAAAGUAAAACUUCCUAUUAAUAUAUCUAGUCACAUUAAAUCAUUAGAUAAAAUAUCUUAUACAAAUUAAUAACUUCAAUAAGUAUGGCUUAAUAGGUAGAAAUAGCUUCAACAAACAAAUAGCUUCCAUAAAUCUGGCUGCAAACAAGUUAGCAUUUCUUUCUUUGUUUCCCACAAACAUGGAUGCCAUGGAGACUUCAUUUUCAAGCUCAAUGGAAAGGGGACCUCUCAACACUACCAAAGCCUCAAUUGCAACAGCAAGAUUCGAAUAGAAGACGACAAAUCGAAAUCGCACAUUAGGAGCUGAAGAGCUCCAUCCCCUAUUUAUAAAAUACUGAUCCUCACACAAAAGCAGAUCAACCAAGUCAAAGCAUGAAAUUUGUCAUGUGUAGUAGCUAGUGUGGUUUGUAAAAUCAGUGAAGAAUUGGUAUUCCUAAGCGUUCUCAUCACGCUGGUGUUCCAGCAUUCAGGCAUGGACACUCGCUCCUUGUAAAUAACUCGCAAGCUGAUUCUGUUGUUCCAUGAGCAAGUUUGGGCAAGUUCACCUCUGCUCAUGCCAGAAGACUGCUCGCAUAAUUCAUGUAAUCCUGCAACAAGAAUUCAAAGCAGCCUGAUUCAGUAAGAAAUCAAAGCAGCCGGAUUCAGUAAGAGAAGUCCACGCUGAAGAAAACCAUGAUUGAUAAAUGAUGCGGGGGAAUACCUGUUGAAGACUUCUAGAAGGAUGUUUACCGUGCUGCGUAUUUUUCAACAUGUAACCACUUUGUAGCAGACCAUUUCGUACCUUGAAUCACAGGGCAAGCGCCUGUCGAACAAAAGCCCAUCCCACGAAUUUAAGAAACACCCCCAAAAAAGUUCGAUUGUCACAUACGAAGCAGAUUCUUGCAAAACAAGACUCAAAAUUCCAUGUAAUGACGUAAUUCUCUUGAAGAAAUUUGCAAUGAAGAUUGUGGAAUAUCGUGUAACAGGAUACAUGAAAGAUAAAAACAUGGUACGUCAUCAGUGGUAUCCGAUAAUCUGGUGGAAGAGUACAUAAUGUAGACUGGUUUUACGACAACUAAAUCUGUUACCAAAAUCAUACCAUGCAAACUGGUAGGGUCAAGCUUCGCAUCUGGUUUCAUGCUCCAAAAAAGUAAGGCAUCUCCCAUACGUGGUCGUACAGAAAGGCCCCGUUUAGCGCAUUCGGAUCGCUGAUCCCAAUCAGGAACCUCACUAGCGUUCACUUUAGAAGCCGGGAAAACUGUUUCUCCCCCUUUCUCAACGUCUGACCUGUUCCUCACCGUAAAAAUGCCAAUCACCAACCUAAGCAGUAUGGUUGCAGACACAGACUUUUUGAGCUGUAUCCGUACCUGGACUUGAACCAGGUCUAAACUAACAUUAUGGCUAGCAAAAAGCUAGUCAUUACAUUUUCUUUAAUGUGGAUUCUGGAGAACGAAAUAGUGCACGUAGUGGAUUAACAGGCCGAGUACGGAGGCAGAAGGGGGAUACUUACAGAUACAUCAGUACGGUAGCAAUCCGCUGACCACCAUUUUUAGUAUUGAAAGCAUCGUGAAAGUAGUCAUAAUGAGGCUCGUAUUUCUCACUCUCUCUAUACUGCAAAACUUGCAAGCCUUCACCUUGUUCUACACGCACGAACCAUCAUGCCUUAAGCAUAAUAAUGAAAAAGAUGACAUCGAAGUACCACCCUUUUGAACAGAUACUAAGCUCAAUCAACCCAUGUCAAGUGCAAAUGACAUGCCAUUGGUGUUCAAUGCUUCCCAACUGUCAGCAUGGUGAACUGCCGAAACCAAUUAGUCAUGCAAGAGAUACAGGAACAUAAAUAAUAGUCGUGAAUCCUAAUGACUGGACAAAGAACCAAAGUAUACUGGCAAGAAUAUCAUUUAUAUGAAACAAGGAACAUAACCAAGGAUGUAUCACAUACCAACAGGUAUGAAUGUGAAGUCAGCGAUACGUUUCUCAAUCCUCUUAAUGAUGUGAUCUUGGCCCCGCACCAAAAAUGUCCCUGAACUUGUGCGAACCCUGUGAUACACACACUUGUCAUCAACGGCUACGAAAAUCCAGAUGAUAGAUACUCUCGUCAAAUGCAGAAAAUAAAAACACAAACCCCAAGGCCCAAACUUGGAAUAAUACCACACCAGCAAAUUGAAUAUAUCAACCUUCGGUAAACUAGGUGAUGAGGAAAGAAGAGCUAAAUCGGCACGCACCUGCUGUCUUUGCUUUUUCCCGUAGCACUAUCUAUAACUGUUGACUUCACCAGGCUAGGCUUGGCCACCUCAAUAAGAUGGUUGCAUUCCACUUGUGUCUGUUCCCAAUGCAAACGAUCUCAACAUAGAUACUUUUCCACACAUUUUGUAUAUCUCUUUAAGUGGUACUCAUGCCUAUGUACAGGUAGCCGACACUAGUGACCAAGUCUAUCAUAUUGUGUUUUCGGAGCUCCGCUUGUAGGAAACCGUAUACAAUCACCAAAAAGCAUGAUUGCACGCAUAUAAAAAAUACCGAAUAUUUGCAGACUUAAAUCUGCAAAUAUUUAUCAAUCUUGGUGCACUAUGUACGUAACAAAAUAAUGUUUAUCCCGCAAGAAAGGGUUAAAACCAUAAUACAAACAAAACAGAACAUGAUUGCCACCACCAGUAUUCAUCCUCAAUAACAACCCAACACCGCUGCAGCGACGCAAACACUAAUAUGUAAAAUGUCUUACCAGAAAGUGGUGAUACAGAAAAGCUCUGGGCUCCCAGGAAAGGACCUCAACCCAAGGUGCCAGUGGAUUUUCAUCCACAUGCCUGCGAUCAGAAAAAAUAUUAUCAUUCAAAUGUAAGAACCCAGCACAUGGAAUUUGAAAUGUACUUUCUGAAUUAAAACCUUUGUUAAAAACACGAUAAUGGGUGUAAAUCAAUUUAAUGAAGGUGACCAUAGUAUGUGUGCUAACUGAAAUUACAAUUGAAAGUUCGUUUUGUACAUGAUUGGCCAUCUACUGCAGAGAUGGUGUAAUAUUUAUCAGAUCCAUUGCACUUGGCAGGGAUAACCAUUUCGAUUGCUGUAGCGACACCUAUCAAAGUCAGAUAAAAAAUUCACAAAACACUCAAGCACCCAUGUCCCAAAAGCCUAGAAACUACAAUUUUUGUAAAAGUUGUAAAAACUUCAAUUUGUGAAAAUUCGUGGCAAAAUCAGAUUCUAAAUUCCAAGUGAUUCCAUAUGUCCUCGUAUGCAACUGUAAGCGAGAUUUGCAUCAAAGCUCUUGCGCGCCAGAACACAAUGGCUCUAUUGGGAUUUCGAAAUAGAGAGGUUGCAACAAGCUCCGAUCAAAGCACCGAAGAGUGAAACCUUACAAUGGACCAGGACACAGUUUGGGAUUAGCACGAUUAAGGUGUUUGGUUGUUUGUUUUUGUUUUUUUCUUUUGGGGGGGAGGGGAUAGCAGCAAUUUACGUUCAGGUCACUAUUCAUUCAAGACACUUGGAAGCUUCAGAUCGUGUUACGGUACCACCGACAUUGCGAAAAACCAGGUAAGUCUCCAACUACGUGAGGGGUCGAGUGAAGGGGACAAAGAAUACUACAAAGAUUUGCCAACGCAGGCGAGCACCUCUCAACUUUAAAUGAUAUCCUCAACUCUACAGCUAAUGCUGCAUCUGAUUCAGAAUGUACUCAACUCUCUCCCUCAACUCUCUCCUAAUCGAACUCCAGAAUUAACCACACUUCAAAUUUACGGUGACCACAAACCAUCGCAUUGGCGACGAAAUUCUCCAAAACUUCUCCAAGUGUGAAUACCCACAACCAUAGAAUCUGCAACCGGAAUUGACUUCGGGUCCUCGUUAAUUUUUUAAGAUGAACUUUACCCACCUGUGGGUAGGCAGCUUCAAUUCCACUUCGGCUCCCUCGUCAAUCGAGCCUCGACGUCCCGAUGGCAUUGCUACCACGUCCAGAAGCAACAUGACCAUGACUAUCAAAGACAAAAACGCGAACACCAGCAAUGCCAUCGUGCCAACUCCAGUCCUUUGCCCCCUACUCAACCUCGCCAUAGCUGCCACAGCCCUUGCCCCCGCCCUCUCCUCUGUUCCCCCCUCACACAAACACCAACCCACCAAAAACUACCGCCUACGUGUUUAAUAGUACGUCUCAAUUACGCUGCAAAACUACCACCACACGUCAAACGCAGAUGGGAAAAAACAAAAAAAAAAAAAAAAAAAAAAAAAAAACCCUGCGAAACCUCCAAACGCAACCUCGAGAGCAAAAUCCAAAAUGGCCUCUACUCUCAUCCCCCGGCUACGAUGACACAAACAGACAACGUAGCUGAACAAAUUCAGUAAAGCGCGAUCACGCGACAACUAUAAAAGGAAAAUCUGCCCCACGCCGCAAGGGGAACGACCACCACAGCACCCACCAACACGGAAGAGCUCUCUCCGAGAAAGGGAUAUGAACAGCGGCAGAUCUACUCACACUGGAGGGGAGAGGCAAUGCACACAAGCCAAGGCAAGGCAAGGCACAGCCUCGCUGGGGUUUCACACUGUCGGUAGAAGCGCCGAUGUCACUCACAUCCAUCCCACCCAUGGGCACUAAUAAUAAAUUACCAGCUGAGCUGUGCCCCUCUGCCGAGUCGACGGUGAAGAGCAAGAGCAGCUGCAACGGCAACUUCGUGUUGAUGAUCAGCGAGCAACAACAUCGACAACAACAGCAUAAUCUUCGUCAUCUAUCAUCAUGGGAGGAGGAGGAGCAUCGAUCUGGCCUACUCCAACUCCAACUGCUGCUCUUUUUCGUCUUCUUCUGCUCAUGGCUUUGGUUUGGUUUGCUCUGCUUUGCAUUGUAGACCUGGUUUUGUCCAUUCCACUGCCGCUUGGAGGUCACCAUUUUCAAUGCGCCAAACUACAGCCCCCUUCUUCACACACACGGGUGGUGUCACCUUUGCAUCAUCCCCCUUAUCCCCACUUUGGUCUCCUCCUCCUCCUUCUCCUCUUUGUUUAGUUUUUGUUUCUCUGUUUUUGUGGCAAUGUGAGGUAACAUCCUUUUUCUUGUGGUAGAUUCCACUGGGCAGGGUUAUGAUAUUGUAGCUAGGAUUCAAACUUCUUACCCUUUGCAUAUGUUGGAUGGGGAUCAAUAAGAUGGGUGAGUUGUACAAAAGGUACUUGUUGUUUCUUUACAAACAAAAUUUUGGGUUUGAUAAGGUUUAGAAUUUUGAUUCUGAAUCAUAUGAAUUUUAGGGUUGUCAAGGUGUGGGUUUUAGUAUUUAUAGGGUGUAAGAUAUGGAAUAUGUGAUUGUUUAGAUUAAAGGUUUACAGAAGGAUUAAGGUUAUUAAGAAGUGUCUAUUUAAGCAUAUCUAUUUUUUAAUUAUAAAAUAAUUUUGAAUAAUGAAGAAAUACUUCUAUAUCUAGAUGAAAAUUUAUUUUAAAAAAAAUCUUUACAUACUAUCACAUGUUCAUAUAUUAGUAUAUAUCUAGAUGAAAAUUUAUUUUAAAAAAAAUCUUUACAUACUAUCACAUGUUCAUAUAUUAGUAUAUAUCUAUGUUCCACUUAUUACUUGUACUACAAGUUGUGUGUAAUAUUAUCUUUUGCUCAAUAUUAAACCUCUGUAAAGAUUUUGGAUAAUUAGUUGUUGAUUGAAUUAGUAUUUGUAUUGAGUUAUACAUAUAAGUGAUGAUGAAAGAAUUAGAAAUGUUUUAUGAACUUAAAUCAUAUAUUAGAAAUUUCAUAAUUUUUUUUAAAAAACUGCAAGGUGUAAAGAUAAUAACAAAAACUAAAUCAAGUUGUUUGUACUAUUAUAUAGAAUUUUAAUUUAAAUCAAUCUCAAAUAAUAUCUAAAUAUGUCAAAUCCAACUUGUCUUUUAUUGUUUAAGUUGCUUAUAAUUUAUCCUAAAAAGGGCAAUAAACUUGGUAUUUAAAAAUUUACUACCAAUUUUAAUCAUAAUUAGAAUUUACUCUUUUAUUCUUUUAUAAUGUCAAACUUUGACAACAAACUAAAAAAAUCAAAAAAUCAAAUAUUUAAUAACCUUGAAUUUCUAUUGAUAAUUAUUGUUUGGUAGAAUGAUUAAAGUGGUAAUAUAUGUACCUAUAAAAUAUUUGAUUUUUUUCAUAUAUUCAAAUAAAAGAAAAAAUAGGUUCUCAUAUUAAAAAUUUAUAAUAUAUAAGAGUAUUAAGGAUAGCUUAUAUAUUGUUUGUUUUUGUUUAGAUUUUUUUUUUUUUAAUAAAUUACUUAAAGAUAUGCACAUACUAUUUUGACAAUUCUUAGAAAAUUUAUUUAAAGAAGAAAUGCCAAAAAAUUGUAGAAUUUAUGAAAUUAUUAUAAGACAUACAAUGAAAACAUGUUUGCAAAAGUUAAUAUACAAAUGUAAGUCUAGAAAGAUAAAAAUUUGGUACUAGAAUAAACAAUAUUAUAUUUUCUCUAGCACAAUGGUGAUGAAUCUUUAUCAUACUUAAGAAGUUAAGGGUUUUAUUUCUAUAAGAAUUUAUAUAGUAAAAAUCCUGCAUAUUAAGGACUUAAAUCAAAAUAUUAUUCUGAAAAUGACAAUAUACUUUUAUAUUACUAAUAGAGAGAAAUUAUACAACUGAAAUAUAGAUAUAAAAUUAAAGUUAGAAUGACCAUUGCCAAAUACAAUAAGACUUUGAUGUCUUAAACUAAGAUAGAAUACAAGAAAAAUAUUGAUAAGAGUGAUGAAGGUCUUACUCUUGCUUCUACAUAUACCAUCUACUAAAGAAUUAUGUAGUGAUAUUUUAUAGGCCAUAUAACACAUGCCCAACUUGUGCAACAUGUAUCUAGUUUAUAAGGCAAGUUUCUAACAUAUAUGCCACAUAGCCAACUUAUAAUAAAAGUAGCCAAAUGUAUGACAUGUGGCCAAUUUAUUAGCCAAGUUGUCAAUCUAUCAAUAAUUUAUAAGCACAUGUAAAUUCUAUGAAGCUGCUAUGAAGCUUUUUAAUAAGAUAUCAAGAAUUUUAUCUAUUUCUACUUACUUCUACAUAGUUUUAUUUAUUUAAGUAAAUAUAUUAAUAAAUUUAGCUAUCUAUUUUAUUAUCUCCCUUUUUAAGCAAUAAAUUCUAAAAUGGAUAUUAUUAUUGCUUCAUAAGUUCAUAAAAUCUAAGAUCCUCAAAUAUUUCAUGACAAUAUGUGAUUUGAAUUGUCAAUAAGCCUAUUAGAGCAUAUUUUUGUUAAGAUUUGUAUUCAAUAUCACUUAUCAACCAAAAAAAUAACAAAAUUUGUUAGAUGUCCUUUUGAGAUAUUUUUAUCUUGUACCAAAAGAAUAAGAUGCAACUUUUGAUCAAUAAUAUAUAUAUAUAUAUAUAUAUAUAUAUAUAUAUUAAAACUAGAGCAAUUUCAUCUUUGAGCAAUUAAAUCAACAUUGGCUAUUGAAACAAUCUUUCUUGACCAAGUCCAAUCAAAUAUGCCUUCAAAUUCUCUUGUACAUGAUAUUAAGAAUAAUUCUUCUAAAAUUCAUGAUACUUCCAAGUUUGAAUUCAAGAACAAUCUACUCUAUUUUGAGAGAUGCUUAUAUAUUCUAAAAGGUGGAGUAUGAUUACGAACUCUUUAAGCUUGCCAUAACUUUCCAACUAUAAGAUAUUUUAGAUAUAAUAAGAUAUUGGAAUUAAUCUCAAGAGAUUAUUGGUGGUAUCAAAUGUAGAAUGCAAUUAAAAAUAUUGCACAAUCAUAUAAUAUUUAUUCAAGUUUAAAAACUCCUUAUCAUCAACCUUAUAGACUUUUUCAACCAUUGCUUUAUACCAAAAUAACUAUGGUCUUUUAUUUCUAUAGAUUUUAUCACAAAUUAUUCAAUUUCAAGUUCUUAUGAUUCUAUAUUUAUGGUAGUAGAUUUUUUUACCAAUGUAGUAUAUUUUAUAUCAUGUAAAAGAAUAAUAAGACUUUUUUUAAUAAUAUUUAUUGCUACCAUGGAUUGCUAAGGGAUAUUAUAAAUGAUAGAUGGAUUUAAUUUGUAUUUAAGUUUUGACUAACAUUUUUCAAGAUAUUGAAGGUAGAUAUAAGAUUAUCUUUGGCUUUUCAUCUUCAAACUGAUGGACAAACAAAAUAGAUAAAUCAAGUAUUAGAAUAGUAUUUAAAAUGCACAAUCUAUUAUCAUUAAGAUGAUUAGAUAAAUCUUUGCUCUUAGCAAAAUUUGCAUAUAAUAGUAUAAGAUAUUCUUCUAUGAAGCUUACUAAUAAGAUAUUAAGAAUUUAACCUACUUCUACUUAAUUCUACUUAUCUAAGUAAAUAAAUUAAUGAUUAUGAAUAUUUAUUAGAAUGUAUAUCUAUUAGCUUAUUAAAAUUUUGAAAUGUAAGUUAUUUUUUUAAAUAUAGUAAUUAUUCAAUAAUUAUUAACAACAUGAAUUAUAAAAAAUCAACAUAUCAAUACACUCUUGUAUCAUUUGAAGAAAGUAGAUAUUCAUUUAAAAAUAGUAUAUUAUUUAAACUAGAAUAGCUAUUGCCAAAGAUUCAAAAACUAGAGACUUUUGUUCUUAGUCUUGUUUCAAAAGUUGUCUUCUUCACUCUUAUUUCUAUAAAUAUAUAUAUAUAUAUAUAUAUAUAUAAUUUAACUAUGAGCUAUGUAUUUAAAAUAUAUAUAUAUAUAUAUAUAUAUAUAUAUAUAAUUUAACUAUGAGCUAUGUGUCAAUAUUUGAUAGGACGUCCAACACAUGUUCAACUUGUAAAAUACAUGUCUAACUUGUAAGGCAAGUUUUCUAUAUGUAUGCCACAUAGUCAACUUAUACCAUAAGUUGCUAACAUGUCCAAUAUGUGACCAAAUUGUUGGCUAAGUUUUUAACCUAUCAAUCACUUGUAAACAAGUAAAAAAAUCAAAUCUGCUUCUAUAAAACUUCUAAGAAAAUUUUCCACAAAUUAUUAUCAAAUUUAUUCACAUUUAAUAACUUCUACCUAACUAUUCUUAUCUAAGUAAUUAUUAGUGUUCGUUAUAUCUAUAACAAUGAUAUAUAAUAUAAUACUAACUUUUGAAGUAAAAAUUGUUUUUUUUUGCAAUUGUGAGUUUUUUUACAAAGAAGAAGUUUUAAAUUAAAGAUUUCUAAGGAUAAGGAUAAUAAAAGAGAGAAGGAUAGAAAAUGAAGUUGAUAAUUUUUUAAAAAUAUUUAUUAUUUCUUAUAGGCUUACUAUAAAGGUAAGUACAUUGAUGCCUGAAUAAAUGUAUUGUCUUUUUGGAUAUAUGCUUGUAGACAUAGAAAAGAAAAAAGAAAAAGAAAAUAUAAAUAUAAAUGAAUAUUAUAUUUAUAUGUUUUAAAUAUUAUAUUUAUUUUAAAUAAAUAAUUUAAUAUUCAAAUAAUUAAAAUUUAUGCUAUAUGAUAUAUAAUUUUUUAAAUAAAAUUUUUAUUUGAUUUUUUUAAAAUUUUUUAUAAAGUAUUUUCUUAUAUAUUGUCUGGCUGACAACCGCAGCGAGUGGAUACGCUCCGUUGUCCAUGUCAGCACUCUGCAGCCGAUGAGUACAUCCACGUGGAAUCCCGGGCUGUGGCUCGAUUGAGGCCUCUCCUUGAACCCCAGGGCCCUCAGCAGCGCCGCCUCUCGACGACCCCGAUUCCUUCCGACCAGCAUCCAAAGGCCCUCCAUCCCAGACGUGGGCUGCCUUCAAUCCGUGCUACUCUUCGUCGUCAUGGAGCCUGCAGAUUCGACGCGUUGCUCUGGGAAUUGGGUCCCAGGAAAUUCGCUUCAAUUCGUCACCAAGUCUCAGGAGCUGAAAACUGCAGUAGAGGAUGUGGGCUUGGGUAUUGUAAGAGGUGCGUGUGAAGAAUGGCACAAUUCAGCUCGCAAUCGACGUGUGAAAGUUGAGAUUAGAGAGCAAUUGGGAGUUGUUGAAGGAGGUUUUGAGGUGGGUUUGUGUGGACGGAGACUGUUCGCCGCGCUCUGUGUGCGGCAUUGGUGCAAAUAUGGCAGCGGCGAUGGAGGUUUGUGGGAAGGCGGGUUUGGCGAAUGCAAUUCCGGAGUUGGUUGGAUCUUUGCAUUCUCCUUUCCUGGAUCCGUCGCCGAGCUGCUUUGUUAGGCCUUUUAAGGGGAAGUCGGGCUUGAGCGCGCAUGUCGCGGGACAGGCGCGAGCCGUAGCGACGCGUGAUCCGGUUCGCACUGGUGCGGUGAGUGGAGGAAGCGGUAGCUCCAAUGGUGCUGCGAAUGGUGCCGUGUAUGGUGGAGUCAACGGCUCUGUUUCCAAAGGGCGCUCGAUGGUAAGUCGUCUGGUGAUGUGGGAAGAUAUGUUUUGAAUUUAUGCGAAUUUUGGAAAGUGAAUCACCCAAUUGGAUUUAGACGGGACGCUUCUAUGUGAUGAUUUCAUGGAUUUUUGAGGUCUUGUAGAUAAAUUUACAGGGGAUAUGACAAGUUUGCUUUGGAAUUGAGGUCAUUUCAGCAGACUUGGCAGGGGAGCUGCACAUGUUGGGAAGUAUAAGUCGCAAAGAUUAUGUUCAGCUUAUGAGCUGUUGAAUCAGCUGAAAUGUCAGGAAUGUUGUGACUGUUGCUUCUCGAACGUGAUUGUCACUACAAACGUGGCAACCACGUGAUGAUGAAUUUACCUCCUCUACCGGGUUUGCCGCACUAGGAGGAUGUUCGAUUUCGUUCAGCGUACAUGACUUUUUAUGUUUCCUGGUUAAGUUACAAGUAACAGAUAAUCUCUUCGGCGAGAAUACGGUUUCUCUACCAAAAUCGAUUAGAGUCGAUUGAGUGCGAUGAACCAGUUGUUGACACUACCACUCUAGUUGAGUGUAUUGAACCAAAUUUGAAAGUGGUUGUUAUCGUGGGUCUGGAUGACAGAGAGUGGGAGAAAUGGCAGAAGAAAUGAAGAGGAUGCGAGCUCACAUGGAGGAAGACGAGCAAGUUGCAUCCCUCAUGCGUGGGCUUCGUGGUCAGAAUCUUUCUGAUUCGCAAUUUGCAGCUGAUGACGUUGUGAUGCGGCUAGUUUAGGUUGGCUUCAUCCCUUCAAAUUAUAUGCUCAAGACUAUGCCUUCUCUGUGUCGAUUCAUUGUCGUCAUAUGUGUCAGAUCAUAUUGGUAUGCCACUUUGUCAUAUCCGCUGAGUUACUUUGCUGUGCGGUGCAUUCGGAUCAUCAAUUUCCAUGUUGUCUGACGAUUUUUAGUAACAUUUUGCGAAAAUGAGUAGGUUAUGAAAUUAUCGAACGAGUUAGGAAACUCGAACAGGUUUUUCAACCACCGCUAUGUUCUGUGUAGGUGGAUGAUGUGGAGGGCGAGGAAAGCCUGCCACUUGUUUAUGAUCCUGAAACUAUAGCUGCGUACUGGGGGAAACGCCCUGGAUCUGUUGCGACUCGUAUCGCUCAACUACUGGGAGUUGCAGGCGGAUUUCUGUCGCGUAUUGCGAUGGACAUUGUAACGAAGAAAGUGAAGGAAGUAAGCAGAUUCGUUCUUUGGAUUUUAUAUUAUUGUAGAUGGCAUCAAGGGUUUGUGACCAUGCGUAUUUUACUCAGACAGGAUUUUUCAGGAAAAACGAGCUAUCCCUCAAGAUGCCUCCAUGUACUUGAACGUCUCAGAUGUUGAUUGACGUCCCUCUUUCUUUUAACAGAAUGAAGUAAAGCGAGCUAUUGAGCUUCGCGAGAUCGUAACGUCACUUGGCCCAGCGUACAUUAAGCUAGGACAAGCGCUUAGUAUUCGACCUGACAUCCUCUCACCUGCUGCAAUGACUGAACUUCAAAAGCUCUGCGACAAGGUAAAUUGUACUACCAGUAGUCUGAUUCGCAGCUAAAUAACUGGAUUUGUGGUCUGGAUUCUUGCUUGAUUUUCACUUGACACUGGAAAUGUCACUUGACAGGUUCCUUCAUUUCCGAACGACAUAGCCAUGGCCCUCAUUGAAUCUGAGUUGGGAAACCCUUGGCAAGAAAUUUAUUCCGAACUCACUGAAUCCCCGAUUGCGGCAGGUAUUGUACAACGUCUGACGAUUCCUUUGCCACAUGGGUGUGAUCCUAGUUUCUUUGAGUGCUUCUGCCUAAAAAGAUUUAAAUUCUACCUUCAGGAAAAGUAUUUAACUGAGUGAAUGUUGUUAUGAUGCUGGCCAGCUUCAUUGGGUCAAGUGUACAAGGGGAAACUGAUAGAGACAGGUGAAACUGUGGCUGUGAAAGUUCAAAGACCCUACGUACUAGAGACUGUUACAAUUGAUCUCUUCAUCAUUCGUCGUCUGGGUGUUUCUCUUCGCAGAUUUCCUCAGGCAUGUGAUUCAAUUCAAUCAUACUCAUCAGCAUGCUGCAAAGUUUGUGUUCCAGUUUCUCAAGUUUCUGAAGUUUAUUGGUCCGUGAGAAACAACAAAGCUUGAGUGAGGCGAAAGUGUACUCCAGUUUCUAUAAGCUUUUUGUCAUGAUGCUAACUGUCUAAGGUAAUUUCUCUGCCAGAAGAAUGCAGAUAGCUACAGAUGUUGUAGGGCUUGUUGACGAGUGGGCAGCUCGUUUUUUCGAGGAGCUUGAUUAUAUUAACGAAGGCGAAAACGCUACAAGGUUUGCCGAGCAAAUGCGAGUUGACCUUCCUCAGGUUAGAGAUUGAUUUAACUUCUUUAUUUGUUCUCGAGAUUGACAACAUGCUUGUUUGAUUGCCCAAAAUCACUUACGUAUUCGCUGCCGUAUUGCUGUUUUUUGCCAGGUGGUUGUGCCGAAGACAUUCACAAAGUUUACUUCACGGCGUGUCAUGACAACCAGUUGGAUAGAAGGAGAGAAGCUCUCACAAAGUACGGCAGACGAUGUAGGCGACCUAGUAAACAUUGGAGUUAUCUGCUAUCUGAAACAGGUGUGGAUAUAUCCAUUUCCUUGGGCUGUAUCUAAGAUCAUGAAGGCAAUGCUGCCAUUUUUUCUGUUGCACUCGAGAAGUUGCAUGACUUAUUUUUUUUAAGGGAAACAAUAUACGAUACUUCAAAUCAAGCGAACUUUUACUUGUAUGAGUUGUGAUGCUUAGAACUAACCACAUAUUAAUAAAACCUUGUUUUGACUCUGUCGUAAUUGUGGUUGAAGCUUUUGGAUACUGGACUAUUUCACGCAGACCCACAUCCUGGCAACCUUAUCCGCACUCCCGAGGGAAAAUUGGCCAUACUUGAUUUUGGUAAGUUUAUCUUCUUCAAUCUGCUGGAAGUUUUUACCGGGAUGUCCAGUGAUAUUGCCCCUUUCAAGAAGCCUGAAUUGAUUGACCUCACCUGUCUUUUGCCCGUUCUCUGCCUCACAGGUCUUAUGACGCAGAUCACUGACAACCAGAAGUAUGGAAUGAUUGAAGCUAUAUCCCACUUGAUUCACCGAGAUUACGAGGCUAUCGUUGAAGAUUUUGUACUUCUAGAUUUUAUCCCCGAAGGUGUGAAUUUAGCGCCAAUUAUGCCAGUUCUUGCGAAAGUGUUCGAUCAAGCCCUCGAAGGUGGUGGUGCGAAAAAUAUUAAUUUCCAAGAGCUUGCCGCAGACUUGGCUCAGAUCACUUUCGAUUAUCCUUUCCGAAUCCCACCCUACUUCGCUCUUAUUAUCCGUGCAAUCGGUGUACUUGAAGGUAUCGCUUUAGUCGGCAAUCCAGAUUUUGCUAUUGUCGAUGAGGCUUAUCCAUACAUUGCUCAAGUAAGUAAAUUCUCACCAUGUCUAGGUAGUUUUUUUAAUCAUCGGGGCGACCUGAUGAGAUAUAAUCUGUGUGCGUGCGCUGUUCAGUAGUCUCUUUUAUGCGUUCAUCACCGUAAGUGCAGUGCAUCAGCACAGUAUGUAAAAUUACUUGGGCGUUAACUCCGAGAAAGUUACCAACUCUUUUGGAGAAGACAACGCUCUUUUGGAGGAGACAACGCUCUUUUGGUCUAUCAUUUGAAGGUAUUUAGUAGGGUACUGAUUGUCAGGCUUUGUGCGCAGAGGUUAUUGACAGACCCUUCCCCUAGGCUAAGGGAGGCGCUACGUUACACCAUCUAUGGAAGAACUUCAAAUUUCGAUGCAGAAAGGUUCAUUGAUGUGAUGGAAGCAUUUGAAACGUUCACAGUCGCAGCUAAGAGUGGUGGAGGGGAGGAAUUGCAAGGGAGUCGUGCCUUCUCAGGUGCAGUUGCCGGAAAAUCCCCUGCAGCAAGUGGCUCAUUCCCUGUGGUAGACCAGCGAGGAGGUGUGGAGACCAGAGCUGCCUUGAGCUUUUUGAUUUCAGAGCAGGGUGAAUUUUUCCGAGAAUUCAUAUUAGACGAGGUAUUCACCAUAUUCUAGCACAUUUUCUGCAGAAUGAAAUUUAUGCAUAACUCUGUCACCAUGGUAUUGAAUCUUUCUUAAGAAAUUUCUUUUUAGUGCACAAGAGCCAUUUGACUCUUCAUGAACAAAUUUCUAGAUUCCGACACUCUGUUGAUUAGUUUUUUGAUCUACGAUAUAACUUCCCUUUUAGAGUUGUUACAUAAACUAGGUGAAACAAAUCUGGUGAUGGACUGUGUUACCACGUGAGUCAGUAGUCGUGACUUGGGAGGUGUCUUAUGUGUUUGCAGGUUGUGAAGGGGAUUGAUGCAGUGACACGAGAGGAGCUAGCCAGAGUGGUAACGACUUUAGGUCUUCAGAGAUUCGACCCGAUGUUAAAUGCUUUUCCUCUACCUGGAUUUACAAGAGCAAUUUCAAUUGUGCCCACUGUGACGAAGGAAGACGAGAUACUACUCAACAACAUGCGGCGGGUUGUUGCAUUCCUUUCAUCUGGCUCUCCAGCGUCUCGGUCUGUUUCAGCGCAGGUAUGUGAUUCAGUCCUUGCUUAACUAGACAGUAACAUAUCAACAUACAUCAAGGAACUUUUAGCUGAAAACUGUGUCUCUUAAUAACAGCGCUGAAAGCAGCUAUUGCUUUAAUGGUAUUUUAAACUCACAUCUCGUAAACAUCUGAUAGUUUAGCCCCCAUUUCUUCCUUCUUUUGUCGAUCCAUGGGAGAAAAUUUGUUUUGUCGUCCUAUCUCCAAUGAUAAAUAUGCGUCGGGUCAACUCAUGUUUCACUCCAACGGAUCCAAUUCACAGUGAACAUCUUGUUUUUCUUGUAGAUGAUGUGUGUUAGCCUUAUUAAUUUUUGUUUCUUGCGCGAUGUGGCAACACAGGGAAAUGUGAACCUUCAACAAAUGCUGAGCGAUUUGGCGCCAGUACUUCCAGAUGUUGCAAGAAAUAUUCUACCUGACCUCAUGAACCGACUCACAUGUCGGUUCGCUGCCCGCACCCUUCGUGAGAUCUUCCUUUAGAUUAGAUGGAACUAUUGAUUUAUCUCGCCGAUUUCAACCACGUUAGAUUACCUUACAGAAGAAUUUGACACUGAGCUUAUCACAAAUUGUAGUAAAUAUCGUUGUACUUGUCUAGUGUGGUACAUUAGUGCACAUGAACAGUUGUAGUUUACCGAAAAUUUGUAUAUCACAACAAUAGUGACACUGUAGGAGCAUACCUGGCAUGAAUUUACAGUGGUGCUGGGUAUCUCCAGAUCUGUAAUUUUAUCGCUGUUUGUCUAGCACCCAAUUUAGCUGAGACCUCCAUUUUGAAGAAAGACAUUCAUUUUUCAUGUUCAAUGGUUCUACACUUGUAUGAAGGAUGGGUUACAUUGUUUUCAAAUAAUUUAGUAGAUGUUUACAUGGUAAAUCCCAACCUGAGAAUUGUGUAACAUCUUGGAACCAGCGUCUUACUGCAAAGAUCAAACUUGAGGGUCUCUCGUCACGAGAAGUACUUGUUGCGAUUCCUAACUCCAUAUCUGAUCGAUACAAUUUACUGAGAGCAUGCAACAACACGGACUGAUCACACGAAGGUAGUUUUUGUAAAAGUUAAUUCAGAAAUAUCUGCACUUGAAACUGAUGGAUAAUAUGUCAGAUCAGAUGGAAGUCUGGUCAGCUUAGAACAUGAACUUAUGAUAUUAGAAAUUGAGAAUAAAUUCCUAGGUUAGAUAUGGAGGAGGAUAAAUAUCUCUUUUAGAUGUGCAUCUAUACAAAGGGUUUAAAAAAGUCCAAAAAGUCUAAAAUAAUCUAAGGGAAGGUUUAAUAUUUAAUAACUAUAAAAUGUAGGUAGACAAAUCAACACAAAAAUAAAAUCAAAGUUGGCAUCAUUGUAUAAAUCUAUAUCUAAGGUUUUAGAAGUUUAAUAAACCAUCAUUGGCUUACUAAAGAAUUUCUUAUGCAAAUGUUUAUUAAUUUAAGUAUAAUUAUAUUUUUAUAUAAUUUUUUUCUUUUACCUAUAUAAAAACAUGUGAAAUCUUUUAUUCAAAUUUAAUUCAUAUAAAUGAUAAAUUAUUAAAUAAUAUUUAUUUAUAAGUUUAAAUUUAGAAAUAAUUAUGUAAAAAUAUAAAAAAUUUAUUCAUAAUUCAUACUUCACAAUAUGUCAUUUAAUCUCUCAAAAUUUGAUGAUUAUAUGCAUAGCCAAAGUCUUAGCCAUUAAAGCUUAUAUGCUAGGAUUUAAAAUAAAAUAAAAAAUUAAUCUUUGGCGCAUUAUCAAUGCAGUUGUGUUUGUGCAACUAUCAAGGACAUGAAUCUCGAAGAAAAAAAUCCUCAAUACACUCUUAUGUCACUCAAAAAGAUUAAAAAAUCACUCAAAGAUAGUAAUAUAUUGAACUAGAAUGGCUAUUGCUAAAGACAAUAAGAUUAGAAAGUCUUGAAAUAAGACCAAGGACUAAAAAAAUAUUAAUAAGAGUGAAAAAGGCUUUAUUCUUGCCUCUAUAUAUACUAUCUAAUUAAGAGCUACAUAACAAUGUUCUAUAGGACCUAUAAUACAUGUUGACUUUGUUAAACAUAUGUUUUAACUUGCAAGGCAAGUUUUCUAUAUGUGUGCCACAUAAUUAGCUUAUUCUACAAGCUACUAACAUAAGUGGUACAUGGUUAACUUGUUAACCGAGUUUCCAAUCUAUUAAUCAACUAUAAAUAUGUAUAAAGUCAAAAUUAUGUCUAUUAAGCUUUUAGGAAGCUUCUUUAGAAGAUAAUAUAAAAUUAAUCUAUAUUUACUUACUUCUACUUAAUCAUAUAAGUAAUUAUUGAAAUAAAUACAUAUAUCCGUAACAUUACUCCUUCUUCUAGAGACAAGUUCCACAAAGAGUGGUCAUUAUCUUUUAUGGAUCUUGCUAUUCUUCAUCUUAGUUUUGAUAGAUGUUGUCAAUGAAAAAGCAUCAACAAUUUUUUAUUUUAUUUUAUUUUUAUUUUUUUUAAAGAUUCUUUAUUAGCUUCUAUAAGAGUUCACUAAUAUCAUAUUUGCACCAAUGAAUAAGACAUUGAAAUCUAUUUUAGCACUGAUGUCAUAUUGUAAUACAACUAUAUGGUAAAAAUAUGAAUAAAAAUGAUAUUAUGAUUUGUACUCUAUUAUCUUGGUUCAAUAAUAAUUCUAGAAAUUUAAACAAUGCUUUUAUGAAAGCCUCUUAGUUUAUUUUCUUGUUUUAAUAGCUAGUAGAUUAAAGGAUGAUUAAAAAAUUUAACUUCUAAGUUAUAAAACAUUCUUUUAGUACUUUAGAAAGGCUCUAAAUUAAUAAAAAUGAAGUAGAUUAGAUAAGUAAUUUUUAUAGUCAUUUCUAAGAUGAAGUUAAGAAUAGGAUUUUACUAAAAAAAUCCUAAAAAAAAUUAGAUUGAUACUAAGGAGAUAAUUGUUUGUGGGUUGGAGUUGAAAUCAGAUGUCUAGCCUCUAAAAUGGCUACUUACAUCAAAAGAGAGGAAAUUUUGGAAAUUAGAAUGUUGAACCAAAGAGUUAGCUUCAAACUUUUUUUUUGAAGUGAUAAAGCUUAUUUUCAUAGGUUUUAAAAUGAAUUUAUAAUUAUUAUAUAAAAUUAGAGUUCAUAUUAGUAACUUUGAAUUUAUGCAAUAAAAUUGACGCUAGUACUAUCAAUUGGUUUGUGAGUUGAGUAAAACAUCUAUAAUUAAAUAUUUUUCAAUGCAUAGUUAAAUAUAUGUGCUAAUUGUGUGUCAACUUUUGUAUUAUUCUAACAAUGCAAAUGAAAGAUAUUGAGCUAUAAGUGCAAGAAGGUACCAAAAAUUGGUAGUUUAAGGUUAGAUAGGGUUUUUGCAAUAUUUGAAGAUCUACUUAUUGGAACAAAGAAAAAUUUGGCAUGGUUUUAUUAGACUAAUAUAUCAAGCUAUAUACCAAUUUGGAACUCAAGUUAAUAAUUGGAGACAAAGAAAUUAUUGCUCAAACUUCAUUUUUAACCUUCAAGUUGGUGGUUGAGGGAUAUCAAUACAAUUCUUUUGUAUUUUUUUUCAUAAUUUGUGAGUUGAAUUAGAUUGAAAUUUUUUAAGCAUAUAAAAGAUAUAUUUUUUUACUAGUAUGUAAAAAUUUGUACCAAUUAGAUAGUUAGAUCAGGAAUUAUAAUUGGUUGAAGCUUAUUGAGUAGAAUUAGGAUUUGAAGAGAAAAUUGUAAGUUACAAAAAAUAGCAAAUAACAAGACAAUUAGGAUUUAUAUUCACUUGAGGUAAUUAAAAAGAGUAUUUUUGAGCACUUUGCAUUGGCUUUAAAUUCUUUUGCAUUGAAAUUCAAAUUACUUCUUCCUUAAUGGUUGAAAUCUAUUAAGAUUUCUUAGAUAGUUGUAACAUAUGACUUCACCUUCUACAACUAGGUGUUUGGUGUAUUUUCAAACAAGAAGACACAUAAUACAAUACUACCUUGAAUCUAAGACUUUUUCUACCUCAAACUCUUGAUUAUUAUCUACUUUUAUUAGAGGAUGUGGCAUUUGUCUUUUUCUCGAGAUAUUCACUGUCUUAUAUGGUUCAAAAAGAAAUACAUGGAAUAUAGGAUGGAUCUUCAUAGACUUUGGAAAGUAUAAUUGAUAAGCAACAAGAUUGACUUCUUUACAAAUAGGAAAAGAUCCAAGCCUACAAUAGUUCAAUUUGUCACAAGGUCAAGUAGUCUUAAUAUUAGAAUGAAGUAAUUAUAUGUUGUUUUCUACAUUGAAUUGUGAUUAUUCUUUGUAAUAGGCAUUUGCAUUGAUUUUUUUGUCAUUCUUAAGUUUUUUUUUAACUAUGCCAUCAUUAUUGCAUGUAGUUCUAACAAAAAAAAUUUCAAAUCUUUUGCCACAAGAUUAUCAAUUUUUGAAAAGUCAAAAAUAUAAAAUCUUAGAUAAUAACCAUAAAUGAAAAAAAGGUGAUUAUUGAGUAAAAGAAUAUAAUAAAUUAUUUUAUAGAAACUUUACUAAUUACAAAAGAGAUGUUUAUUUAACUUAAUGAUAAUUUAUAAUAUGUCAAGGAAAUAAAUCUUAAAUAAAGAAAAUCCUCAAUACACUCUUGUAUCACUAAAAAGAACUACAAAGUCACUUAAAGAUGAUACAAUAUUGAACUAGAGUAGCUAUUGCCAAAAACAAGAAUUGUAAUAAGAUAUAGAUAAGAUAAUUAUAUAGAUAAUUAAAACUAUAGAAGUUUUUAGAAUUGGAGUUAGGUUUGUGGAUCAGGUAGGAUCUAUUAUAGAGCAUUCUAAAAAGAGUUAGGCCAAUUAUUUAGAUGGGACCUACUAUAGAACAUUUUAGAAAAGGCUUAAGAUGGUUAUUUAAAUAUGAUCUACUAUAAAACCUUCUAAAACAAGAAGUUGAGGUGAUUAUUUAAGUAAGAUCUAUCACUUAGGAAUAUUCUAGAAAGUCGAGGGUGAUAGGAUAAGGUAUAAAUAGGAUUGAUCAAGGCCUUUUAGGACAUUUGAUUAGGUAUGGCUUCAGAUGCUUUCUCUUAGUAAAAUUUGAUUUUACAUCUUUCGAUUUAGUUCCAUUCUAAUCUAUUUCUAUUUGCUCAAUUUUUUCUUUUAUAUUCUAUUCUAUUUAAUUCAAUUCACUUUUAUACUAGUCUAUUUUAUCCUAUUUUAUAAUGAAGCUUUAUAUUAUUGUAGAUUAGAAGGAUCUUGGAUUUUUGAAAUAGUCUAGUUCUGUUUCAUUAGUAUGAGAGCAAGUAUUAUACUAUAUACUUUUGAUAGCAUGUUAAUAGUCAUCAUUUAGUCCAAGGUCAAUUAUUGUAGUUACAUUAGGUACUGUGUUGAGGCUACCAUGAGCUAUUCUUAAAAAGUCAAUCGAGAAGUGAAAAAACAUUAUGAUAGUGGAGUCCAAUGGAAAAAUUACAAUAUGAGAGAUAUGAUAGAGCAAUUCGAGAUGGAGGCUCAAAUACAAUACCUCUUAAGCUACAUAGCUACUUUGCAAGGACAAAUAGAAGCCUCAAGGAUAAGAGAGUAAACAUCUACUAGAUUGAAAUUGAGUAAGCCUAGUACAUAUUAUGAAAUCUCAAGAUAAGAAGAUAUAUGUCAAUGGCUCUUCAACAUGUAACAAUACAUUCAACUAUUAGGAACUAAAAGACUUUUAUAUGCAGCUAACUAUUUAAAAAAUGCAAUAGCCAUUUGGUGGCAACAUCGAGUUCAAAGUUAUGAAGCUCAAGGUAGAUUUUGUGAUUGGAGGAGUUUGAGACUGUUUUUAAGAAUCAAUUUUGAUCCAUCAAUAUAGAGAAGAUAGCACGCAAUCAGUUAAAAAAUCUUAUACAAGCUAGGUCAGUGCAAGUUUAUGUUUUCCAAUUUAAUUCCCUAUAUCUCCAAAUUAGCAAUAUUUUAGAGGUAGAGAUGAUGGAUCGAUUCCUACAAGGUUUGAAACCUAGAGUCCAAUAAGAGAUAGAGCUAAGGAAUCCACAAACAUUUAAAAAGGUAAUUUGGAUUGCAGAAAAGGUUGAUGCUAUAGAUUUCAGAUAUCGUAGAACAUGUGUCACGGACAUACUCAUGUAAGCUAGUAAUUACAUAUACAAAUAGGUGGAAGUAAGUAAAAGUAUGUAAAAAUAAGUUAAUUCUAUAGUAUUUAAUAUGGAAGCUUCUUAGAAGCUUCAUAGAUGCUGCUUUGACUUCAUAGGUGUCUUUAAUUGACUUUUUGAAUUAGAAACAUGGUCAACAAGUUGGCCAUGUGCCACACAUGUUAUUAGCUUGAAGAUCAAGCUAACUAUAUGGCCCACAUGUAGAAAAACUUGCCUUGUAAGUCAAAGCAUGUAUCCUACAAAGUCAACACAUAUUAGAGGUCCUAUAGAACGUCGCCACAUAGCCCCUAGUUAGAUAGUAUAUAUAGAGACAAGAGUGAAGCCUUCUUCACUCUUGUUAACUUCUUUCUUGCUUCCAGUCUAGUUUCAAGGAUCUCCGGUUUUUUUCAAUAGCCAUUCCAGUUUCUCUUUCAAUAUAUAUACUUGUUUAUUUAUAUUUUUUUACCUUUCUUUGAGUGAAGGCUCACUUGUCUGAAUUGCUUUUUCAUCGAGUUCUUGUCCUUGACAGAUUGACAAGAGUACACCUAUAAUAUCAAAGUUUUAUCUAAUCUUGAUUAAGAAUGGAUUAUCCCUUUUUCUUGAUAAGAUAUAAGCAUAUUAGAAGUUACGGAUUACCCUCUUCUAAACUGAUAUUGUCUUUAGUAUUUUCUUUGUUCUGAAGUCCUCUCUUCUAUUUGUCUUGAGUGAUAUUAGACAUCUUCUCUUUUUUAAGUGUUAUCAUGGUAGAACUUAUUGAAAUGAAGAAUACAAUGGCACAGAUGCAAGCGCAAUUGAGGGAGUUAAUACUUGCGAUGCAUCAACUCAAUUUACCACCACAAGAAACAACAAGAUUGGCAAGAAGUAAAGAUAUAAAAAUUGUUGGAGCUACUUCAACAUCUGUACCAAACCAUGUCUUUUUUCUUAUGAUGGAACGCCCUUCUAGUGUUAGAGAACCAAGAAUUACUCUACCUGAGAAGUUUGAUGGCACCAGAUUUAAGUUUCGAGGAUUUAUCAAUCAAGUGUAACUUGUGAUUGAACUUCAAUCCCAAAGCUAUCCAACUCUAGGAUCGCAAAUUAGAUUCAUUGGUACGUUUAUUUCAGGUUCAGCACUAUCGUGGUUUUCAUCUUUUCUUGAAUGACGAGAUCCAAUAUUGGAUAAUCUAGAGGCUUUUUUGGUAGAAUUUUGAUCCAUGUAUGGAGAACAUGAUGUAAUUCGUGUUGCAACUAAUAAGAUCCAUAUUUUAAGACAAGGCAAUCGAUUAGUAACGUUGUAUGCUUCACAAUUUUGACAACUUGCAACUGAUAUCAAGUGGGAUGAUGCUACACUUAUUAGCCAAUUUUUCUAUGGAUUACAAUAUGAGGUAAAAAAAUUAAUGCUCAACUUACCUGAUCCUCAAACAUUGAGUCAAGCAAUUGACUUUGCUAUGAAGUGUGACAAUCGCCUUUUUGAAUUUUGAUCUGAGAAUCGUAUAAGUGGACCUCAACAUUACUAUAAUUAAAUGGCAACACCAACACCUCUUCAACACAUACAUUCGGAAGUAGAGGAUAUGCAAAUUGAUGUAGUACGUUUCAAACCUCUUAUUGAGCAAAAAAAGACUCGUCGUCGUUAAGAAGGAUUAUGUUUAUAUUGUAGAGAACCAAAGCACACUGCUCAACAUUGUUCAAAAAAAUGACGCAAUCACAAAAUGAGGAGUAUGGCUAUGAAAGAUGACAAUAUGUGAGAAAACGAGUUUGUCCAGCUACAAUAGGGACCGUGCGGUUAGAACCUUCCAUAACAUCUAGUAAAGGUCAUAUUCUCUCUUCAAAGCCCUCUCUUUAUUUAAUAUUAAAUAUUAUUUUAGGACCUAAAUAUUACAAAGCCUCUGCCUUGUUAGAUUCAGGAGCCUCAGCAUGUUUCUUAGAUGAAGAAUUUACUAAAAGACAUAGCAUAUCUUUAUUAAAGAAAACUAAACAUGUUCAUGUAGAAGUCAUAGAUGGUCGUCCAUUGUCUUCUGGAGAUAUUAUUUACAAAAUCCUUCCUAUAGAAGUAAUAAUCAAUAGUCAUAAUAGCUUUGUAGUAUUUAAUAUUAUUAGAUCUCCCUCUAAUCCAGUCAUUUUAGGUUUAUCGUGAUUAAAAAAAUACAACCCUCAAAUAAAUUGAAUUUCUUGAACUCUUACUUUCUCUAAAAGUAUAACUAACAGUGUAGUUAAUCAAGUAGAGAGUCAUAAGUCUAGUUCAAUUAAACCUGUAUUUAUAGGUGCAAAAGCUUUCUUGUAUGCUGCUAUGAAAGAAUCACCAUGUAUUAUUUAUGCCACACCUGUUUCUACUGGUGAAAAGACUUCAAGUAGCAUUCCAAGACAAUAUCAAGAAUUUCAAGAUGUAUUCAAAAAAAAAAAUGCAGAUACACUCUCGGAACAUCGUCCAUAUGAUUGCUCAAUUAACCAUCAAGAAGGAGUUCAACUACCAUUCAGACCAAUCUAUAAUUUAUCACAAAAUGAGUUGACUGAACUCAAGGAGUACAUUGAAGAAAAUCUAGCCAAGAAUUUCAUACGCCAUUCCAAAUCUUCAGUAGGAGCUCCAAUUCUAUUUAUGAAGAAAAAGAAUGGAUCAUUGCGGAUGUGUAUUGAUUAUCGAGGACUUAACAAGAUUACCAUCAAGAACAGGUAUCCACUACCUUUAAUAUCUGGACUUCUUGAUCAGCUGAAUUAAGCUAAGAUCUAUACAAAAAUAGAUCUCUGGGGAUCAUACUAUCUAGUACGCAUCAAAGAAGGAUAUGAAUGGAAGACUACGUUUCAAACCAAGUAUGGAUAUUUUGAAUACAACGUCAUGCCUUUUGGACUUACAAAUGCACCAACAGCUUUUCAACAUCUAAUGAAUGAUGUUUUUCAAGAGUUUUUGGACGAUUUUGUGGUCUGCUAUUUAGACGACAUCUUGAUCUAUUCUAAGAAUCCAGAGAACAUGAACUUCAUGUUCGUCGUGUGUUACAAAAAUUAAGAGAUGCAGGACUUUAUACCAAGAUAGAAAAGUGUGUAUUCCACACUACUCAAGUUGAUUUCUUAGGUUAUAUCAUUUCAAAUGAUGGACUUAUGAUGGACCCUAAGAAAGUUCAAACUAUUAUAGAUUGAAAGAUCUCAAAAACGGUAAGAGAUGUCCAAUGUUUUUUGGGAUUUGCCAACUACUAUCGAAUCUUCAUCAAGGACUUCUCUCGAGUUGCAGUUCCACUUACACUUUUGACUUGUAAAGACAAACUCCAAUGGAAUCAAGAAGCGAAAGUUGCUUUUGAAUCUUUGAAGACAGCGUUUGUUUCUGCACCAAUCUUGUAUCGUGUUGAUUUUUUCAAAGCAUUCUUUAUGGAAAUAGAUGCAUCAGACUUUGCUCUGGGUGCCGUUUUAUCAGAAAUGAGAACAGAUGAGAAACUUCAUCCAGUAGCCUUUCAUUCAAGAAAAUUCUCAACAGCAAAAAUCAAUUAUGAGAUCUACAAUAAAGAACUUCUUGCAAUCAUAGAUUCUUUUUAAGAAUGGCAUCAUUAUCUAGAAGGCGCUUCCAGUCCAGUCAUCUUAUAUACUGAUCACAAGAACCUCGAGUAUUUUAUGUCAGCACGUAUAUUAAAUUGUCAUCAAGCUCGUUGGAGCAUGUCUUUAUCAAGAUUUGAGUUCAUCAUCACUUAUCGGCCAGGAAAACAAUAAGGUUUGUCCGAUGUCUUGUCUAAAUAUUCUUAUCUUACACCAAAUUAAGGAAAUGCAACUUUUGAACAACAAAGAACGGUUCUCUUGAAGCCAGAGCAAUUUCAUCUUCGAGCAAUAAAAUCAAUAUUGACUGUUGAUUUGACUUUUCUCAAGCAAGUUCAAUUAAGUAUGUCUUCAGAUCUUCUUGUUCAUGAUACCAAGUUUAAUUCUUUUAAAUUUCAUGAUCCCUCUAAAUUUGAAUUCAAAAAUAACCUAUUCUAUUUCAAAGAACGCUUAUAUGUUCUAGAAGGAGAAGUACGUUUACGUAUUCUUCAAGCUCGUCACGACUUCCCAAUAGCAGGAUAUUUUGGAUAUAAUAAGACUUUGGAGCUGAUAUCUAGGGAUUUUUAGUGGCCUCAAAUGUGGAAGGCAGUCAAAGAUUUUGUACAAUCAUGUGAUGUUUGCUCAAGAUCAAAAACUCCUCGUCAUCGACCUUUUGGACUUCUUCACCCUUAUCCAUUUUAGAACAACCAUGGUCUUUUGUUUCUAUGGACUUCAUCACGGAUCUUCCAAUCUCAGGUUCUUAUGACUCUAUAUUUGUGAUAGUAGAUCAUUUUACUAAGAUGGCACAUUUUUUACCAUGUACAAAAUCUAUCACAGGUGAAGAAACAACUAAGCUCUUUCUUGACAAUAUCUAUCGCUAUCAUGGAAUAUUCAAGGAUAUUAUAUUAGAUAGGAAAAUUCAAUUUAUAUCAAGAUUUUGGCGGACUCUUUUCAAGAUUCUAAAAGUGGAUAAAAAACUAUCUUCAACAUUCCAUCCUCAAACUGAUGGACAAACAGAGGAUGUUAAUCAAGUUUUGGAGCAAUAUUUAAGAUGUACCAUUAACUACCAACAAGAUGAUUGGACAACUCUUUUGCCAUUGGCAGAGUUUGCUUAUAAUAACAUGGUACAUUCUUCUAUAAAACAAACACCUUUCUUUGCUAAUUAUGGUUAUCAUCCAUCACUUGAUACUUUUGAUUUUUUAAAAGUUGAUAAUCCUGCUCUAAAAGAUUUAGUGAUUCAUUUAUCAGAGCUACAUGCAACGAUGAAGGCAUAGUUAAAAGAGGCUCAAGAAUAACAAAAGAUCAAUGCGGAUGUCUAUCGAAAGGAACAACGACCAUUCUUCUUGGGUGAUAAGGUAUGGCUACUUUUUCGCAAUAUCAAGACCACUCGUCCUUGUGACAAGUUGGACUAUCGAAGGCUAGGACCAUUUUUUAUUUCUAUACAAAUCAAUCCAGUUGCAUAUCGUUUACAUCUACCGGAGUCAAUAAAAAUCCAUCCAGUAUUCCACGUGUCUUUUCUUGAACCAUACAAGACAGUAGACAUACCAAGAAGAUGACAAGCUCCACCUCCUCCUAUAGAAGUGGACAAUAAUGAAGAGUUUGAAGUAGAAGAAGUCUUAGAUUCAAGGCGACGCUGAAAUAAAUUGGAAUAUCUUGUCUAUUGGCACGAAUAUGAUAUUAGCGAAUGCAUAUGGAAGCCAAUAAAGAAUCUUACAAAUACAGCAAAGGCGGUGGAGGCUUUUCAUCGAUGACAUCCAUCAAAAUCAAGAUGAAAAUCUUCUUUAUAAAAGAAACAACAUCUAGGCAAGAUAACAUUCUACUUUCAAUCAUUGUUUGUAGCUUCUUUGUAGUUGUGAUGCUCAGGAGAUGGAGAACCAACAACUAGGGAAUUCGACUCAAGAGCCUUCAUUUGUUGACCUGUCAGAUGAGACAUUACGAUUGUCACAACCUUCAAGACAAUGCAAUUGAGAUGAAGAUCUUCAAGAAUGACAUGUUCUUCUUCGAAUAGAUGGCGAGAUACAAUGCGUUUGGUAUCACGAUUUGAGAAGGGACUCCUGAUGUUUGGUGAUUUUACUAGAGGUAGGAACAACUCCUGAUGGUGUUUCAAAUGUUCUAUUCAAAGGAAGUUUUUAAGGCCUCAACAAUGAUCAAAUAACUGGGUGGUCUUCCCGCCUUGAUAUGGGACACUACCGAUUGUUGAGAGGCCCUAUCAAUCAUCUUCGAAGAGAUUCAAGAUCAGAGUAUGUAGUAAAUACAAUUCAUCGCAUCAUAGAUUUUCUCAACAUAUGAUGACCACUCCUCAUGGAACUUGUCCCUAGAAGGGAGGGUAAUGUCAUGGACAUACUCAUGUAAGCUAGUAAUUACAUAUACAAAUAGGUGGAAGUAAGUAAAAGUAGGUAAAAGUAAGUUAAUUCUAUAGUAUUUAAUAUGGAAGCUUCUUAGAAGCUUCAUAGACACUGCUUUGACUUCAUAGGUGUCUUUAAUUGACUUUUUGAAUUAGAAACAUGGUCAACAAGUUGGCCAUGUGCCACACAUGUUAUUAGCUUGAAGAUCAAGCUAAUUAUGUGGCCCACACGCAGAAAAACUUGCCUUGUAAGUCAAGGCAUGUGUCCUACAAAGUCAACACAUAUUAGAGGUCUUAUAGAAUGUCGCCAGAUAGCCCCUAGUUAGAUAGUAUAUAUAGAGACAAGAGUGAAGCCCUCUUCAUUCUUGUCAACUUCUUUCUUGCUUCCAUCUAGUUUCAAGGAUCUCUAGUUUUUUUCAAUAGCCAUUCCAGUUUCUCUUUCAAUAUACAUACUUAUUUAUUUAUAUUUUGUUACCUUUCUUUGAGUGAAGGCUCACUUGUCUGAAUUGCUUUUUCAUCGAGUUCUUGUCCUUGAAAACAUGACCUAUAGUACAAAGUACUAAGCCACUAUCUAAUAUUACAGUACAAUAACCAACGUCAAUAGAGAUUGAUACCUUAUAAGGAUCAUUGAUACCACAAAGAUGACAAAUAUUGGUGUAAAAAAGAUUAUAUUUUUAUUUUAUUGAAAGAUGAUAAUAUGGAUCUUAUUAUAGAAGAGCCAAGUUAAAAGGUAAAGUAAAAAAAUAUAGAUAAAAGAUAGAAAGGUAAUAAAACUUUUCAUAGUAGUACUGCCUUUUUACAAAAGUGACUUUUAUUUACUUUAUAGGGCCAUAAAUAAUAUAUAAUAAUAUAGAUUGGAAAAAUAAAUGAUAUAAAUAUCUUUAAAAAGAAGUUAAAAGUAAAUUCUAGCCAAAAUUACCUAUAAAAACUAGAUAUUGAUACUCGAGGAGGGCCGGCUACAACCUAGGUCGAAAUCAGACCCUAAGGCACAAAAUCAAGCACCUAUGGCAACUUGGGGGUUCUUUUACAAGUCAAAGAGUGGGAUUUGAUAGCAAACUAGAUAAGAUUUCUAUGAGCAUUGGUUUUGAGAAAUUUGAAGUUUUUAUGACUUUGUAAGAGCUUUAUAAAGUCAAGAUUGUUUUCAGAUGACUUAGAUUUUGUAAAAUAAAACAGGGUUGAUAUUUCUAGUGAUUUCAAGAAUUUUUUAAUAAAUCUAUGGGUGAAAUUUUUUGCAUUAAUGGUCAUAGUUGUGCUUAAUAUGUAUUGUGAAUCUUAGCUCAAUCUAAUAGUUGAAUUGAAGGUUAUUCAGGUUUAAGUGGGUCAAGGUCUCAAAAAGUAGAAUUUUAGGUCUAGUGAGGAUUUUUAAGAUUUCUUACAAUCUACUAGUUGAAUUAGAGUUAAAUUUAUAGAUGAAGAUAGUAGACUUAUUUUUCUAUAUAUAUAAAAAGUUUGAAAUCAAUCAAAUGGUAAAAAAGAGAGAUAUUGGACCUGGGAGAAUGACAAUAAGGUUGGAGAAGGAGGCCAACCAAUAUCCAAGCACGUUUUUGAAGUUAUCGUCUAUUUGAUAAUUCAAAUCCUUUUCAAAUUUUCUGUGCUUGUUUUCAACUUAGUUUUUAAGAAGUGUACAAAAUUUGAGUUAAGAUCAAUGGUUCAUUCAUUAGUUAUUGAGAUUUAAAUCUAUUAUAGAAAUUACUAGGAUUUGAUUAAGAUUUGAUUUAGGAUUAGGAUAUGGUUAGGAUUUGAUUUAGGAUUUGGUUAGGAUUUGAUUUAGGAUUAAGGUUUAAUUUAGGGUUUAGGAUUUUAUUAGGAUUUGAUUUAGGUUUAGAAUUUGAUUUAGAAUUUAAGAGUUGGUUUAGGAUUGGUUAAGAUUUGAUUUAGGAUUAAGAUUUGAUUUAGGAUUUAAGAUUUAGUUAGGAUUUGAUUUAGGGUUAGAAUUUGGUUAGGAUUUGGUUUAAGAUUUAGGAUUUAGUUUAAGAUUGGUUACGAUUUGAUUUAGGAUUUAGGAUUUGGUUAGGAUUUGAUUUAGGAUUUAGGGUUUUAUUUGAGUUUGUUUAGGAUUUAAGAUUUAGUUAGUUUUUGGCCUAAAGUUUGAAUGAAGUCCAAUAGGAUUUUAAUUGAGAUUAAAUUAAGAUUGAAUUGAAAUGUAUUUGAAAUAUAUUUGUGAUCAUUUUAAUAUUUCUUUAAGAUUUCUUAUUGUUUCUUUGUAAUUCUUUUGAGGUUUCUUUAAAUUUGAUUAAAGCUUGCUUAGUAUUGUUAUGGUCUAAUUAGAGUUUAGUUAAUAUUCUAUUAGAGUUAGGAUUUUUUUGUUGUAAUUUCCAUUCUACCUUCCACAGCCAGAUGCCCGGAGCAUUUUCAACUUUGAGAUAUAACCAUCUUUAGUACAUAGGAUCUUUGGAACGGCUAUUGGCAAACAUAUAUUACAAAAGAAGAUGUAGAAAAGAUGGCAUUUUGUAUGCACUAUGGAUAUUUUGAAUAGUUGGUUUUAUCCUUUGAUCCCAUUAAUGUUCUAGCCUCUUUUAUAGAUCAGAUAUAUAGAUUGUUUCAAGACCUUUUAAACAAGUAUAUAAUCAUCUUUAUUGAUGAUAUCUUUAUAUAUAAUAAAAUCCCUGAAAACAUGAGUAGUACCUACAAGAAGUUGUACAUUGAUUGUUAGAUAGUAGCUUCUAUUGCAAAUAAUCAAAAUAUAAACUUUUGAAUCAAAAGUUACUUUUUUGGAGCAUGUAGUAUCCUUUGAAGAUGAAUGUAUGGAGUAAGGUGAAAGCAGUAGAGGAUUGGCCAACCUCCAAAGAUGCUUUUGAAGUUUGCUUGUUUUUAGGUCUUAUUGGAUACUAUUGCCAUUUUAUAUGUCGAUUUGCUCACAUUGCUACCUCAUUGACAAAUCUAUUUGAAUAGAAACUAGAGCAAGAAAACGACUUUGAUAAGUUGAAGGAGACACUCAUUAGUCUUCUAAUAUUGUAAUUGUAUGAUCCUAACCUUCUUUGUAUACUUGACAUUAAUACUUCUAACUUUGCUAUUAGAGCAAUCCUUCAAUAAGACUUUAGUAGGAAUCUUCAACCUAUGGCAUAUGAAUCAUAUAAGUUCACAAGGAUAGAGCAUAAUUAUACUAUACAUAAUCGAGAGCAAUUAGCAAUUGUACACGCUGUCGUAUGGCGUGAUUUUCUAUCUAGGAAUACACCGGGUAUCUAGCUGUAGAGAGUUUAGGUUUCUUUUUUAUAUAAUGCCUUAGCUCCCAAAAACAAACUCCUUUCUUUGUAUAAAAAUUCAAAAUAUCUUAAAAUUCUUCAAAAUAUAUUUCUUCCCGAAAAGGACCUUUUUACAUCAGACUUUGAAAAUUCAUAAAAGCUAAUCGAACCGUUCACUUUGUUUCAAAUUUCUACAUAAGCUAGAUGCUAUACUUAACUAUUACCACAAAAAAAUUGAACCGUACAUCUAUCACCGAUCGUUCGGCAUCUAAGAAACCCUAGCAGGUGCACAAAACCCUAACGUACAAGCACCUGAAAACUAUUUUCCUUAUAUCUCUUAAACCCAAGCUCCAAAUCACACAAAACUUGUAUAGAAAGCUUUAUAACAAGAUUACACUCAAUCUUGAAAAUUUUGAGCUAAAACCUCAUCAAAUUGUCUAAGAUAUAGCUCAAAUCACAAGCACAAGUAAUUCGGGCUACUUACUACCCUUAGAUAUCAAGCGCUGACUUCAACUGCCAAUAUCUCCUUGAUAAAAGAUUGGAAUUCGAUAAACAGUAUGCACAAACUGUAGCCGAAAAAGUGCUCUCUUCAAAUCCGGUCGCCGAUCCUCGUUUGCUGUCCGUACGCGUGCGAUUUGCUCAAAAGAGUGACAGUACGUCGAAAACUUACACCUUAACUUUGAGCGCCUAUAACUUCUUCAUAUAAACCCCAAAUGACACAAAUUUUGCACCAAAACCAUAUCCAAAAACCUAAACCUUCUGACCCUAGCCUCAAAAACUCGAAUGGCCUCGAGAAACUAACCCUAAUCCCUAAUAUGGCCUCGGGCAGCCUCCUCAAAGCCCAUUGGUCAUGAUUUUUGACCAAUAGGAAUGGAGAUUUUUAUUUUUCAUCUCCAUUCAUCCAUAUUGGUGCCCUAAUUAAUCCUUUUGCUACCAAAACCCCCUUCUUCAUCCCUUUUCUUAUAAGAUUUUUACAAUGAGUCUUUUUGACACCAAAUAAAAAAUCCAAAAGAAGUUUUCAAAGGUCACCAAUGUCUAACAAAGGUGAUUCUAAUUAUUUAGAAGUCACUAUGAACUAAACCAAUCUUAAAAGCCACUAUGAAAAAGAAAUCAAAGUUAUAAAAAUUCUAUAGUAACCUUUUUAAACAACCUCUUCUCAAAGUAAUAAUCAAAUUAUAUCCUACAACCAACUAAAAUCUACUAACAUGGCUCUUACCAUGUUACUUAAUAAAUUAUAUAUUAAGUACAUAAUUACAUUAUUUUCAUAUAGUAGCCGAACCACAACACGACAACGCCACAAAGAUGUGGCAAUACUAUCUAUUAGAGAAGCCAAUGGUUGUUCAGACUAACCAUCAAUCUUUGCUAUAUGAUUUAUAUUUGAAAAAUAUGAAAUUAAGGCAUCAUUGUUGAAAAGGAUAGUUGUAUCUUUUUGAUAUCCAACUUGAGUACAAAUAAUGGCGAUAACAUACUCUGCUAGAUAAAUUAUUACAGAGAUAAGAUUUGAAAGAUGAAUCAAAAGAUAAGAUAAAAGUUGCUACUAUUAAUAGUAUUAUUUUAGAUCUAAUCAAAGAGGUAGAAUAAAAGAAAGCUAUACAUUGAGAUGCUAAUUUUAAGAUAGUUAGCAAUCGAAAAAAGGUGGAUAACAUACAAUAUUAGGAUUACAUUCUUAGUAAUGGUUUGCUCUAUUUCAAGAAGCAGAUUUAUGUAUCCAAAAAUACUAAACUCUAAACACGCAUACUUCAAGAAGGACAUGAUAUCUUAAUAUCUAGACAUCUAGGAUGAGAGAAGACUUUAGAAUAGAUCUCAAGGACAUGAUUUUGGACAAAUUUGGAUCAUGAUGUUUGAGCCUUUGUAUGCUCUUACGAAUCAUGUUAAUAUAACAAAGUACUCAAUGUAGCAUCUUUUGGACUAUUGCAACUAAUUCUACUACUUAUAGCAUGUUGGGAGUAAGUGACUAUAGAUCUUAUUAUGUAUUUAUCAUAGACACCUUAUAAUCAUACCACAAUUUCUAUCUUUGUAGAUCGACUCUCAAAACAAUUUCACUUAGCCACAAUAUACUUAGAUAUUGAUGCCUCAAUAUUUGCACAAGUCUUCUUUGAUACCGUCUUUUGUCACCAUGGAUUAUCUUAUAUCAUCAUUUUAAAUCAAGAUCCAUACUUUAUACAAAGUUUUUGGUAAGCCUUAUUUAAGCUAUUAGGCACAUGAUUUGUUAUAUCUACAGCCUUCUAUCUCCAAAUAGAUGGGCAAACAAAGUGUGCAAAUCAAACCUUAGAAGAUAUGCUGCGGACAUUUGUAGUGGUUCAUCAUAAUGAUUGAGAUGAAUACUUGAUGCCCUUGGAGUUUACUUAUAAUGAUAGUAUUCAAGUAAGUACUAGUCAUUCACCACUUUUCGUUGAUAUUAGUCAAUAUUCAAUUACAGCAACAACUUUCUACUAUUCUAUUAACACUAACAACUUGAUAAUGGAGGAAUUUAUACAACGGCAUUUAAUGGCCUUAUAAGAGGCACAACACCACCUCUGUACUACAUAAAAUUGACAAAAGUAAUAUGCAGAUAACCAUCGAUUGCACAAGAUCUUCUAAGAAGUUGAUCAGGUAUUACUCUUCAAUUCCAACUUACCACUUGCUACAUGAAUUCAAAUUCAUAAAUGAGCACAUUAGUAGCUUGGACUUUUUUACAUUUCUACAGUGAUUUAUAAUGUUACAUACCACCUCAAGCUUUUAUCACAUAUUUGAAUCUAUCUAAUCUUCCAUAUUUUGCAACUGAAGGAAUUUUAUACCAAGCCAAAUCACUUUCCAGAUCAACACCAACUACCACCACCACCACCAAUUGUAAUUGAUGACCAAUAAGACUAUAAAGUGGACAAUAUUUUGGAGCAUCGCUACCUUCAUCGUGGCACUGGAUAUCUACAACUUCAAUACAAAGUUCUUUGGAAAAGUUAUUCUAUUUAUGAUGCAAUGUGGGAACUUGCACAACACCUCAUCCAGUGCCAAGAAAUAAUUCGGAGAUGUCAUUGGGAGCAAAACAAGGACGUUCCAUAUUAAUGAAAGGAGAUUACUUGUAAUAGGAUAUAGAUAAGAUAAUUAUAUAGAUAAUUAGAACCAUGGAAGUUUCAAGAAUUGGAAUUAGAUUAGUAGAUGAAGUAGGAUCUAUUGUGGAACAUUCUAGAAAGAAUUAAAGCAAUCAUUUAGGUAGAGCCUACCAUAGAACCUUUUAAAAAAAAAUUAAGGUGAUUAUUUAGGUAAGGCCUAUUACUUAGGGACAUUCUAAUAAGUUCAAGGUGAUAUGAUAAAGUAUAAAUAAGAGUAGCCAAGGCCUAUUGGAACAUCUAAUUAGAUAUAGCUUUAGAUCCUCUCUCUUGAUAAAAUUUGAUUUUAUAUCUUUCGGUUCAGUUCUAUUCUAUUCCAUUUUUAUUUUCUUAGUUUUGUCUUUCAUAUCCUAUUUUGUUUAAUUCUAUUGAAUUUUUUUCUAGUCUAUUUUGUCUUAUUUUGUGAUAAAGCAUUAUAUUGUUAUAGAUUAGAAAGAUUUUGGAUUUUUGAGAGAAUUUGGUGUUGUUUCAAGAACUCUAGAAAGUCUUAAAAGAAGGCUAAGGACUAGAAAGGGAUUGAUAAGAUUAAAGAAGGCUUUACUCUUCUUUUUAUAUAUACUCUUAACUCAGAACUAUGUGGCGAUAUUCUAUAGGACCUCCAAAACAUGUUAACUUUGCAAGAUACAUAUUUUAACUUACAAGAUAAGUUUUUUAUAUUAGUGCCAUAUAAUUAACUUAUUAUAAAAGUUACUAAUAUUUGAUUAACUUGAUGAUCAAGUUUCUAAUCAACCAAUCAACUAUAAAUACAUGUAAAGUCAAAGUAAUGUCUAUAAGGCUUUUAAGAAGUUUUUUUAGAAGAUAUUAUGAAAUUAAUCUACUUUUAUUUAUUUUUAUCUAUUUUCAUCUUAUCAUAUAAAUAUUUAUUAGAGUAUAUAUAUAUAUAUAUAUAUAUCCGUGAUAUUACCUCCCAUUCAAGAGACAAAUUCUAUGAAGAAUGAUCUUUAUAUGUUGAAGAAAUCUAAGAUGUGACAAAUUAUACUUGUCACAUAUUUUGUUGUUUAUUCUCUUUGAAGAUGAUUGAUAGGUCCUCUUAGCCAUUAAUCCUAUCCCAUAUCAGAAUAAGAAGACCAUCCUAUUAUUUGAUCAUUGUUGAGACCUUCGUGACUUCUUUCAAAUAAAAUAUUUGAAACAUCAUUAGGAUUUGUUCCUACAUCUAAUAAAAUCACCAAAUAUUAAUAGUCUCUUCUAAGAUCAUGAUACCAAAUACAUUAUAUCUUUCUAUCUAUUUAAGGAAGUAUGUGUUAUUCUUAAGGAUCUUCAUCUUAAUUUUAUUGUCUUAAAGGUUGUGACAAUUGCAAUGUCUUGUCUGAUAAGUCUGCAAAUAAAAGCUCUGGAGUUGAAUCUUAUGGUUUUUGGUUCUCCAUUUUUAUAGCAUCACAAAUAUAUAGAAGCUACAAUGAAGGAUAGAGGGUAGAAUUUUGUCUUCUCUUGAUCUUGUUUCUUUUAUAGAAAAUAUUUGUUAUUCUUCAUCUUGGUUUUGAUGGAUGUCUUCAAUAAAAAGCUUCAACUCUCUUUGCUACAUUUGUAAGAUUCUUUGUUGGCUCCCAUAUACAUUUACUAAUAUCAUAUCCACACCAAUGAAUAAGAUAUUUUAACCUAUUUUGGUGCCGUCUUGAAUCUAAGACUUUUUCUACUUUGAAUUCUUGAUUAUUAUCUACUUCUAUAGGAAGAAGUGGCAUUUAUCCUCUUUCUUAGAUAUUCACUAUCUUAUAUAGCUUAAAAAAGGACAUGUAAAAUAUGAGAUGGAUCUUCAUAGACUCCGGUAGAUAUAAUCAAUAAGCAAUAGGAUUAACUUGUCUACUAAUAGGAAAAGAUCCAAGCUUACAAUAGUCCAACUUAUUAUAAAGACAAAUAGUCUUGAUAUUACAACAAAGUAAUUAUAUCUUCCCACUUAUGUUGAAUUAUGGUUGUUACUUGUAAUAGGCAUCCACAUUGGUCUUUUGUCAUUCUUGAGCUUCUUUUAAUUGUGUCUUUAUUGUUACAUGUAGCUCUGACAAAUGAUUUGCCAAAUCUUUCGUCACAUGAUUAUCAAAUUUUAAAAAGUCAAAAGUAUCAAGUUAUGGAUGAUAACCAUAAUUGGCAAAGUAAGGUGUUUAUUGAGUGGAAGAAUGUAUUGAAUUAUUAUAUAUAAACUCUACUAAUGAUAAAAGAGUUAUCCAAUCAUCUUGAUGAUAGUUGAUGGUAUACCUCAAAUACUAUUCCAAAACUUGAUUUAUACAUUCCAUUUGUCUAUUAGUUUGAAGAUGAAAAGUCAAAGAAAAAUUUAUAUCCACCUUUAAUAUCUUGAAGAGGGUUUUCCAAAAUCUUGAUAUAAAUUGAGUCUCCUUAUCUUAUAUAAUAUCUUUAAGCAAUCCGUGAUAGCAAUAGAUAUUAUCAAGAAAAAAACUUAGCUAUUUCUUUACUUGUUAUAGAUUUUGUAUAUAAUAUAAAAUGUACCAUCUUGGUAAAAUAAUCUACUACCAUAAAUAUAAAAUCAUACAAAUCUAAAAUUGAAAGAUCUGUGAUAAAAUCCAUAGAAACAAAAGACCAUAGUUGUUUUGGAAUAAAUAAUGGUUGAAGAGGUCCUUAAGAUCGAUAGUGAGGAGUUUUGGAUCUUGAACAAAUAUCACAUGAUUGUAAAAAACUUUGAUUGCCUUUUACAUUUAAAGCCACAAAAAAUCUUUCAAUAUUAGCUCUAAAGUCUUAUUGUAUUCAAAAUAUUUGAUUAUUAGAAAGUCAUAAUGAGUUUAAAGAACAAAUAAUCAUACUCCACCUUUUAGAAUGUAUAAUUAUUCCUCAAAGUAGAGUAGGUUUUUUUUGAACUUAAACUUGGAAGUAUCAUAAAACUUAGAAGAAUAAUUCUUGACAUCAUGGAUAAGAGGAUCAUGAGACAUACUUGAUUGAAUUUGCUUAGCAAACAUUAAAUCAACAAUCAAUAUUGAUUUUGUUGCUCAAAGAUGAUAAUAUUCUAGCUUCAAGAGAAUCAUUCUUUGUUAAUCAAAAGAUACAUCUCCUUCUUUUGGUACAAGAUAAGAAUAUGUAAAAAAGAUGUCUAACAAACCUUGUUAUUUUUUAGGUCGAUAAGUGAUCUUGAAAUCAAAUCUUGAUAAGAAAAUACUCCAACAAGCUUGGCGGCAAUUUAAAAUACAUGCUGACAUGAAAUAUUCAAGUUUCUUGUGAUCUAUAUAGACUAUGAUUAGAUUUAAGGCACCUUCUAAAUAAUAACACCAUUCUUCAAAUGAAUCCAUGAUUACAAGGAACUCUUUGUCAUAGAUCUCAUAAUUAAUCUUGGUUGUUGAAAUUUUUUUGGAAUAAAAAGCUACUAGAUGGAGUUUGUCAUCUAUUGCCAUUUUUGAUGAUAUUGCAUUCAAGGCAAAGUCUAAUGCAUCUGUUUCUAUAAAAAAUGCCUUGAAGAAGUUAAAACAAUAUAAAAUUGGUACAAAAGUAAAUUCUUUUUUUAAAGCAUCAAACAAUACUUUAGCUUCUUUACUCGACUCAAGUUUGUCUUUACAAGUCAAACAUGUAAAUAGAGCUAUAACUUGAAUAAAAUUCUUAAUAAAGAUCCAAUAAUAAUUGGCAAGUCCAAAAAAUAUUACUUAUUUCUUAUUAUUCUUAGAAUCUUCCAAUCUAUGAUAGUUUGAACCUUCUUUGAAGCCAUCAUUAGCACUUCAUUGAAAAUGAUAUAUCCUAAGAAGUCAACUUGAGUAAUGUAGAAUAUAACUUUUCUAACUUUGCAUAUAAUCUUGCAUGUCUAAGUUUUUGUAGCACACAACAGACAUGAACUUUAUACUCUUCUAUGUUCUUAGAGUAGAUUAAGAAGUCAUCCAAAUAAUAGACAACAAAAUCAUCAAGAAACUCACAAAAGAUAUUAUUCAUUAGAUGUUGAAAACAGUUAGUAUAUUCGUGAAUCCAAAAGGCAUGACAUUAUAUUCAAAAUAUCCAUACCUAGUUCAAAACAUAAUUUUCUAUUCAUCUUUUUUUUUUAAUGAAUACCAGAUUAUAUGCUCAUUGUAGAUCUAUUUUCAUAUAGAUCUUUGUUUCAUUGAAUUUAUCAAAGGAUCUUGAAAUCAACAAUAGAAGAUACUUAUUUUUGAUGGUGACUUUUUUGAGUCCUUGAUAGUCUACACACAUUUGCAUAGUUUCAUUUUUUUUCUUCACAAAUAAGAUAGGAGCCCCAACUAGAGAUUUAAAAUAAUAUAUGAUAUUUUUUCUAAUUUUUUAUCAAUAUGCUCUUUGAAUGUAAUCAACUCAUUUUGUAUAUACUAUAGAUUGGUCUAAAUGGUAGUUGAGCUCUUUUGUAAAAAUCAAUGAAAUAAUCACAAAGAUAAUAUUUUAAAAGAAUAUUUAUGUUUUUUUUUUCAAAAAUAUCAUAAAAAUCUUGAUAUUGGCUAAAAAUACCACUUAAUAACUUUUUACCAUCAAAAAUAGAUGUAGCAUUGUAGAAUAGAUAUUAAUUUAUUUUUGAAAGAUAUUGAUAAAAUAUAUUAAUAGUCUAUAUAAUAGGAAAUUUAGGAGGACAGAUGAGUGAUUUAAUUAUUAAAUGUGGUUAAUUAUAGAAUCAUGAUUAGAAUCUAGAGAAUCAAGGGAAAGUAUAUAGGAGUUGUAGAAGUUAAUUAAGGUGCCAUCACUGUGAUAGUUAUGAAUCCGGGUAAGCUUGGUGCUACCUCUUUUUUUUUGUUUGUUAUUUUCUUUGAAUAAGAGGAUUGAGAGUUUCUGAAUAUUGUGAAGUGAAUUAUAGAAUGGAAAUGUAGUUGGUAUUAUUUGAGAAGAAAGAAGAUUGAAUGUUGAAAUUUGAUUGUAGUUCAGCAGAGAGAAUGAGUCUGUAUUUGUGUGAAACACCGUAAUGUGAAUGGCAGUUCUGUGUGAAGAAUUUUAGUAAUUAGAAUGAGGGUAAUUGUGUGCUGAAAGUUGUGAGGGUGCAGUAUUAUAGUUGGAGAUUAUGAGGGUGAAUAUAUUGGUGGAAAUAGCAGUUAUUGGUAUGACUGAAUUGCUAUAAGGAAGAGAUCGAUAAGGUGAAGGAGGAGAUUAUAGUUUCCUUGUGUAUUCAGAUAUUGGAAAUAGAGACGAUACAUUCAGGAGGUAAUUGAUUGUGUGACCCUAACGUGAAUGCUUAAGCAAUUAGUCAUUCCUCAUAUUCGAAUCAUCCUAUACGGGUUUAUUCCCAUUAGAUUAAUUUGGAAUAAGUAAAACGAGCAAUCACAUUUUGGCGCCGCUACCGGAGAGUGAUAAUAGCUUUGAGUGUCAGGAAUUAAUUACCAAACGUGUGAGAAAAUUGGCAAUGGAAGAUGAUUUUAGUAGUGUUUGAAGUAAGAUUAUGGUUAAUAAGAACGAGAGCAUUGCAUCGAGGAAAAUAAAUCAGUUGAGAGAAAGAUAGGGAAGAGCAUAAAGAAGGAACUUGCUUAGAGAGGAGCAAGAACGUAAUCAUAAAAGGAAGCAUCGACAAAAUUGGAUUAAACCAUGGUUGUAAGCUUGUCGGUACAUCCGAACAUAUCAAGAACUGGAAAAAUUAUUAAUUUUGCAGUCAUAUGUAUCAUUAGAAAAAAUGCCAAGAACACUCGCGGAAAAUUUUGUUAACAUUCCAAUGGAAAUCUUGAGGCCGUUAAUUGAAAGAGAAGGAGGCAUAGAAGAAUUUGGUACUCCAUUGGAUAUUUUUUCAAUAUGAAGUACCACUGAAAUGAGCAAUAGUGGCUCUUUAGAUUGGCACAAAUUGGUCGCCAAUAAAGAUAACUAUAUUGUAUUUCAAAAUCCGAUAUUUUCACUUACAAUUCAACCAAUAAAACUAUAUGCGGAAAAUAACAGUAAAUUGAGGAGCAUUGAGAGCUCGAAAAUUAGAAUAAGGAAAAGUAGAGAUUAUUUUAAAAUAGAGUUUAACGGAACAAGAAAUUCAAUGGCGUCAGGAGGAUCAGCCAUUCCAAUUACAGUACAAAUGAAUACAGUAGGCAAUCGUACGAUUAAUAUCGUGCUACUACCUACUUUUUAAGGUUUGCCAGGUAUGGAUCUAGAUCAAUAUUUGUCUCAAUUCUUGACGAUGUGUAUAGCCAAUAAUAGAAGAAUAGAAGACAUUUGGCUGAGAUAGCUGCCAGCGACAUUGAAAGACACAGCGUUUGAGUCACAUAACUGCCAACCUAUGGGACAAUUUAUCAAUUGGAAGACAUAGAAAAAUACAUUUUUAGCUCAUUUUUGACCAAUUGGUUUUGAAGAACAUCUUAGAGAAAAAUUAAUGAACAGCAGAAUGGUACCAGGGGAAGCGAUACAGUCAUAUUAUGGUUGUGUAGCAGAUAUAAUUCGAAAAUGUCGAAAUCGUUUGUGUUGUCCAUAUUAGUUAAUGGACUACACCCAUCAGAAUUGAAGAUGUUUGUAAAGGAGGUCCAAGUAGCCACCAUUGUAUAAUCUCUUGAGUAAGCAAAAGUAUGGGAGGAAUGUCACUAUGACCAGAACUUAACAGUUGGAGCCACGAUGAUUCCAUCUCAAGGAGGUUAUCAAAUGACAAAUUGGAAUGAAGCAUCGGAAAGUUAUUUGGAAAGGAAUGAUUAUGGUACAAUUCCACAGGGAAUAGUGGAUACCGUUCCAUUGCAAGCUGUACCACCAUCAUCAUCACAUCCAUAUGUGCCUUAUUCCGCAUAUCAAAAAUCAAUACCUAUAAAAGAAUUGCCAAAUGCAUUGGUAUCAAGGGAUCUCAAUGAAUCAUUGCUGUUAACAUUGAUGAAAAAAAUGGAUGAAUUGGUUGUGAAUGUGGCCAAGGAUAAAGAAAAAAGGCAUAAACCAACUAAUAUGCGUCCUAAUGUCUGGUGCAGCAAUUGUAAGGGACAAGGUCAUUUAGUAAUAGAAUGUCCUUCACCUCCACAAAUGACUGUACAAUAUACUUUUUGCGGGGGCAAGCAUAUUACCACCAAUUGUUGGAAUUUAUGAAAGCAACAACAAUUCAGUAACCAGAUAAUGACUCAACCAACUUCGUGGGAUGUCAAUCAAGUACAAAUAAAUAAUAGGUUUGGUUGGAAUGGAAAUCGAGUGAAUAAACAAAAUAGGAACUAUUUCAAUUUCUUAAACUUUGAAUUUCACCAAGAAGGUGUAUCCAAUACUCACGGAUUGGCGAUGAAUCAACCAGGAUACCAUCAAUAUCUACCCAUGACGAAGCCAAUGCCAGAGUCUACAAUAACAAUGGAUCAAUCAAGAUCAUUUACACAUCCAACAUGGAAUAGACCUAGUUGUUAUAUACCAAUAGAGAUACCUAAUAUCCCUGAAGGAGUUGGCAGGAGACCACUUUGUUGCUAUCGUUGCAAAAAAAUCAGACAUUAUGCAAGUGAAUGUCUUAAUUCAAGGGCUAGUGAUGACUAUGCUCAAAUAUGUAGAAAUUACAAGCGGUCUGGUCACACUUAUCAGCAGUGCAAUGUGCCCUUUAAUUAUAAUAACCGGGACCAGCAAACACAAA